UUGCUGGUCUUAGUGUCUAGUUCCUUUAGAGUUUCGAGUUCUGUUCACAUUAGUCACGCAGCCGCUGCAUCAUUAUCCCAUCCGCUGUCCACCAUCCCAUCCACCAAUUUCCACCACGUGCUACGCAUUGUUUAUUGUCAUAAUCAUAGUUGAGGUCACUCACAUCUUCGCCUGAUCGAAUCUGCAUCUUAUCUAGUUUGUCUUGGAAAGAGGGAGAAAAAGAAUAUAAAGAAAAAAAAGAGAGAAAAAAGGAAAGAAAAAAAAAAGAAAAAGAGGGAGAAGAAAAAGAAAAAAAAAGCGUGAGAAAAAAAAGAGAGAAGAAAAAAAAUUGGAUCUAUGUAGAAUCAAUCUCGUACCUGAAUUCGGAUUGGAAUCUGUUUUGCGCACUGUUCAGUAAAACAGGUGUAUCUUCCUCAUACGAAGUCCGUUUUGGCUCCGUGAGUACUCAAAUUGAAGAUAGCGACGAGCCGCAUCUAAAUAGUUACAGAAGCUAGUUCAAUAUUUGACACCUCAAAAUCGGCUUCUAAAUAGGUCUUUUUGCCCUCUGAAGUUCGUGAACACACCUUGUUCCAAUUUUUCAGGCCAGUUUUAGAAUUCUUUGACUCCUCAUAUCAACUCGGAAUUGAGUGAUUAUUUUUGCAUUGGAAAGCUUGAGUUAGUAGCAUUCUUUGAAAGAAUUUAUCAGAAAAUUGUCUCAAACUUUUUAAGAGGAAAGUUGGAGAGAGAGUUGUUGUAUAUCCUGCUUGGCAGUUGUUUUUCAUCAUUAUCUUCACUUAUAUCUUGCUGUCAAGAGCUACUUAGUAUCCUUCAUUGAUGCUAGUUGUGCUACACCGUGACCUCAUUAGUGUUCUAGGCUCGCGUCUCUAGUCCGGUCUAGCCUAGGACCAGCACAGUACCGUCGUUGAGCGUUUAUUCAACAUUGCAUCUUUGAAUUGAUUAUUGCUAAUCUUUUGCUACCAUAUAUAGCCAACCCAGCUCCACAUAUUUCUACACCGUGUAUACGUACGCUCCCCUGGCAAUCGCUUUACUCAAUAUUCGGAGUUACUUGACACCGCUGGUUGCCGAUCACCGCCUGCUGCAUGGUAAGAACUUGUAAGACAUUGAUAUUUGCUUUACUGUGAGCGUUUUACCACCACAUCCUAGUAGUUAUAGGAACAUUAUUUUUGGGUUUUGUUUCUUGUUCUACUAAUCAUGACAGGAUCCAGAGUCAAUUCAUGGGCUUUGUUGAUGAGGACAUGACUACCUUGGAUAUGACCAAAAAUAUUGCAUAUAUGCAUAUUUGUCAGGUGAUUUCUAGUGCAAACUAUUCAAUAAUCUAUUUAUGUUAUCCAGAACAAAAAUACUUCACACACUUUUGUGUUUUGUCUAAUUGCAGGUGUAUGGGACAUUUGUACAAUCCACAUAUGAAGAUAAGGAAGAAAGAGAUGUUUAUUUGCUGUCCAAAAAGUUCUCUCACGUCACUUUUGGCCCAAGAGAAGAUAGAGUCCAAGUCUCUCACGUUCUGGAUUCAGAUUCGGACUGCACAGACACACCUGACUCAAAACGCACACAAGUUUUUCAUACGGACUCCGAAUUGGGUGAUUCUUUUUUUUGUUGGAAACUAGAUUUCGUGCACUUUCCAACCCAAUUGGAAUCACCUUUAAAUUCGUCCGGAGCGUUGAGUUGUGGAUGAAACAAUCUGAUGCUGCAGCAGAAUCCGAGUCAAACUACAAGUCCAAAGGUGUUACAUCACCUCCACUUGGGCCCAUUGGCCUUGUACGACCUAGAUUUAGUUUCAGGCUGCCUUGGGACGUCCUCCCACCUCCUUGGCCUCCACCCCUUGCUCCUAUAUAAGUAGAUCCAUCUAGUAGCUUUUCCUUAGGAUUUGUUUAGUUAAAAGUUAGCCAUUGCAACUUCGUGUGCUUCGUUUGUGUCCAACGACCAGACCAAGACCACUUUUCGGACCCCCACCAUUAUCAAUACCUCAUACAUAUUCGCGAUAUUCAGAUUGCUUUAUCAUAUUCUUGCUCGUUCUUCGAUUGCUUGCAGGAAUAGACCUUCGUGGUCAGGCUGAUCGUGCUUCCGGCAUCGUCAGUAACCUCAGGAGAUUGGUUUAGCGAUUGCUAAGGCGCAACGUCGUGCACGUUUGUAGUCGGAUCGUCAAAGUCGUCUCCACCAAAUCGAUAGUUAUCAUCUCAUCGAAAGAUCGGGACACCCUCGCCUCUAUCAAGUGGUAUCAGAUUUCCAGGUUGCUCGGUGAGAUUUUACAGUUUUUCGUAGUUUGGAUCGAGUCUGUUCUUCAUACCUAUAGUCCACGAAAAAGCCACAAAAAAAAAAUUAGGGUUAGUUCAUCAUAUCCGAACCAAUCUGAGCCUUGCAUAAUCUUUUUAGGGUUUUGCUUUGUUGAAUUUGCGGUUGCAUCGUCGUGUCUAGUUGCUGGUCUUAGAGUCUAGUCUUUUAGAGUUUCGAGUUUCCUUGCCGGAGUAGGUUUCGGAAAAAAAAAAUAGUCGGGUAGCCACGCUCCGUUUAGGCCCAAAAUUUUUCGAAAACGCAUUUUUCGAAAAAAUUUCUGGCUAUCCUAUUUUUAGGUGUUUCUGAGUGUUUUGAGACAGGUGCCAUUAUAGGAAGUUUUUUUUGACCCGUUUCCAGUUUUUGGGUCCGGGCAGUCGAAAAAAAAAAAAUUUGGUCGAAAAAAUUUCGUGCCCAUCCUGUCAGUUUGAGCUAGGAAGAGUUUUGAGACACUCGCCAUUAUAGUGAUUUUUCGCAAAAAAAAAAGAAACAGCGCAAAAAAAAAGAGCGCAAAAAAAAAAGAGCGAAAAAAAAAUUCAGAGUGUGCUUUUCCCUUGUUUACGUGCCGCGCCGUGAUUUUGUUAGUGUUCUAGGCUCGCGUCUCUAGCACAGUCUAGCCUAGGACCAGCACAGUACCGUCGUUGAGCGUUUAUUCAACUUUGCAUCUCUGAAUUGAUUAUUGCUGACCCUUUUUGCUACCAUAUUAUAAGCCUUCCCAGCUCCACAUACAUCUACGUCGUGCGUUUGACUCUCCCUGGUAAUCGCUCUAUCCAAGCUUUGAGAGUUUUUGACUACAACCGUUGCCGAUCACCGCCUGCUGCUGGGUAAGAACUGGUAAGAAUUUGAGAUUUGCUUGACGGAUUUGUGACACCCACCACCACCACUUGUUCGUAGUCUGUAGGAUCAUAUUCUUGUGUGUUUCUAUUUGCUGCUAACCAUGCCAGGAUCACAAGCCGACGAGAUUGACUGGGAGAAUUUAUCGAACAAGGAGCUUCAUGAUAAGUUUCAGCAAAUGAUGACUGAACAGGUGCAAGAUGUGCUGAACAAUUUUGAAGAGGCCAUGGAGAAGAUCACUGGCCUUGAGAAGACGUUCGAAACAAAGCUCGAUAACAAGUUUAAUGAAUUGCUCGCGCGUCUUCCACCACCACCACCCGCUGCACCUAACGCACCUCUCCAACAACAACAACAACGACUACCUCCACAUCGCGAAGCAGACCUCCGCCGAGCAAGCCGUGUUCCUCUUGCGUUUGGCCAAACUGUUGGUGCUGCUGUUGAUACUUCUGUGGCUCCUGCUGCUGAUGCGGAGGAGGAUGAUUAUGUGGGAGAUUAUGAGGAUGAGGUUGAUCAAAAUCAACACUACGUGCAGCCACCUGUACCACCACCAGCAGGUCGACCUCAGGUAUAUAUUCGUAAUGGUAGGCCUGCACCACCACCUCAGGUACGAGAUGAUGUCCAUAUUCCUAAACUGAAAUUGAAUAUUCCACCAUUUGAGGGUAGAUAUGUUCCUGAUAUAUAUCUUACUUGGGAGUUAGAAACUAAACAACGAUUUACAUGUUUACAAUAUCCUGAGGAGAGACGAGUUGCUGCUGCCGUUUGUGCUUUCACUAGUUUUGCAUGUGUAUGGUGGUCUGAACAUUGUAGAUUAUAUCCUAUUCCAACUACUUGGGCUGCUUUGAAAACUGCUAUGCGUACGCGUUGGGUUCCACCAUAUUAUCAACGUGAAUUGCUUCAAAAAUUGCAGCGUUUAAGACAAGGGAAAAAUUCUGUAGAAGAAUAUUAUCAGGAAUUACAAACUGGCAUGAUUAGAUGUGGUAUUGUUGAGGAGAAUGAAGCUAUGCUUGCACGUUUUCUGGGUGGAUUAAAUAGAGAGAUUCAGACCAUUCUAGACUAUAAGGAGUAUACUAAUAUCACUCGUUUAUUCCAUCUUGCUUGUAAAGCUGAACGUGAAGUGCAGGAUCGACAAGCAUUGGGGCGAACUAACUUUUCUGCAGGCCGACCUUCAUCAUGGACACCACGUGCAUCUUCUACUUCAACUGCACCAGCACCUCCAUCCGGUGCCACCUCCAGCCGUGAUACAAGAAAACAGGCACAGCCACCAUUAUCUUCCAAGAGCGCACCUGCGGGUCCUGCACAGCGUUCUUCUUCUUCCAUGGCAUCAACAGGGCACACACGUGAUAUUAUUUGUCGUCGUUGUAAGGGAGGAGGUCAUUAUGCGAGGGAAUGCAAAUCUCCGCGUGUGAUGAUUGCUACCGCGGAUGGUGGAUAUGAGUCCGCUAGUGACUAUGAUGAGGAGACAUUGGCUCUUAUUACACGUGAAGAACAUGGUGGAGAUGAUUCUGAUCAUGAGACGCAAUACAUGGCUCCUGAAGACGCUGACAGGUAUGAAUGUUUAGUUGCUCAACGUGUUUUGAGUGUGCAGGUCACACAAGCUGAGCAAAAUCAGAGGCACAAUUUGUUCCAUACCAAGGGAGUUGUGAAGGAACGUUCUGUGCGCGUCAUAAUAGACGGAGGGAGCUGCAACAACUUGGCUAGCAUGGAGAUGGUGGAGAAGCUUUCUCUCACCACAAGACCACAUCCACAUCCUUACUACAUCCAAUGGUUCAACAACAGUGGCAAGGUUAAGGUAACACGUACUGUUCGUGUGCAUUUUUGAUGAGGACAUCAAUACAAUUGUUACACCCACAGCCCCUGCUGCUAUACAUACUGGACCAAUUACUAGAGCUCGUGCACGCCAACUAAAUUACCAGGUACUUUCGUUUCUUGGUAAUGAUUCUAAUGUUCAUGAGAAUAUGAUGCUGCCUAAAUUGGAUACAUUUGUUUUGCUUACAAAUGAAGGGCCUAGCUUGGAGAAGGAUGAACAUUGGAGCAAGAACAAGCAUGGAGAUGAUGGCAUGCGCAAGGGAAACAAGAACGGAGUUACAAGUGAUGAUUUCAGGACUUUGAAGCCACCAUAAUGGGUGCAUGAAGCCUUGGACGAAAUAUACAAGACGCCACUUCAUAAAUUUCGUCCCGAGGCUAUUUUAGGUGCUGCGUCACCUUAUUAUUGGGCCAGGCCCAUGUAAUUUCGAAAUACAUAAGUAUAGGCUAUUUGAUGAGGACAUCAAUACAAUUGUUACACCCACAGCCCCUGCUGCUAUACAUACUGGACCAAUUACUAGAGCUCGUGCACGCCAACUAAAUUACCAGGUACUUUCGUUUCUUGGUAAUGAUUCUAAUGUUCAUGAGAAUAUGAUGCUGCCUAAAUUGGAUACAUUUGUUUUGCUUACAAAUGAAGGGCCUAGCUUGGAGAAGGAUGAACAUUGGAGCAAGAACAAGCAUGGAGAUGAUGGCAUGCGCAAGGGGAACAAGAACGGAGUUACAAGUGAUGAUUUCAGGACUUUGAAGCCACCAUAAUGGGUGCAUGAAGCCUUGGACGAAAUAUACAAGAUGCCACUUCAUAAAUUUCGUCCCGAGGCUAUUAUAGGUGCUGCGUCACCUUUUUAUUGGGCCAGGCCCAUGUAAUUUCGAAAUACAUAGGUAUAAGCUAUUUUUAGAGUCCGUAUGUGUGGGGAAACAAGAGAUAGGGUUGAUUUCGGACCCCUCCACCAAGGGCCACGAAAUUCCCCCUCUCUUCCUCCAUAUAUACAGCCCUUAGGGCACCGUUUAGACUUUGGGUUUUGUUUAGAUUAAAAGUUCGCCAUAGCUGCAACUUCGCGUACUUCGUUUGUGUUCAACGACCAGACAAAGGCGUCACAGAACCCCACCUUGAUCAAUAAAGCUUUCAUCUUAUAUUCGCAAUAUCCAGAUUGCAAUCUCAGUUUCUUGCUUGUUCUUCGUUUGCUCGCAGGAAACAGACCCUCAUGGUCAGGUUGAUCGUGCUCCGGCGUGGUCAAUAACCUCUCGGAGUUGGUUUAGCGAUUGCUAAGGCGCGACGUCCUCGCACGUUCGUAGUCGGAUCGUCAAAGUCGACUGCCACCAAAGCGAUAUCCAGCAUCUCAUCGAAAGACGGGACACCUUUGCCUCUAUCAGGUAAGAACUGGUAAGAAUUUGAGUUUUGCUUGACGGAUUUGUGAGACCCACCACCACCACUUGUUUGUAGUCUGUAGGAUCUUAUUCUUGUGUAUUUCUAUUGCUGCUAACCAUGCCAGGAUCACAAGCCGACGAGAUUGACUGGGAGAAUUUAUCGAACAAGGAGCUUCAUGAUAAGUUUCAGCAAAUGAUGACUGAACAGGUGCAAGAUGUGCUGAACAAUUUUGAAGAGGCCAUGGAGAAGAUCACUGGCCUUGAGAAGACGUUCGAAACAAAGCUCGAUAACUAGUUUAAUGAAUUGCUCGCGCGUCUUCCACCACCACCACCCGCUGCACCUAACGCACCUCUCCAACAACAACAACAACGACUACCUCCACGUCGCGAAACAGACCUCCGCCGAGCAAGCCGUGAUCCUCUUGCGUUUGGCCAAACUGUUGGUGCUGCUGUUGAUACUUCUGUGGCUCCUGCUGCUAAUGCGGAGGAGGAUGAUUAUGUGGGAGAUUAUGAGGAUGAGGUUGAUCAAAAUCAGCACUACGUGCAGCCACCUGUACCACCACCAGCAGGUCGACCUCAGGUAUAUAUUCGUAAUGGUAGGCCUGCACCACCACCUCAGGUACGAGAUGAUGUCCAUAUUCCUAAACUGAAAUUGAAUAUUCCACCAUUUGAGGGUAGAUAUGUUCCUGAUAUAUAUCUUACUUGGGAGUUAGAAACUGAACAGCGAUUUACAUGUUUACAAUAUCCUGAGGAGAGACGAGUUGCUGCUGCUGUUUGAGCUUUCACUAGUUUUGCAUGUGUAUGGUGGUCUGAACAUUGUAGAUUAUAUCCUAUUCCAACUACUUGGGCUGCUUUGAAAACUGCUAUGCGUACGCGUUGGGUUCCACCAUAUUAUCAACGUGAAUUGCUUCAAAAAUUGCAGCGUUUAAGACAAGGGAAAAAUUCUGUAGAAGAAUAUUAUCAGGAAUUACAAACUGGCAUGAUUAGAUGUGGUAUUGUUGAGGAGAAUGAAGCUAUGCUUGCACGUUUUCUGGGUGGAUUAAAUAGAGAGAUUCAGACCAUUCUAGACUAUAAGGAGUAUACUAAUAUCACUCGUUUAUUCCAUCUUGCUUGUAAAGCUGAACGUGAAGUGCAGGAUCGACAAGCAUUGGGGCGAACUAACUUUUCUGCAGGCCGACUUUCAUCAUGGACACCACGUGCAUCUUCUACUUCAACUGGACCAGCACCUCCAUCCGGUGCCACCUCCACCCGUGAUACAAGAAAACAGGCACAACCACCAUUAUCUGCCAAGAGCGCACCUGCGGGGCCUGCACAGCGUUCUUCUUCUUCCAUGGCAUCAACAGGGCACACAAGUGAUAUUAUUUGUCGUCGUUGUAAGGGAGGAGGUCAUUAUGCGAGGGAAUGCAAAUCUCCGCGUGUGAUGAUUGCUACCGGGGAUGGUGGAUAUGAGUCCGCUAUUGACUAUGAUGAGGAGACUUUGGCUCUCAUUACACGUGAAGAACAUGGUGGAGAUGAUUCUGAUCAUGAGACGCAAUACAUGGCUCCUGAAGACGCUGACAGGUAUGAAUGUUUAGUUGCUCAACGUGUUUUGAGUGUGCAGAUCACACAAGCUGAGCAAAAUCAGAGGCACAAUUUGUUCCAUACCAAGGGAGUUGUGAAGGAACGUUCUGUGCGCGUCAUCAUAGACGGAGGGAGCUGCAACAACUUGGCUAGCAUGGAGAUGGUGGAGAAGCUUUCUCUCACCACAAGACCACAUCCACAUCCUUACUACAUCCAAUGGUUCAACAACAGCGGCAAGGUUAAGGUAACACGUACUGUUCGUGUGCAUUUUAGUAUCUCUACAUAUGCUGAUUAUGUUGAUUUUGAUGUGGUACCUAUGCAAGCAUGUUCCUUAUUACUUGGUAGACCAUGGCAAUUUGAUAAAAAUUCUGUACACCAUGGUAGAAACAAUCACUAUACUCUUGUUCAUAAGGAUAAAAAUAUUACUUUGCUUCCUAUGACUCCUGAUUCCAUUUUGAAAGAUGAUAUUAAUAGAGCUAAUAAAGCACAACAGGAGAAGAAUAAGAGUGAAAAUCAGAUUGUGGCAAAAGAAUUUGAGCAACAAAUGAAGCCUAAUAAUAAACCAUCUAGUGUUGCUUCUGAAAUUAAAUUGAAAAGUGCAUGUUUAUUUGCCACCAAAUCUGAUAUUAAUGAGCUAGAUUUCAGCAAAUCUGUUUGCUAUGCUUUUGUGUGCAAAGAGGCAUUAUUUUCAUUCGAGGACGUGCCUUCCUCUUUGCCUCCUGCUGUCACUAACAUUUUGCAGGAGUUCGCUGACGUUUUUCCACAAGACGUGCCACCGGGAUUACCGCCUAUUCGAGGGAUUGAGCAUCAGAUUGACUUAAUUCCCGGUGCUUCACUGCCAAACCGUGCACCAUACCGUACCAAUCCAGAGGAGACGAAGGAGAUUAUGCGUCAAGUACAAGAGCUUCUCGACAAAGGUUAUAUAAGCGAAUCCCUUAGUCCUUGUGCUGUUCCUAUUAUUCUAGUGCCGAAAAAGGAUGGUACAUCACGUAUGUGUGUUGAUUGUAGAGGCAUUAAUAAUAUUACUAUUCGUUAUCGUCAUCCUAUUCCUAGGCUAGAUGAUAUGCUUGAUGAAACUAGUGGCUCUACAAUAUUCUCCAAAGUUGAUUUGCGUAGUGGCUACCAUCAAAUUCGUAUGAAAUUGGGAGAUGAAUGGAAAACAGCAUUUAAAACUAAGUUUGGAUUAUAUGAGUGGUUAGUCAUGCCUUUUGGGUUAACUAAUGCACCUAGUACUUUCAUGAGAUUAAUGAACGAAGUUUUACGUGCUUUCAUCGGACGAUUUGUGGUAGUUUACUUUGAUGACAUAUUGAUUUAUAGCAGAUCUUUGGAAGAACAUUUGGAACAUUUACGUGCUGUUUUUAUUGCUCUACGUGAUGCACGUUUGUUUGGUAACCUUGGGAAGUGCACCUUUUGCACCGACCGAGUAUCUUUUCUUGGCUAUGUUGUUACUCCACAGGGAAUUGAAGUUGAUAAAGCCAAGAUUGAAGCUAUUGAGAGUUGGCCGCAGCCCAAAACGGUCACACACGUGAGGAGUUUUCUUGGCCUCGCUGGAUUCUAUAGGCGUUUUGUGAGAGAUUUCAGCACCAUUGCUGCACCUCUCAAUGAGCUUACAAAGAAAGAUGUGCCUUUUCUUUGGGGUACCGCACAGGAAGAAGCCUUCUCAGUAUUGAAAGAUAAGUUGACACAUGCUCCUUUACUCCAACUUCCUGAUUUUAAUAAGACUUUUGAGCUUGAAUGUGAUGCUAGUGGAAUUGGAUUAGGAGGUGUGUUAUUACAAGAUGGCAAACCCGUUGCAUACUUUUCUGAAAAAUUGAGUGGGCCUAGUCUGAAUUAUUCUACUUAUGAUAAAUAAUUAUAUGCUCUUGUUCGGACUUUAGAAACAUGGCAACAUUAUUUAUGGCCCAAAGAAUUUGUUAUACAUUCUGAUCAUGAAUCUUUGAAACAUAUUAAAAGUCAAGCUAAACUGAAUCAUAGACAUGCUAAAUGGGUUGAAUUCAUUGAGACUUUCCCUUAUGUCAUUAAACACAAGAAGGGAAAAGAAAAUGUUAUUGCUGAUGCAUUGUCUCGUCGCUAUACUAUGCUUUCACAACUUGACUUCAAAAUAUUUGGUUUGGAGACCAUCAAAGAUCAAUAUGUGCAUGAUGCUGAUUUUAAAGAUGUAAUGCAGAAUUGUAAAGAAGGAAGAAUGUGGAACAAGUUUGUCGUUAACGAUGGAUUUGUGUUUCGUGCUAACAAGCUAUGCAUUCCAGCUAGCUCCGUUCGUCUUUUGUUGUUGCAGGAGGCGCAUGGAGGAGGAUUAAUGGGACAUUUUGGCGUGAAGAAGACGGAGGAUGUACUUGCUACACAUUUCUUUUGGCCAAAGAUGAGACGGGAUGUUGAGCGUUUUAUUGCUCGAUGCACUACAUGUCAAAAAGCUAAGUCACGACUCAAUCCUCAUGGUUUAUAUAUGCCUUUGCCUGUACCUAGUGUUCCUUGGGAGGAUAUAUCUAUGGACUUUGUUUUAGGUUUACCUCGAACAAAGAAGGGGAGGGAUAGCAUAUUUGUUGUCGUGGAUAGAUUCUCGAAAAUGGCACACUUUAUACCAUGUCAUAAAAGCGAUGAUGCCGUUAAUGUUGCUGAUUUGUUCUUUCGUGAAAUUAUUCGCUUGCAUGGUGUGCCAAAUACUAUUGUUUCAGAUCGUGAUACUAAAUUUCUUAGCCACUUUUGGAGAUGUUUAUGGGCUAAGUUGGGGACUAAACUGCUUUUUAGUACUACUUGUCACCCCCAAACUGAUGGACAAACUGAAGUAGUCAAUAGAACGUUGUCUACUAUGCUUAGGGCUGUUUUGAAGAAUAAUAAGAAAAUGUGGGAGGAAUGCUUGCCUCAUAUUGAAUUUGCUUAUAAUCGUUCAUUGCAUUCUACUACUAAGAUGUGCCCUUUUGAAGUUGUGUAAGGUUUCCUACCUCGUGCACCUAUUGAUUUGUUGCCUCUUCCAUCUUCGGAGAAGGUUAAUUUUGAUGCUAAACAACGUGCUGAAUUGAUUUUAAAAAUGCAUGAGUUAACUAAGGAAAACAUUGAGCGCAUGAAUGCUAAAUAUAAACUUGCUGGAGAUAAGGGUAGAAUUUAUCUUACUUGGGAGUUAGAAACUGAACAACGAUUUACAUGUUUACAAUAUCCUGAGGAGAGACGAGUUGCUGCUGCCGUUUGUGCUUUCACUAGUUUUGCAUGUGUAUGGUGGUCUGAACAUUGUAGAUUAUAUCCUAUUCCAACUACUUGGGCUGCUUUGAAAACUGCUAUGCGUACGCGUUGGGUUCCACCAUAUUAUCAACGUGAAUUGCUUCAAAAAUUGCAGCGUUUAAGACAAGGGAAAAAUUCUGUAGAAGAAUAUUAUCAGGAAUUACAAACUGGCAUGAUUAGAUGUGGUAUUGUUGAUGAGAAUGAAGCUAUGCUUGCACGUUUUCUGGGUGGAUUAAAUAGAGAGAUUCAGACCAUUCUAGACUAUAAGGAGUAUACUAAUAUCACUCGUUUAUUCCAUCUUGCUUGUAAAGCUGAACGUGAAGUGCAGGAUCGACAAGCAUUGGGGCGAACUAACUUUUCUGCAGGCCGACCUUCAUCAUGGACACCACGUGCAUCUUCUACUUCAACUGCACCAGCACCUCCAUCCGGUGCCACCUCCAGCCGUGAUACAAGAAAAUAGGCACAACCACCAUUAUCUGCCAAGAGCGCACCUGCGGGGCCUGCACAGCGUUCUUCUUCUUCCAUGGCAUCAACAGGGCACACAAGUGAUAUUAUUUGUCGUCGUUGUAAGGGAGGAGGUCAUUAUGCGAGAGAAUGCAAAUCUCCGCGUGUGAUGAUUGCUACCGCGGAUGGUGGAUAUGAGUCCGCUAGUGACUAUGAUGAGGAGACAUUGGCUCUUAUUACACGUGAAGAACAUGGUGGAGAUGAUUCUGAUCAUGAGACGCAAUACAUGGCUCCUGAAGACGCUGACAGGUAUGAAUGUUUAGUUGCUCAACGUGUUUUGAGUGUGCAGGUCACACAAGCUGAGCAAAAUCAGAGGCACAAUUUGUUCCAUACCAAGGGAGUUGUGAAGGAACGUUCUGUGCGCGUCAUAAUAGACGGAGGGAGCUGCAACAACUUACUUUCAUGAGAUUAAUGAACGAAGUUUUACGUGCUUUCAUUGGACGAUUUGUGGUAGUUUACUUUGAUGACAUAUUGAUUUAUAGCAGAUCUUUGGAAGAACAUUUGGAACAUUUACGUGCUGUUUUUAUUGCUCUACGUGAUGCACGUUUGUUUGGUAACCUUGGGAAGUGCACCUUUUGCACCGACCGAGUAUCUUUUCUUGGCUAUGUUGUUACUCCACAGGGAAUUGAAGUUGACAAAGCCAAGAUUGAAGCUAUUGAGAGUUGGCCGCAGCCCAAAACGGUCACACAAGUGAGGAGUUUUCUUGGCCUCGCUGGAUUCUAUAGGCGUUUUGUGAGAGAUUUCAGCACCAUUGCUGCACCUCUCAACGAGCUUACAAAGAAGGAUGUGCCUUUUGUUUGGGGUACCGCACAGGAAGAAGCCUUCACAGUAUUGAAAGAUAAGUUGACACAUGCUCCUUUACUCCAACUUCCUGAUUUUAAUAAGACUUUUGAGCUUGAAUGUGAUGCUAGUGGAAUUGGAUUAGGAGGUGUGUUAUUACAAGAUGGCAAACCUGUUGCAUACUUUUCUGAAAAAUUGAGUGGGCCUAGUCUGAAUUAUUCUACUUAUGAUAAAGAAUUAUAUGCUCUUGUUCGUACUUUAGAAACAUGGCAACAUUAUUUAUGGCCCAAAGAAUUUGUUAUACAUUCUGAUCAUGAAUCUUUGAAACAUAUUAAAAGUCAAGCUAAACUGAAUCGUAGACAUGCUAAAUGGGUUGAAUUCAUUGAGACUUUCCCUUAUGUCAUUAAACACAAGAAGGGAAAAGAAAAUGUUAUUGCUGAUGCAUUGUCUCGUCGCUAUACUAUGCUUUCACAAAUUGACUUCAAAAUAUUUGGUUUGGAGACCAUCAAAGAUCAAUAUGUGCAUGAUGCUGAUUUUAAAGAUGUAAUGCAGAAUUGUAAAGAAGGAAGAAUGUGGAACAAGUUUGUCGUUAACGAUGGAUUUGUGUUUCGUGCUAACAAGCUAUGCAUUCCAGCUAGCUCCGUUCGUCUUUUGUUGUUGCAGGAGGCGCAUGGAGGAGGAUUAAUGGGACACUUUGGCGUGAAGAAGACGGAGGACGUACUUGCUACACAUUUCUUUUGGCCAAAGAUGAGACGGGAUGUUGAGCGUUUUAUUGCUCGAUGCACUACAUGUCAAAAAGCUAAGUCACGACUCAAUCCUCAUGGUUUAUAUAUGCCUUUGCCUGUACCUAGUGUUCCUUGGGAGGAUAUAUCUAUGGACUUUGUUUUAGGUUUACCUCGAACAAAGAAGGGGAGGGAUAGCAUAUUUGUUGUCGUGGAUAGAUUCUCGAAAAUGGCACACUUUUUACCAUGUCAUAAAAGCGAUGAUGCUGUUAAUGUUGCUGAUUUGUUCUUUCGUGAAAUUAUUCGCUUGCAUGGUGUGCCAAAUACUAUUGUUUCAGAUCGUGAUACUAAAUUUCUUAGCCACUUUUGGAGAUGUUUAUGGGCUAAGUUGGGGACUAAACUGCUUUUUAGUACUACUUGUCACCCCCAAACUGAUGGACAAACUGAAGUAGUCAAUAGAACGUUGUCUACUAUGCUUAGGGCUGUUUUGAAGAAUAAUAAGAAAAUGUGGGAGGAAUGCUUGCCUCAUAUUGAAUUUGCUUAUAAUCGUUCAUUGCAUUCUACUACUAAGAUGUGCCCUUUUGAAGUUGUGUAUGGUUUCCUACCUCGUGCACCUAUAGAUUUGUUGCCUCUUCCAUCUUCGGAGAAGGUUAAUUUUGAUGCUAAACAACGUGCUGAAUUGAUUUUAAAAAUGCAUGAGUUAACAAAGGAAAACAUUGAGCGUAUGAAUGCUAAAUAUAAACUUGUUGGAGAUAAGGGUAGAAAACAUGUUGUGUUUGCACCUGGAGAUCUUGUUUGGUUACAUUUGCGUAAGGAUAGAUUUCCUGAUUUGCGCAAAUCAAAGCUAAUGCCACGUGCUGAUGGUCCCUUUAAGGUGUUAGAGAAAAUAAAUGAUAAUGCAUAUAAACUUGAGCUGCCUGCAGAUUUUGGGGUUAGUCCCACUUUUAACAUUGCAGAUUUGAAGCCUUAUUUGGGUGAGGAAGAUGGACUUCCGUCGAGGACGACUUCAUUUCAAGAAGGGGAGGAUGAUGAGGACAUCAAUACAAUUGUUACACCCACAGCCCCUGCUGCUAUACAUACUGGACCAAUUACUAGAGCUCGUGCACGCCAACUAAAUUACCAGGUACUUUCGUUUCUUGGUAAUGAUUCUAAUGUUCAUGAGAAUAUGAUGCUGCCUAAAUUGGAUACAUUUGUUUUGCUAAUGAAGGGCCUAGCUUGGAGAAGGAUGAACAUUGGAGCAAGAACAAGCAUGGAGAUGAUGGCAUGCGCAAGGGGAACAAGAACGGAGUUACAAGUGAUGAUUUCAGGACUUUGAAGCCACCAUAAUGGGUGCAUGAAGCCUUGGACGAAAUAUACAAGAUGCCACUUUUUAAAUUUCGCCCCGAGGCUAUUUUAGGUGCUGCAUCACCUUAUUAUUGAGCCAGGCCCAUGUAAUUUCGAAAUACAUAAGUAUAGGCUAUUUUUAGAGUCCGUAUGUGUGGGGAAACAAGAGAUAGGGUUGAUUUCGGACUCCUCCACCAAGGGCCACGAAAUUCCCCCCUCUUCCUCCAUAUAUACAGCCCUUAGGGCAUCGUUUAGACUUUGGGAUUUGUUUAGUUAAAAGUUAGCCAUUGCAACUUCGUGUACUUCGUUUGUGUCCAACGACCAGACCAAGACCGCUUAUGGAUCCCCACCAUUAUCAAUACCUCAUAUAUAUUUGCAAUAUUCAGAUUGCUUUAUCAUAUUCUUGCUCGUUCUUCGAUUGCUUGCAGGAAUAGACCUUCGUGGUCAGGCUGAUCGUGCUUCCGGCAUCGUCAGUAACCUGAGGAGAUUGGUUUAGCGAUUGCUAAGGCGCAACGUCGUGCACGUUUGUAGUCGGAUCGUCAAAGUCGUCUCCACCAAAUCGAUAGUUAUCAUCUCAUCGAAAGAUCGGGACACCCUCGCCUCUAUCAAGAACCCAAUUAAAUUGCAAAGGAACUCCAUUUCUCUAACCCUUCCGACCUAAUGCUCUAAAAUAAAAUUUUCCUCUAACCUAGCCAACCUACUUAACCUAGCUUGUUAAUCCAACGAACCUAAUUAACCUACCUAUUAAACCUAGUUAGUUAAUCUAGUUUACCUAGAUAAUUAACCCUAAUUAAACUAGUUAACACAGCUAGUUCUCUGUCAAAGCCCUAAAUAAAUUUUUGCACUAAUUAACCUAGAUAAUUAACCUAAUUAAACUAGUUAACCUUACUAGUUCUCUGUCAAAGCCCUAACUAAAUUCUUGCACCAACCUAGAGAAUUAACCUAAUUAAACUAGUUAACCUAACUACUUCUUUGUCAAAGCCCUAACUAAAUUUUUGCCCUAACCUAGAUAAUUAACCUAAUUAAACUAGCUAACCUCUGCAUGAGAGAGAGAGGAGGGGUGGGGGCUUACAGAGGAUGGCUCCGGUGGUGGCGACGGAGGCAGUGGUGGCGAGGGAGGCAGGGGCGUCUCCAGUGACGGCGAGGGAGGCAGUUGUGGCGAGGAAGGAUCCAGUGGCGUCGACGGCAGCUCCGGUGGCGUUGAUGAGGCCGCGUGGCUCCGUGGCAUUGGGGGCGGCUCCGGUGGCGUCGACGGCGCACGGCUCUGGUGGCGUCGACGUCGGCAGGAGACGGCGGCGAAGUGGGGCGACGGCGAAUCAGGGAGACGGCAGCGCGUGGGGUGGGUUGAGGGAUUUGGGGGAGAAGUGGUGGCCGGGGGGAAAACGGUUUUUUGGUUAAGUCAAACUUAGCGGUAGCGCGUUUGGUAAAAUGCGCUAUAGCUAAGAUAGCUAUAGCAGUUUUUACAAAACGCGCUGCUGCUAUAGCUUUGUAAUUUUCUUCCAUUUUUAAUUUCCUUUUCUGUUUCUAUACCAGGGGUCUAGGACACGCGCUGCAGCUACGUUAGCUAUAGCACCUCUUACGAACACACGCUACUGCUAUGCCUUCGUCCGUUUUUUCGCUUUUUCAUUUAUUUUGCUUUACAUUUUAUUUUUUCCUUUCUCCUUUUUCUAUUUCUUUCAUUUUCAUUUACUUUUCUAUUUGUUUUUCAUCUUAUUUUAUUUCCGUUAGUAGUGGCGCUCUUCUUAGGAAACGCGCUACUACUUAUGCCCUAUCGGUAGCGCGCUUCUUCCAAGCCCGCUACUGCUAUGCGUAGCCUAUCAUUCUAGCAAUGGGAAUAUUAGUAGUACGCUUUUGCCACUACACGUGCUACUGCUAAGGUUGUAAGCGCAGUUUUUUCUCAAACGCUACUGCUAUCUAGCACUAGCGCCCUUUUUUGACCCGCGCUGUUGCUAAAUUUCUGUGUAUAAGGUUUUCCCUAGUAGUGUAGGCUGCGGCGGUCGAGAACUCGGAUGGCGAGGGUACCACCCAUCCCCCUGAGGUCGCCCCCAAGAAGAAGAAGCAGCUCCCCCUCAGGGGCCCUCAGGAGGCUGGGGUGCCUAAUGAUCGCGCUUCAUGCCUCUCGCCCUUUGCUAGGGCGCCUUUCCCUCUCGCAUAGGAAGGUACGCCUGAUGAGGACAUCAAUACAAUUGUUACACCCACAGCCCCUGCUGCUAUACAUACUGGACCAAUUACUAGAGCUCGUGCACGCCAACUAAAUUACCAGGUACUUUCGUUUCUUGGUAAUGAUUCUAAUGUUCAUGAGAAUAUGAUGCUGCCUAAAUUGGAUACAUUUGUUUUGUUUACAAAUGAAGGGCCUAGCUUGGAGAAGGAUGAACAUUGGAGCAAGAACAAGCAUGGAGAUGAUGGCAUGCGCAAGGGGAACAAGAACGGAGUUACAAGUGAUGAUUUCAGGACUUUGAAGCCACCAUAAUGGGUGCAUGAAGCCUUGGACGAAAUAUACAAGAUGCCACUUCAUAAAUUUCGUCCCGAGGCUAUUUUAGGUGCUGCGUCACCUUAUUAUUGGGCCAGGCCCAUGUAAUUUCGAAAUACAUAAGUAUAGGCUAUUUUUAGAGUCCGUAUGUGUGCGGAAACAAGAGAUAGGGUUGAUUUCGGACCCCUCCACCAAGGGCCACGAAAUUCCCCCCUCUUCCUCCAUAUAUACAGCCCUUAGGGCAUCGUUUAGACUUUGGGUUUUGUUUAGAUUAAAAGUUCGCCAUAGCUGCAACUUCGCGUACUUCGUUUGUGUUCAACGACCAGACAAAGGCGUCACAGAACCCCACCUUGAUCAAUAAAGCUUUCAUCUUAUAUUCGCAAUAUCCAGAUUGCAAUCUCAGUUUCUUGCUUGUUCUUCGUUUGCUCGCAGGAAACAGACCCUCGUGGUCAGGUUGAUCGUGCUCCGGCGUGGUCAAUAACCUCUCGGAGUUGGUUUAGCGAUUGCUAAGGCGCGACGUCCUCGCACGUUCGUAGUCGGAUCGUCAAAGUCGACUUCCACCAAAGCGAAAUCCACCAUCUCAUCGAAAGACGGGACACCUUUGCCUCUAUCAACUUGUCACCCCCAAACUGAUGGACAAACUGAAGUAGUCAAUAGGACGUUGUCUACUAUGCUUAGGGCUGUUUUGAAGAAUAAUAAGAAAAUGUGGGAGGAAUGCUUGCCUCAUAUUGAAUUUGCUUAUAAUCGUUCAUUGCAUUCUACUACUAAGAUGUGCCCUUUUGAAGUUGUGUAUGGUUUCCUACCUCGUGCACCUAUUGAUUUGUUGCCUCUUCCAUCUUCGGAGAAGGUUAAUUUUGAUGCUAAACAACGUGCUGAAUUGAUUUUAAAAAUGCAUGAGUUAACUAAGGAAAACAUUGAGCGUAUGAAUGCUAAAUAUAAACUUGCUGGAGAUAAGGGUAGAAAACAUGUUGUGUUUGCACCUGGAGAUCUUGUUUGGUUACAUUUGCGUAAGGAUAGAUUUCCUGAUUUGCACAAAUCAAAGCUAAUGCCACGUGCUGAUGGUCCCUUUAAGGUGUUAGAGAAAAUAAAUGAUAAUGCAUAUAAACUUGAGCUGCCUGCAGAUUUUGGGGUUAGUCCCACUUUUAACAUUGCAGAUUUGAAGCCUUAUUUGGGUGAGGAAGAUGAACUUCCGUCGAGGACGACUUCAUUUCAAUAAGGGGAGGAUGAUGAGGACAUCAAUACAAUUGUUACACCCACAGCCCCUGCUGCUAUACAUACUGGACCAAUUACUAGAGCCCGUGCACGCCAACUAAAUUACCAGGUACUUUCGUUUCUUGGUAAUGAUUCUAAUGUUCAUGAGAAUAUGAUGCUGCCUAAAUUGGAUACAUUUGUUUUGCUUACAAAUGAAGGGCCUAGCUUGGAGAAGGAUGAACAUUGGAGCAAGAACAAGCAUGGAGAUGAUGGCAUGCGCAAGGGGAACAAGAACGGAGUUACAAGUGAUGAUUUCAAGACUUUGAAGCCACCAUAAUGGGUGCAUGAAGCCUUGGACGAAAUAUACAAGAUGCCACUUCAUAAAUUUCGUCCCGAGGCUAUUUUAGGUGCUGCGUCACCUUAUUAUUGGGCCAGGCCCAUGUAAUUUCGAAAUACAUAAGUAUAGGCUAUUUUUAGAGUCCGUAUGUGUGGGGAAACAAGAGAUAGGGUUGAUUUCGGACCCCUCCACCAAGGACCACGAAAUUCCCCCCUCUUCCUCCAUAUAUACAGCCCUUAGGGCAUCGUUUAGACUUUGGGUUUUGUUUAGAUUAAAAGUUCGCCAUAGCUGCAACUUCGCGUACUUCGUUUGUGUUCAACGACCAGACAAAGGCGUCACAGAACCCCACCUUGAUCAAUAAAGCUUUCAUCUUAUAUUCGCAAUAUCCAGAUUGCAAUCUUAGUUUCUUGCUUGUUCUUCGUUUGCUCGCAGGAAACAGACCCUCGUGGUCAGGUUGAUCGUGCUCCGGCGUGGUCAAUAACCUCUCGGAGUUGGUUUAGCGAUUGCUAAGGCGCGACGUCCUCGCACGUUCGUAGUCGGAUCGUCAAAGUCGACUUCCACCAAAGCGAAAUCCACCAUCUCAUCGAAAGACGGGACACCUUUGCCUCUAUCAGGUAUAUAUUCGUAAUGGUAGGCCUGCACCACCACCUCAGGUACGAGAUGAUGUCCAUAUUCCUAAACUGAAAUUGAAUAUUCCACCAUUUGAGGGUAGAUAUGUUCCUGAUAUAUAUCUUACUUGGGAGUUAGAAACUGAACAACGAUUUACAUGUUUACAAUAUCCUGAGGAGAGACGAGUUGCUGCUGCUGUUUGUGCUUUCACUAGUUUUGCAUGUGUAUGGUGGUCUGAACAUUGUAGAUUAUAUCCUAUUCCAACUACUUGGGCUGCUUUGAAAACUGCUAUGCGUACGCGUUGGGUUCCACCAUAUUAUCAACGUGAAUUGCUUCAAAAAUUGCAGCGUUUAAGACAAGGGAAAAAUUCUGUAGAAGAAUAUUAUCAGGAAUUACAAACUGGCAUGAUUAGAUGUGGUAUUGUUGAGGAGAAUGAAGCUAUGCUUGCACGUUUUCUGGGUGGAUUAAAUAGAGAGAUUCAGACCAUUCUAGACUAUAAGGAGUAUACUAAUAUUACUCGUUUAUUCCAUCUUGCUUGUAAAGCUGAACGUGAAGUGCAGGAUCGACAAGCAUUGGGGCGAACUAACUUUUCUGCAGGCCGACCUUCAUCAUGGACACCACGUGCAUCUUCUACUUCAACUGCACCAGCACCUCCAUCCGGUGCCACCUCCAGCCGUGAUACAAGAAAACAGGCACAACCACCAUUAUCUGCCAAGAGCGCACCUGCGGGGCCUACACAGCGUUCUUCUUCUUCCAUGGCAUCAACAGGGCACACAAGUGAUAUUAUUUGUCGUCGUUGUAAGGGAGGAGGUCAUUAUGCGAGAGAAUGCAAAUCUCCGCGUGUGAUGAUUGCUACCGCGGAUGGUGGAUAUGAGUCCGCUAGUGACUAUGAUGAGGAGACUUUGGCUCUUAUUACACGUGAAGAACAUGGUGGAGAUGAUUCUGAUCAUGAGACACAAUACAUGGCUCCUGAAGACGCUGACAGGUAUGAAUGUUUAGUUGCUCAACGUGUUUUGAGUGUGCAGGUCACACAAGCUGAGCAAAAUCAGAGGCACAAUUUGUUCCAUACCAAGGGAGUUGUGAAGGAACGUUCUGUGCGCGUCAUAAUAGACGGAGGGAGCUGCAACAAUUUGGCUAGCAUGAAGAUGGUGGAGAAGCUUUCUCUCACCACAAGACCACAUCCACAUCCUUACUACAUCCAAUGGUUCAACAACAGCGGCAAGGUUAAGGUAACACGUACUGUUCGUGUGCAUUUUAGUAUCUCUACAUAUGCUGAUUAUGUUGAUUGUGAUGUGGUACCUAUGCAAGCAUGUUCCUUAUUACUUGGUAGACCAUGGCAAUUUGAUAAAAAUUCUGUACACCAUGGUAGAAACAAUCACUAUACUCUUGUUCAUAAGGAUAAAAAUAUUACUUUGCUUCCUAUGACUCCUGAUUCCAUUUUGAAAGAUGAUAUUAAUAGAGCUAAUAAAGCACAACAGGAGAAGAAUAAGAGUGAAAAUCAGAUUGUGGCAAAAGAAUUUGAGCAACAAAUGAAGCCUAAUAAUAAACCAUCUAGUGUUGCUUCUGAAAUUAAAUUGAAAAGUGCAUGUUUAUUUGCCACCAAAUCUGAUAUUGAUGAGCUAGAUUUCAUCAAAUCUGUUUGCUAUGCUUUUGUGUGCAAAGAGGCAUUAUUUUCAUUCGAGGACGUGCCUUCCUCUUUGCCUCCUGCUGUCACUAACAUUUUGCAGGAGUUCACUGACGUUUUUCCGCAAGACGUGCCACCGGGAUUACCGCCUAUUCGAGGGAUUGAGCAUCAGAUUGACUUAAUUCCCGGUGCUUCACUGCCAAACCGUGCACCAUACCGUACUAAUCCAGAGGAGACGAAGGAGAUUAUGCGUCAAGUACAAGAGCUUCUCGACAAAGGUUAUAUACGCGAAUCCCUUAGUCCUUGUGCCGUUCCUAUUAUUCUAGUGCCGAAAAAGGAUGGUACAUCACGUAUGUGUGUUGAUUGUAGAGGCAUUAAUAAUAUUACUAUUCGUUAUCGUCAUCCUAUUCCUAGGCUAGAUGCUAUGCUUGAUGAAUUGAGUGGCUCUACAAUAUUCUCCAAAGUUGAUUUGCGUAGUGGCUACCAUCAAAUUCGUAUGAAAUUGGGAGAUGAAUGGAAAACAGCAUUUAGAACUAAGUUUGGAUUAUAUGAGUGGUUAGUCAUGCCUUUUGGGUUAACUAAUGCACCUAGUACUUUCAUGAGAUUAAUGAACGAAGUUUUACGUGCUUUCAUUGGACGAUUUGUGGUAGUUUACUUUGAUGACAUAUUGAUUUAUAGCAGAUCUUUGGAAGAACAUUUGGAACAUUUACGUGCUGUUUUUAUUGCUCUACGUGAUGCACGUUUGUUUGGUAACCUUGGGAAGUGCACCUUUUUCACCGACCGAGUAUCUUUUCUUGGCUAUGUUGUUACUCCACAGGGAAUUGAAGUUGAUAAAGCCAAGAUUGAAGCUAUUGAGAGUUGGCCGCAGCCCAAAACGGGCACACAAGUGAGGAGUUUUCUUGGCCUCGCUGGAUUCUAUAGGCGUUUUGUGAGAGAUUUCAGCACCAUUGCUGCACCUCUCAAUGAGCUUACAAAGAAAGAUGUGCCUUUUCUUUGGGGUACUGCACAGGACGAAGCCUUCACGGUAUUGAAAGAUAAGUUGACACAUGCUCCUUUACUCCAACUUCCUGAUUUUAAUAAGACUUUUGAGCUUGAAUGUGAUGCUAGUGGAAUUGGAUUAGGAGGUGUGUUAUUACAAGAUGGCAAACCUGUUGCAUACUUUUCUGAAAAAUUGAGUCGGCCUAGUCUGAAUUAUUCUACUUAUGAUAAAGAAUUAUAUGCUCUUGUUCGGACUUUAGAAACAUGGCAACAUUAUUUAUGGCCCAAAGAAUUUGUUAUACAUUCUGAUCAUGAAUCUUUGAAACAUAUUAAAAGUCAAGCUAAACUGAAUCGUAGACAUGCUAAAUGGGUUGAAUUCAUUGAGACUUUCCCUUAUGUCAUUAAACACAAGAAGGGAAAAGAAAAUGUUAUUGCUGAUGCAUUGUCUCGUCGUUAUACUAUGCUUUCACAACUUGACUUCAAAAUAUUUGGUUUGGAGACCAUCAAAGAUCAAUAUGUGCAUGAUGCUGAUUUUAAAGAUGUAAUGCAGAAUUGCAAAGAAGGAAGAAUGUGGAACAAGUUUGUCGUUAACGAUGGAUUUGUGUUUCGUGCUACCAAGCUAUGCAUUCCAGCUAGCUCCGUUCGUCUUUUGUUGUUGCAGGAGGCGCAUGGAGGAGGAUUAAUGGGACACUUUGGCGUAAAGAAGACGGAGGACGUACUUGCUACACAUUUCUUUUGGCCAAAGAUGAGACGGGAUGUUGAGCGUUUUAUUGCUCGCUGCACUACAUGUCAAAAAGCUAAGUCACGACUCAAUCCUCAUGGUUUAUAUAUGCCUUUGCCUGUACCUAGUGUUCCUUGGGAGGAUAUAUCUAUGGACUUUGUUUUAGGUUUACCUCGAACAAAGAAGGGGAGGGAUAGCAUAUUUGUUGUCGUGGAUAGAUUCUCGAAAAUGGCACACUUUAUACCAUGUCAUAAAAGCGAUGAUGCUGUUAAUGUUGCUGAUUUGUUCUUUCGUGAAAUUAUUCGCUUGCAUGGUGUGCCAAAUACUAUUGUUUCAGAUCGUGAUACUAAAUUACUUAGCCACUUUUGGAGAUGUUUAUGGGCUAAGUUGGGGACUAAACUGCUUUUUAGUACUACUUGUCACCCCCAAACUGAUGGACAAACUGAAGUAGUCAAUAGAACGUUGUCUACUAUGCUUAGGGCUGUUUUGAAGAAUAAUAAGAAAAUGUGGGAGGAAUGCUUGCCUCAUAUUGAAUUUGCUUAUAAUCGUUCAUUGCAUUCUACUACUAAGAUGUGCCCUUUUGAAGUUGUGUAUGGUUUCCUACCUCGUGCACCUAUUGAUUUGUUGCCUCUUCCAUAUUCGGAGAAGGUUAAUUUUGAUGCUAAACAACGUGCUGAAUUGAUUUUAAAAAUGCAUGAGUUAACUAAGGAAAACAUUGAGCGUAUGAAUGCUAAAUAUAAACUUGCUGGAGAUAAGGGUAGAAAACAUGUUGUGUUUGCACCUGGAGAUCUUGUUUGGUUACAUUUGCGUAAGGAUAGAUUUCCUGAUUUGCGCAAAUCAAAGCUAAUGCCACGUGCUGAUGGUCCCUUUAAGGUGUUAGAGAAAAUAAAUGAUAAUGCAUAUAAACUUGAGCUGCCUGCAGAUUUUGGGGUUAGUCCCACUUUUAACAUUGCAGAUUUGAAGCCUUAUUUGGGUGAGGAAGAUGGACUUCCGUCGAGGACGACUUCAUUUCAAGAAGGGGAGGAUGAUGAGGACAUCAAUACAAUUGUUACACCCAUAGCCCCUGCUGCUAUACAUACUGGACCAAUUACUAGAGCUCGUUCACGCCAACUAAAUUACCAGGUACUUUCGUUUCUUGCUAAUGAUUCUAAUGUUCAUGAGAAUAUGAUGCUGCCUAAAUUGGAUACAUUUGUUUUGCUUACAAAUGAAGGGCCUAGCUUGGAGAAGGAUGAACAUUGGAGCAAGAACAAGCAUGGAGAUGAUGGCAUGCGCAAGGGGAACAAGAACGGAGUUACAAGUGAUGAUUUCAGGACUUUGAAGCCACCAUAAUGGGUGCAUGAAGCCUUGGACGAAAUAUACAAGAUGCCACUUCAUAAAUUUCGUCCCGAGGCUAUUUUAGGUGCUGCGUCACCUUAUUAUUGGGCCAGGCCCAUGUAAUUUCGAAAUACAUAAGUAUAGGCUAUUUUUAGAGUCCGUAUGUGUGGGGAAACAAGAGAUAGGGUUGAUUUCGGACUCCUCCACCAAGGGCCACGAAAUUCCCCCCCUCUUCCUCCAUAUAUACAGCCCUUAGGGCAUCGUUUAGACUUUGGGAUUUGUUUAGUUAAAAGUUAGCCAUUGCAACUUCGUGUACUUCGUUUGUGUCCAACGACCAGACCAAGACCGCUUCCGGAUCCCCACCAUUAUCAAUACUUCAUAUAUAUUUGCAAUAUUCAGAUUGCUUUAUCAUAUUCUUGCUCGUUCUUCGAUUGCUUGCAGGAAUAGACCUUCGUGGUCAGGCUGACCGUGCUUCCAGCAUCGUCAGUAACCUCAGGAGAUCGGUUUAGCGAUUGCUAAGGUGCAACGUCGUGCACAUUUGUAGUCGGAUCGUGAAAGUCGUCUCCAUCAAAUCGAUAGUUAUCAUCUCAUCGAAAGAUCGGGACCCUCGUCUCUAUCAAGUAGUACUUGACGCAUAAUCUCCUUCGUCUCCUCUGGAUUGGUACGGUAUGGUGCACGGUUUGGCAGUGAAGCACCGGGAAUUAAGUCAAUUUGAUGCUCAAUCCCUCGAAUAGGCGGUAAUCCCGGUGGCACGUCUUGUGGAAAGACGUCAGCGAACUCCUGCAAAAUGUUAGUGACAGCAGGAGGCAAAGAGGAAGGCACGUCCUCGAAUGAAAAUAAUGCCUCUUUGCACACAAAAGCAUAGCAAACAGAUUUGCUGAAAUCUAGCUCAUCAAUAUCAGAUUUGGUGGCAAAUAAACAUGCACUUUUCAAUUUAAUUUCAGAAGCAACACUAGAUGGUUUAUUAUUAGGCUUCAUUUGUUGCUCAAAUUCUUUUGCCACAAUCUGAUUUUCACUCUUAUUCUUCUCCUGUUGUGCUUUAUUAGCUCUAUUAAUAUCAUCUUUCAAAAUGGAAUCAGGAGUCAUAGGAAGCAAAGUAAUAUUUUUAUCGUUAUGAACAAGAGUAUAGUGAUUGUUUCUACCAUGGUGUACCGAAUUUUUAUCAAAUUGCCAUGGUCUACCCAGUAAUAAGGAACAUGCUUGCAUAGGUACCACAUCACAAUCAACAUAAUCAGCAUAUGUAGAGAUACUAAAAUGCACACGAACAGUACGUGUUACCUUAACCUUGCCGCUGUUGUUGAACCAUUGGAUGUAGUAAGGAUGUGGAUGUGGUCUUGUGGUGAGAGAAAGCUUCUCCACCAUCUCCAUUCUAGCCAAGUUGUUGCAGCUCCCUCCGUCUAUUAUGACGCGCACAGAACGUUCCUUCACAACUCCCUUGGUAUGGAACAAAUUGUGCCUCUGAUUUUGCUCAGCUUGUGUGACCUGCACACUCAAAACACGUUGAGCAACUAAACAUUCAUACCUGUCAGCGUCUUCAGGAGCCAUGUAUUGCGUCUCAUGAUCAGAAUCAUCUCCACCAUGUUCUUCACGUGUAAUAAGAGCCAAUGUCUCCUCAUCAUAGUCACUAGCGGACUCAUAUCCACCAUCCGCGGUAGCAAUCAUCACACGCGGAGAUUUGCAUUCCCUUGCAUAAUGACCUCCUCCCUUACAACGACGACAAAUAAUAUCACUUGUGUGCCCUGUUGAUGCCAUGGAAGAAGAAGAACGCUGUGCAGGCCCCGCAGGUGCGCUCUUGGCAGAUAAUGGUGGUUGUGCCUGUUUUCUUGUAUCACGGCUGGAGGUGGCACCGGAUGGAGGUGCUGGUGCAGUUGACGUAGAAGAUGCACGUGGUGUCCAUGAUGAAGGUCGGCCUGCAGAAAAGUUAGUUCGCCCCAAUGCUUGUCGAUCCUGCACUUCACGUUCAGCUUUACAAGCAAGAUGGAAUAAACGAGUGAUAUUAGUAUACUCCUUAUAGUCUAGAAUGGUCUGAAUCUCUCUAUUUAAUCCACCCAGAAAACGUGCAAGCAUAGCUUCAUUCUCCUCAACAAUACCACAUCUAAUCAUGCCAGUUUGUAAUUCCUGAUAAUAUUCUUCUACAGAAUUUUUCCCUUGUCUUAAACGCUGCAAUUUUUGAAGCAAUUCACGUUGAUAAUAUGGUGGAACCCAACGCGUACGCAUAGCAGUUUUCAAAGCAGCCCAAGUAGUUGGAAUAGGAUAUAAUCUACAAUGUUCAGACCACCAUACACAUGCAAAACUAGUGAAAGCACAAACAGCAGCAGUAACUCGUCUCUCCUCAGGAUAUUGUAAACAUGUAAAUCGUUGUUCAGUUUCUAACUCCCAAGUAAGAUAUAUAUCAGGAACAUAUCUACCCUCAAAUGGUGGAAUAUUCAAUUUCAGUUUAGGAAUAUGGACAUCAUCUCGUACCUGAGGCGGUGGUGCAGGCCUACCAUUACGAAUAUAUACCUGAGGUCGACCUGCUGGUGGUGGUACAGGUGGCUGCAUGUAGUGUUGAUUUUGAUCAACCUCAUCCUCAUAAUCUCCCACAUAAUCAUCCGCCUCCGCAUCAGCAGCAGGAGCCACAGAAGUAUCAACAGCAGCACCAACAGUUUGGCCAAACGCAAGAGGAACACGGCUUGCUCGGCGGAGGUCUGCUUCGCGACGUGGAGGUAGUCGUUGUUGUUGUUGUUGGAGAGGUGCGUUAGGUGCAGCGGGUGGUGGUGGUGGAAGACGCGCGAGCAAUUCAUUAAACUUGUUAUCGAGCUUUGUUUCGAACGUCUUCUCAAGGCCAGUGAUCUUCUCCAUGGCCUCUUCAAAAUUGUUCAGCACAUCUUGCACCUGUUCAGUCAUCAUUUGCUGAAACUUAUCAUGAAGCUCCUUGUUCGAUAAAUUCUCCCAGUCAAUCUCGUCGGCUUGUGAUCCUGGCAUGGUUAGCAGCAAUAGAAACACACAAGAAUAUGAUCCUACAGACUACUAAGAAGUGGUGGUGGUGUAUCACAAAUCCGUCAAGCAAAUCUCAAAUUCUUACCAGUUCUUACCCAGCAGCAGGCGGUGAUCGGCAACCGUUGUAGUCAAAAACUCUCAAAGCUUGGAUAGAGCGAUUACCAGGGAGAGUCAAACACACGACGUAGAUGUAUGUGGAGCUGGGAAGGCUUAUAGUAUUGAUGAGGACAUCAAUACAAUUGUUACACCCACAGCCCCUGCUGCUAUACAUACUGGACCAAUUACUAGAGCUCGUGCACGCCAACUAAAUUACCAGGUACUUUCGUUUCUUGGUAAUGAUUCUAAUGUUCAUGAGAAUAUGAUGCUGCCUAAAUUGGAUACAUUUGUUUUGCUUACAAAUGAAGGGCCUAGCUUGGAGAAGGAUGAACAUUGGAGCAAGAACAAGCAUGGAGAUGAUGGCAUGCGCAAGGGAAACAAGAACGGAGUUACAAGUGAUGAUUUCAGGACUUUGAAGCCACCAUAAUGGGUGCAUGAAGCCUUGGACGAAAUAUACAAGACGCCACUUCAUAAAUUUCGUCCCGAGGCUAUUUUAGGUGCUGCGUCACCUUAUUAUUGGUCCAGGCCCAUGUAAUUUCGAAAUACAUAAGUAUAGGCUAUUUUUAGAGUCCGUAUGUGUGGGGAAACAAGAGAUAGGGUUGAUUUCGGACCCCUCCACCAAGGGCCACGAAAUUCCCCCCCUCUUCCUCCAUAUAUACAGCCCUUAGGGCAUCGUUUAGACUUUGGGUUUUGUUUAGAUUAAAAGUUCGCCAUAGCUGCAACUUCGCGUACUUCGUUUGUGUUCAACGACCAGACAAAGGCGUCACAGAACCCCACCUUGAUCAAUAAAGCUUUCAUCUUAUAUUCGCAAUAUCCAGAUUGCAAUCUUAGUUUCUUGCUUGUUCUUCGUUUGCUCGCAGGAAACAGACCUUCGUGGUCAGGUUGAUCGUGCUCCGGCGUGGUCAAUAACCUCUCGGAGUUGGUUUAGCGAUUGCUAAGGCGCGACGUCCUCGCACGUUCGUAGUCGGAUCGUCAAAGUCGACUUCCACCAAAGCGAAAUCCUCCAUCUCAUCGAAAGACGGGACACCUUUGCCUCUAUCAACGCCUGGCACCCCCCUCGGGUUGGGCUCAGGGGCUCUCCUCUGGAGGGCCUCUAACUAGGCCGGCGACACAAGUAAGGCGUUCGGGCACCAUGUGGAGGCGUGCUUCAACGCGCGCUUCCGGGAGCGAGGCAUAGGGCGGGAAGCACCAAGCGUGCAAGAGUUCAUCACCAGGGUAAUUGGGAAUCUUCAGGAGGCGCGAGCCAUGCAAGGCGAGCGACAGCCCACGUUGCUCAAUGUAGCUUCCGCCUAGGACACAAGCGGUGAGUUACGCGUCUACGUCAACAUCCCGGGCCUCAACAGGGCUGCUUCCCAGGAGCUCUUCUGGCUGUCCCGUGUUGGCCGGUGUGGAGGCCACCCCCACAGCUACGUUUGCAUGCCGUUCGGCCUGCCGGGCGCGGCUGUCUCGCUCCAGCGGUGCAUGCAGGGCAUCCUGGCGUUUCAUGAUGCUAGGCGCCAGGCAAUCCCGACGGAGGAGGAGCCAGAGCCUCUGGAGCCCCCCAAAGCUCAGGAGUCUACUGGCUCAUGAGGAGCAACUUCCACGGCGCGCAUCUCCAGCUACUUCAACACUUCUGCCCCAACAGUGCCAGGUGACUUUUUAGUUUGUUCAGUUGAGGGCGCCCCUCGGGCUGCAUUAUCCUCAAGCUGUAUGGGUCCUCCCUGCAGCGUGUAUCAUUUUGCGCAUCUAUCAGAACUGGCUUCGCCUUUGCAUGAGUUGCUUUAUAUUAUUAUCUGCAUGUCCGGUGCAUCGCCACCACAAAUGUUAUGCGCCCUUACGAACCCGCCCACGACUACCUCAGGAUUAAGGGCUGGCACGGUGUCUGUGCUCGGGUCCGUCCCUGCAUCAUUGCUAAACCCAAGUGGCUGAGCUGUGUCUCGCGGGCCAGCCCCGUGUACGUCACCUCCCGUGGCCCUUGGUGAUUUUUUCUUGCAUGAGCUAAUCGUGGGCAGAUAAGUUAGGGUGCGCGGCAUGGUGCCUCACCACCGCGGGAGCCGCACGCUGACUGUCUAGGAUCGAUGCAUGAGAAGAUUGGGCAUGGCGUCUGUGCUCGGGUCCGUCCCUGCUGCUUCGACAAAUCCAGCGGCCGAGCUUUGUCUGGCGGGCCGGCCCCAUUCACGUCACCUCCUGGGGUCGCUGGUGUUUAGCCUUCUCCUGCAAUAUCCUUUAGAGAUUCACUCGGCGCAGGUGACCUAACCAUUGAUGUCUACUACACAACCUUCUUCUUGUAGACGUUGUUGGGCCUGCAAGUGCACAGGUUUGUAGGAUAGUAGCAAAUUUCCCUCAAGUGAAUGACCUAAGGUUUAUCAAUCCGUGGGAGGCGUAGGAUGAAGAUGGUCUCUCUAAAACAACCCUGCAACCAAAUAACAGAGAGUCUCUUGUGUCCCCAACACACCCAAUACAAUGGUAAAUUGUAUAGGUGCACUAGUUCGGCGAAGAGAUGGUGAUACAAGUGCAAUAUGGAUAGUAGAUAAAGGUAUUUGUAAUCUGAAAAUAUAAAAACAGCAAGGUUACUAAUGAUAAAAGUGAGCGUAAAUGAUAUUGCAAUGAUAGGAAAUAAGGCCUAGGGUUCAUACUUUCACUAGUGCAAGUUCUCUCAACAAUAAUAACAUAGAUAGAUCAUAUAACAAUCCCUCAACAUGCAACAAAGAGUCACUCCAAAGCCACUAAUAGCGGAGAACAAACGUAGAGAUUAUGGUAGGGUACGAAACCACCUAAAAGUUAUUCUUUCGGAUCGAUCUAUAAAAGAGUUCGUGCUAGAAUAACACCUUAAGACACAAAUCGACCAAAACCCUAAUGUCACCUAGAUACUCCAUUGUCACUUCAAGUAUCCGUGGGCAUGAUUAUACGAUAUGCAUCACACAAUCUCAGAUUCAUCCAACCAACACAAAGUACUUCAAAGAGUGCCCUAAAGUUUCUACCGGAGAGUCAAGAACGUGUGCCAACCCCUAUGCAUAGGUUCAUGGGAGGAACCCGCAAGUUGGUCACGAAGACAUACAUCAAGAGGCACAUGAUAUCCCAUUGUCACCAUAGAUAAGCACGGCAAGACAUACAUCACAUGUUCUCAUAAAAGACUCAAUCCAAUAAGAUAACUUCAAAGGGGAAACUCAAUUCAUCACAAGAGAGUAGAGGGGGAGAAACAUCACAAGAUCCAACUACAGUAGCAAAGCUCAGCAUACAUCAAGAUCAUGCCAUAGAGGGAACACGAGAGAGAGAGAGAGAUGAAACACAUAGCUACUGGUACAUACCCUCAGCCCCGAGGGUGAACUACUCCCUCCUUGUCAUGGAGAGCACCGGGAUGAUGAAGAUGGCCACUGGUGAUGGAUUCCCCCUCCGACAGGGUGCCGAAACGGGCUCCCGAGAGGUUUUUGGUGGCUACAGAGGCUUGCGGCGGCGGAACUCCUGAUCUAUCUUUUUUUCUGAUGGUUUUAGGGUACGUAGGCAUAUAUAGGCGAAAGAAGUCGGUCGGGAGGUGCUCGAGGGGCCCACGAGACAGGGGGGCGCGCCCUACAGGGGGGCAUGCCCUCCUAUCUCGUGGCUGCCUCGAGGAUCUUCUGACGUGGACUCCAAGUCUCCAGGAUCAUAUUCUUCCAAAAAAUCACGUUGCCGAAGGUUUCAUUCUGUUUGGACUCCGUUUGAUAUUCCUUUUCUUUGAAAUACUGAAACAGGGAAUAAAACAACAAUAUGGGCUGGGCCUCCGGUUAAUAGGUUAGUCCCAAAAGUAAUAUAAAAGUGUGUAAUAAAGCCCAUAAUCACUCAAAACACAUAGUAAUAUAGCAUGAAUGCUUCAUAAAUUAUAGAUACGUUGGAGACGUAUCAACAUCCUGAUGAGGACAUGACUACCUUGGAUAUGACCAAAAAUAUUGCAUAUAUGCAUAUUUGUCAGGUGAUUUCUAGUGCAAACUAUUCAAUAAUCUAUUCAUGUUAUCCAGAACAAAAAUACUUCACACACUUUUGUGUUUUGUCUAAUUGCAGGUGUAUGGAACAUUUGUACAAUCCACAUAUGAAGAUAAGGAAGAAAGAGAUGUUUAUUUGCUGUCCAAAAAGUUCUCUCACGUCACUUUUGGCCCAAAAGAAGAUAGAGUCCAAGUCUCUCACGUUCUGGAUUCAGAUUCGGACUGCACAGACAUACCUGACUCAAAACGCACACAAGUUUUUCAUACGGACUCCGAAUUGGGUGAUUCUUUUUCUGUUGGAAACUAGAUUUCGUGCACUUUCCAACCCAAUUGGAAUCACCUUCAAAUUCGUCCGGAGCGUUGAGUUGUGGACGAAACAAUCUGAUGCUGCAGAAGAAUCCGAGUCAAACUACAAGUCCAAAGGUGUUACAUCACCUCCACUUGGGCCCAUUGGCCUUGUACGACCUAGAUUUAGUUUUAGGCUGCCUUGGGACGUCCUCCCACCUCCUUGGCCGCCACCCCUUGCUCCUAUAUAAGUAGAUCCAUCUAGUAGCUUUUCUUUGGGAUUUGUUUAGUUAAAAGUUAGCCAUUGCAACUUCGUGUACUUCGUUUGUGUCCAACGACCAGACCAAGACCGCUUACGGAUCCCCACCAUUAUCAAUACUUCAUAUAUAUUCGCAAUAUUCAGAUUGCUUUAUCAUAUUCUUGCUCGUUCUUCGAUUGCUUGCAGGAAUAGACCUUCGUGGUCAGGUUGAUCGUGCUCCAGUAUGGUCAAUAACCUCUCGGAGUUGGUUUAGCGAUUGCUAAGGCGCAACGUCGUGCACGUUUGUAGUCGGAUCGUCAAAGUCGUCUCCACCAAAUCGAUAGUUAUCAUCUCAUCGAAAGAUCGGGACACCCUCGCCUCUAUCAAGUGGUAUCAAAGAUCUGUUCACAUUAGUCACGCCGCCGCUGCAUCAUUAUCCCUUCCGCUGUCCACCAUCCCAUCUAUUAAUUUCCACCACGUGCUACGCGCUGUUCAUUGUCAUAAUCAUAGUUGAGGUCGUUCACAUCUUUGCCUGAUCCAAUCUGCAUCUUAUCUAGUUUGUCUUGGAAAGAGGGAGAAAAAAAAGAGAGAAAAAAAGGAAAGAAAAAAAAGAAAAAGAGAGAGAAGAAAAAGAAAAAAAAAAGCGUGAGGAAAAAAAGAGAGAAGAAGAAAAAAAUCGGAUCUAUCUAGAAUCAAUCUCGUACCUGAAUUCGGAUUAGAAUCUGUUUUGCGCACUAUUCAGUAAAACAGGUGUAUCUUCCUCAUACGAAGUCCGUUUUGGCUCCGUGAGUACUCAAAUUGAAGCUAGCGACGAGCCGCAUGUAAAUAGUUUCAGAAGCUUGUUCAAUAUUUGACACCUCAAAAUCGUCUUCUAAAUAGGUCUUUUUGCUCUCCGAAGUUCGUGAACACAACUUGUUCCAAUUUUUCAGGCCAGUUUUAAAAUUCUUUGACUUCUCAUAUCAAUUCAGAAUUGAGUGAUUCUUUUUGCAUUGGAAAGCUUGAGUUAGUAGCAAACUUUUCAAGAGGAAAUUUGAAGAGAGAGUUGUUAUAUAUCCUACUUGGCAGUUGUUAUUCAUCAUUAUCUUUACUGCCGUUGUGAUUUUCACUUAUAUCUUGCUGUCCAGAGCUACUUUGUAUCCUUCAUUGAUGCUGGUUGUGCUACGACAUGACCUCAUUAGUGUUCUAGGCUCGCGUCUCUAGUUCGGUCUAGCCUAGGACCAGCACAGUACCGUCGUUGAGCGUUUAUUCAACAUUGCAUCUUUGAAUUGAUUAUUGCUUAUCUUUUGCUACCGUAUAUAGCCAACCCAACUCCACAUUUUGUACACCGUGUAUACGUACGCUCCCCUGGCAAUCGCUUUACUCAAUAUUCGGAGUUACUUGACACCGCUGGUUGCCGAUCACUGCCUGCUGCAUGGUAAGAACGUGUAAGACAUUGAUAUUUGCUUUACUGUGAGCGUUUUACCACCACAUCCUAGUAGUUAUAGGAACAUUAUUUUUGGGUUUUGUUUCUUGUUCUACUAAUCAUGACAGGAUCCAGAGUCAAUUCAUGGGCUUCGUCGAUCGCGGGAGACGUGCCACCACCUUUGCAAAUACCACAACCGUCACGAGAGGUGCACAAACAUCCAAAUGCACAUGAUCAGGAUAAUGUAUCUAUACCACCAUUUAAUGGCCGUUUUAAACCUGCUUUAUAUAUUGAAUGGGAGUUCGACAUAAAAUGAUAGAGGCAAAGGUGUCCCGUCUUUCGAUGAGAUGAUGGAUAUCGCUUUGGUGGAAGUCGACUUUGACGAUCCGACUACGAACGUGCGAGGACGUCGCGCCUUAGCAAUCGCUAAACCAACUCCGAGAGGUUAUUCACCACGCCGGAGCCCGAUCAACCUGACCACGAGGGUCUGUUUCCUGCGAGCAAACGAAGAACAAGCAAGAAACUAAGAUUGCAAUCUGGAUAUUGCAAAUAUAAGAUGAAAGCUUUAUUGAUCAAGGUGGGGUUCUGUGACGCCUUUGUCUGGUCGUUGAACACAAACGAAGUACGCGAAGUUGCAGCUAUGGUGAACUUUUAAUCUAAACAAAACCCCAAAGUCUAAACGAUAACCUAAGGGCUGUAUAUAUGGAGGAAGAGGGGGGAAUUUCGUGGCCCUUGGUGGAGGGGUCCGAAAUCAACCCUAUCUCUUGUUUCCCCACACAUACGGACUCUAAAAAUAGCCUAUACUUAUGUAUUUCGAAAUUACAUGGGCCUGGCCCAAUAAUAAGGUGACGCAGCACCUAAAAUAGCCUCGGGACGAAAUUUAUGAAGUGGCAUCUUGUAUAUUUCGUCCAAGGCUUCAUGCACCCAUUAUGGUGGCUUCAAAGUCCUAAAAUCAUCACUUGUAACUCCGUUCUUGUUCCCCUUGCGCAUGCCAUCAUCUCCAUGCUUGUUCUUGCUCCAAUGUUCAUCCUUCUCCAAGCUAGGCCCUUCAUUUGUAAGCAAAACAAAUGUAUCGAAUUUAGGCAGCAUCAUAUUCUCAUGAACAUUAGAAUCAUUACCAAGAAACGAAAGUACCUGGUAAUUUAGUUGGCGUGCACGAGCUCUAGUAAUUGGUCCAGUAUAUAUAGCAUCAUGGGCUGUGGGUGUAACAAUUGUAUUGAUGUCCUAAUCAUCCUCCCCUUCUUGAAAUGAAGUCGUCCAUGACGGAAGUUCAUCUUCCUCACCCAAAUAAGGCUUCAAAUCUGCAAUGUUAAAAGUGGGACUAACCCCAAAAUCUGCAGGCAGCUCAAGUUUAUAUGCAUUAUCAUUUAUUUUCUCUAACACCUUAAAGGGACCAUCAGCACGUGGCAUUAGCUUUGAUUUGCGCAAAUCAGGAAAUCUAUCCUUACGCAAAUGUAACCAAACAAGAUCUCCAGGUGCAAACACAACAUGUUUUCUACCCUUAUCUCCAGCAAGUUUAUAUUUAGCAUUCAUACGCUCAAUGUUUUCCUUAGUUAACUCAUGCAUUUUUAAAAUCAAUUCAGCACGUUGUUUAGCAUCAAAAUUAACCUUCUCCGAAGAUGGAAGAGGCAACAAAUCAAUAGGUGCACGAGGUAGGAAACCAUACACAACUUCAAAAGGGCACAUCUUAGUAGUAGAAUGCAAUGAACGAUUGUAAGCAAAUUCAAUAUGAGGCAAGCAUUCCUCCCACAUUUUCUUAUUCUUCUUCAAAACAGCCCUAAGCAUAGUAGACAACGUUCUAUUGACUACUUCAGUUUGUCCAUCAGUUUGGGGGUGACAAGUAGUACUAAAAAGCAGUUUAGUCCCCAACUUAGCCCAUAAACAUGAUAGAGGCAGAGGUGUCCCGUCUUUCGAUGAGAUGAUGGAUUUCGCUUUGGUGGAAGUCGACUUUGACGAUCCGACUACGAACGUGCGAGGACGUCGCGCCUUAGCAAUCGCUAAACCAACUCCGAGAGGUUAUUGACCACGCCGGAGCACGAUCAACCUGACCACGAGGGUCUGUUUCCUGCGAGCAAACGAAGAACAAGCAAGAAACUGAGAUUGCAAUCUGGAUAUUGCGAAUAUAAGAUGAAAGCUUUAUUGAUCAAGGUGGGGUUCUGUGACGCCUUUGUCUGGUCGUUGAACACAAACGAAGUACGCGAAGUUGCAGCUAUGGCGAACUUUUAAUCUAAACAAAACCCAAAGUCUAAACGAUGCCCUAAGGGCUGUAUAUAUGGAGGAAGAGGGGGGGAAUUUCGUGGCCCUUGGUGGAGGGGUCCGAAAUCAACCCUAUCUCUUGUUUCCCCACACAUACGGACUCUAAAAAUAGCCUGUACUUAUGUAUUUCGAAAUUACAUGGGCCUGGCCCAAUAAUAAGGUGACGCAGCACCUAAAAUAGCCUCGGGACGAAAUUUAUGAAGUGGCAUCUUGUAUAUUUCGUCCAAGGCUUCAUGCACCCAUUAUGGUGGCUUCAAAGUCCUGAAAUCAUCACUUGUAACUCCGUUCUUGUUCCCCUUGCGCAUGCCAUCAUCUCCAUGCUUGUUCUUGCUCCAAUGUUCAUCCUUCUCCAAGCUAGGCCCUUCAUUUGUAAGCAAAACAAAUGUAUCCAAUUUAGGCAGCAUCAUAUUCUCAUGAACAUUAGAAUCAUUACCAAGAAACGAAAGUACCUGGUAAUUUAGUUCGCGUGCACGAGCUCUAGUAAUUGGUCCAGUAUGUAUAGCAGCAGGGGCUGUGGGUGUAACAAUUGUAUUGAUGUCCUCAUCACUAUGACUCCUGAUUCCAUUUUGAAAGAUGAUAUUAAUAGAGCUAAUAAAGCACAACAGGAGAAGAAUAAGAGUGAAAAUCAGAUUGUGGCAAAAGAAUUUGAGCAACAAAUGAAGCCUAAUAAUAAACCAUCUAGUGUUGCUUCUGAAAUUAAAUUGAAAAGUGCAUGUUUAUUUGCCACCAAAUCUGAUAUUGAUGAGCUAGAUUUCAGCAAAUCUGUUUGCUAUGCUUUUUUGUGCAAAGAGGCAUUAUUUUCAUUCGAGGACGAGCCUUCCUCUUUGCCUCCUGCUGUCACUAACAUUUUGCAGGAGUUCGCUGACGUUUUUCCACAAGACGUGCCACUGGGAUUACCGCCUAUUCGAGGGAUUGAGCAUCCGAUUGACUUAAUUCCCGGUGCUUCACUGCCAAACCGUGCACCAUACCGUACCAAUCCAGAGGAGACGAAGGAGAUUAUGCGUCAAGUACAAGAGCUUCUCGACAAAGGUUAUAUACGCGAAUCCCUUAGUCCUUGUGCUGUUCCUAUUAUUCUAGUGCCGAAAAAGGAUGGUACAUCACGUAUGUGUGUUGAUUUCAGAGGCAUUAAUAAUAUUACUAUUCGUUAUCGUCAUCCUAUUCCUAGGCUAGAUGAUAUGCUUGAUGAAUUGAGUGGCUCUACAAUAUUCUCCAAAGUUGAUUUGCGUAGUGGCUACCAUCAAAUUCGUAUGAAAUUGGGAGAUGAAUGGAAAACAGCAUUUAAAACUAAGUUUGGAUUAUAUGAGUGGUUAGUCAUGCCUUUUGGGUUAACUAAUGCACCUAGUACUUUCAUGAGAUUAAUGAACGAAGUUUUACGUGCUUUCAUUGGACGAUUUGUGGUAGUUUACUUUGAUGACAUAUUGAUUUAUAGCAGAUCUUUGGAAGAACAUUUGGAACAUUUACGUGCUGUUUUUAUUGCUCUACGUGAUGCAUGUUUGUUUGGUAACCUUGGGAAGUGCACCUUUUGCACCGACCGAGUAUCUUUUCUUGGCUAUGUUGUUACUCCACAGGGAAUUGAAGUUGACAAAGCCAAGAUUGAAGCUAUUGAGAGUUGGCCGCAGCCCAAAACGGUCACACAAGUGAGGAGUUUUCUUGGCCUCGCUGGAUUCUAUAGGCGUUUUGUGAGAGAUUUCAGCACCAUUGCUGCACCUCUCAACGAGCUUACAAAGAAGGAUGGGCCUUUUGUUUGGGGUACCGCACAGGAAGAAGCCUUCACGGUAUUGAAAGAUAAGUUGACACAUGCUCCUUUACUCCAACUUCCUGAUUUUAAUAAGACUUUUGAGCUUGAAUGUGAUGCUAGUGGAAUUGGAUUAGGAGGUGUGUUAUUACAAGAUGGCAAACCUGUUGCAUACUUUUCUGAAAAAUUGAGUGGGCCUAGUCUGAAUUAUUCUACUUAUGAUAAAGAAUUAUAUGCUCUUGUUCGGACUUUAGAAACAUGGCAACAUUAUUUAUGGCCCAAAGAAUUUGUUAUACAUUCUGAUCAUGAAUCUUUGAAACAUAUUAAAAGUCAAACUAAACUGAAUCGUAGACAUGCUAAAUGGGUUGAAUUCAUUGAGACUUUCCCUUAUGUCAUUAAACACAAGAAGGGAAAAGAAAAUGUUAUUGCUGAUGCAUUGUCUCGUUGCUAUACUAUGCUUUCACAACUUGACUUCAAAAUAUUUGGUUUGGAGACCAUCAAAGAUCAAUAUGUGCAUGAUGCUGAUUUUAAAGAUGUAAUGCAGAAUUGUAAAGAAGGAAGAAUGUGGAACAAGUUUGUCGUUAAUGAUGGAUUUGUGUUUCGUGCUAACAAGCUAUGCAUUCCAGCUAGCUCCAUUCGUCUUUUGUUGUUGCAGGAGGCGCAUGGAGGAGGAUUAAUGGGACACUUUGGCGUGAAGAAGACGGAGGACGUACUUGCUACACAUUUCUUUUGGCCAAAGAUGAGACGGGAUGUUGAGCGUUUUAUUGCUCGAUGCACUACAUGUCAAAAAGCUAAGUCACGACUCAAUCCUCAUGGUUUAUAUAUGCCUUUGCCUGUACCUAGUGUUCCUUGGGAGGAUAUAUCUAUGGACUUUGUUUUAGGUUUACCUCGAACAAAGAAGGGGAGGGAUAGCAUAUUUGUUGUCGUGGAUAGAUUCUCGAAAAUGGCACACUUAAUACCAUGUCAUAAAAGCGAUGAUGCUGUUAAUGUUGCUGAUUUGUUCUUUCGUGAAAUUAUUCGCUUGCAUGGUGUGCCAAAUACUAUUGUUUCAGAUCGUGAUACUAAAUUUCUUAGCCACUUUUGGAGAUGUUUAUGGGCUAAGUUGGGGACUAAACUGCUUUUUAGUACUACUUGUCACCCCCAAACUGAUGGACAAACUGAAGUAGUCAAUAGAACGUUGUCUACUAUGCUUAGGGCUGUUUUGAAGAAUAAUAAGAAAAUGUGGGAGGAAUGCUUGCCUCAUAUUGAAUUUGCUUAUAAUCGUUCAUUGCAUUCUACUACUAAGAUGUGCCCUUUUGAAGUUGUGUAUGGUUUCCUACCUCGUGCACCUAUUGAUUUGUUGCCUCUUCCAUCUUCGGAUUUUGGGGUUAGUCCCACUUUUAACAUUGCAGAUUUGAAGCCUUAUUUGGGUGACGAAGAUGAACUUCCGUCGAGGACGACUUCAUUUCAAGAAGGGGAGGAUGAUGAGGACAUCAAUACAAUUGUUACACCCACAGCCCCUGCUGCUAUACAUACUGGACCAAUUACUAGAGCUCGUGCACGCCAACUAAAUUACCAGGUACUUUCGUUUCUUGGUAAUGAUUCUAAUGUUCAUGAGAAUAUGAUGCUGCCUAAAUUGGAUACAUUUGUUUUGCUUACAAAUGAAGGGCCUAGCUUGGAGAAGGAUGAACAUUGGAGCAAGAACAAGCAUGGAGAAAAGUAUGCAACAGGUUUGCCAUCUUGUAAUAACACACCUCCUAAUCCAAUUCCACUAGCAUCACAUUCAAGCUCAAAAGUCUUAUUAAAAUCAGGAAGUUGGAGUAAAGGAGCAUGUGUCAACUUAUCUUUCAAUACCGUGAAGGCUUCUUCCUGUGCGGUACCCCAAACAAAAGGCACAUCCUUCUUUGUAAGCUCGUUGAGAGGUGCAGCAAUGGUGCUGAAAUCUCUCACAAAACGCCUAUAGAAUCCAGCGAGGCCAAGAAAACUCCUCACUUGUGUGACCGUUUUGGGCUGCGGCCAACUCUCAAUAGCUUCAAUCUUGGCUUUGUCAACUUCAAUUCCCUGUGGAGUAACAACAUAGCCAAGAAAAGAUACUCGGUCGGUGCAAAAGGUGCACUUCCCAAGGUUACCAAACAAACGUGCAUCACGUAGAGCAAUAAAGACAGCACGUAAAUGUUCCAAAUGUUCUUCCAAAGAUCUGCUAUAAAUCAGUAUAUCAUCAAAAUAGACUACCACAAAUCAUCCAAUGAAAGCACGUAAAACUUCAUUCAUUAGUCUCAUGAAAGUACUAGGCGCAUUAGUUAACCCAAAAGGCAUGACUAACCACUCAUAUAAUCCAAACUUAGUUUUAAAUGUUGUUUUCCAUUAAUCUCCCAAUUUCAUACGAAUUUGAUGGUAGCCACUACGCAAAUCAACUUUGGAGAAUAUUGUAGAGCCACUCAAUUCAUCAAGCAUAUCAUCUAGCCUAGGAAUAGGAUGACGAUAACGAAUAGUAAUAUUAUUAAUGCCUCUACAAUCAACACACAUACGUGAUGUACCAUCCUUUUUCGGCACUAGAAUAAUAGGAACAGCACAAGGACUAAGGGAUCGCGUAUAUAACCUUUGUCGAGAAGCUCUUGUACUUGACGCAUAAUCUCCUUCGUCUCCUCUGGAUUGGUACGGUAUGGUGCACGGUUUGGCAGUGAAGCACCGGGAAUUAAGUCAAUCUGAUGCUCAAUCCCUCGAAUAGGCGGUAAUCCCGGUGGCACGUCUUGUGGAAAAACGUCAGCGAACUCCUGCAAAAUGUUAGUGACAGCAGGAGGCAAAGAGGAAGGCACGUCCUCGAAUGAAAAUAAUGCCUCUUUGCACACAAAAGCAUAGCAAACAGAUUUGCUGAAAUCUAGCUCAUCAAUAUCAGAUUUGGUGGCAAAUAAACAUGCACUUUUCAAUUUAAUUUCAGAAGCAACACUAGAUGGUUUAUUAUUAGGCUUCAUUUGUUGCUCAAAUUCUUUUGCCACAAUCUGAUUAAUAUCAUCUUUCAAAAUGGAAUCAGGAGUCAUAGGAAGCAAAGUAAUAUUUUUAUCCUUAUGAACAAGAGUAUAGUGAUUGUUUCUACCAUGGUGUACAGAAAUUUUAUCAAAUUGCCAUGGUCUACCAAGUAAUAAGGAACAUGCUUGCAUAGGUACCACAUCACAAUCAACAUAAUCAGCAUAUGUAGAGAUACUAAAAUGCACACGAACAGUACGUGUUACCUUAACCUUGCCGCUGUUGUUGAACCAUUGGAUGUAGUAAGGAUGUGGAUGUGGUCUUGUGGUGAGAGAAAGCUUCUCCACCAUCUCCAUGCUAGCCAAGUUGUUGCAGCUCCCUCCGUCUAUUAUGACACGCUCAGAACGUUCCUUCACAACUCCCUUGGUAUGGAACAAAUUGUGCCUCUGAUUUUGCUCAGCUUGUGUGACCUGCACACUCAAAACACGUUGAGCAACUAAACAUUCAUACCUGUCAGCGUCUUCAGGAGCCAUGUAUUGCGUCUCAUGAUCAGAAUCAUCUCCACCAUGUUCUUCACGUGUAAUAAGAGCCAAUGUCUCCUCAUCAUAGUCACUAGCGGACUCAUAUCCACCAUCCGCGGUAGCAAUCAUCACACGCGGAGAUUUGCAUUCCCUUGCAUAAUGACCUCCUCCCUUACAACGACGACAAAUAAUAUCACUUGUGUGCCCUGUUGAUGCCAUGGAAGAAGAAGAACGCUGUGCAGGCCCCGCAGGUGCGCUCUUGGCAGAUAAUGGUGGUUGUGCCUGUUUUCUUGUAUCACGGCUGGAGGUGGCACCGGAUAGAGGUGCUGGUGCAGUUGAAGUAGAAGAUGCACGUGGUGUCCAUGAUGAAGGUCGGCCUGCAGAAAAGUUAGUUCGCCCCAAUGCUUGUCGAUCCUGCACUUCACGUUCAGCUUUACAAGCAAGAUGGAGUAAACGAGUGAUAUUAGUAUACUCCUUAUAGUCUAGAAUGGUCUGAAUCUCUCUAUUUAAUCCACCCAGAAAACGUGCAAGCAUAGCUUCAUUCUCCUCAACAAUACCACAUCUAAUCAUGCCAGUUUGUAAUUCCUGAUAAUAUUCUUCUACAGAAUUUUUCCCUUGUCUUAAACGCUGCAAUUUUUGAAGCAAUUCACGUUGAUAAUAUGGUGGAACCCAACGCGUACGCAUAGCAGUUUUCAAAGCAGCCCAAGUAGUUGGAAUAGAAUAUAAUCUACAAUGUUCAGACCACCAUACACAUGCAAAACUAGUGAAAGCACAAACAGCAGCAGCAACUCGUCUCUCCUCAGGAUAUUGUAAACAUGUAAAUCGUUGUUCAGUUUUCUAACUCCCAAGUAAGAUAUAUAUCAGGAACAUAUCUACCCUCAAAUGGUGGAAUAUUCAAUUUCAGUUUAGGAAUAUGGACAUCAUCUCGUACCUGAGGUGGUGGUGCAGGCCUACCAUUAUGAAUAUAUACCUGAGGUCGACCUGCUGGUGGUGGUGCUGGUGGCUGCUCGUAGAUCUGAUUUUGAUCAACCUCAUCCUCAUAAUCGCCCGCUUACUCAUCAUCCUCCUGGGUACCAGCAGCAGCAGUAGGAGGAGCCAACGAAGCACCAACAGCAGUAGCAGCGGCACCAGAAUUUUGUCCUGGCUCAAUAGGAACACGCUGUGCUCGUCCAUACUGAUUCGGAAGGGGGCGUAGUUGUUGUUGUUGCAGAGGUGCGACAGGUGCAGCCGGUGGUGGAAGACGCGCAAGCAGUUCAUUAAAUCUGUUAUCGAGCUUUGUUUCGAACGUCUUCUCAAGGCCAGUGAUCUUCUCCAUGGCCUCUUCAAAAUUGUUCAGCACAUCUUGUACCUGUUCAGUCAUCAUUUGCUGAAACUUAUCAUGAAGCUCCUUGUUCGAUAAGUUCUCCCAGUCAAUCUCGUCGGCUUGUGAUCCUGGCAUGGUUAGCAGCAAUAGAAACACACAAGAAUAUGAUCCUACAGACUACUAAGAAGUGGUGGUGGUGUAUCACAAAUCCGUCAAGCAAAUCUCAAAUUCUUACCAGUUCUUACCCAGCAGCAGGCGGUGAUCGGCAACCGUUGUAGUCAAAAACUCUCAAAGCUUGGAUAGAGCGAUUACCAGGGAGAGUCAAAACACACGACGUAGAUGUAUGUGGAGCUGGGAAGGCUUAUACUAUGGUAGCAAAAAGGGUCAGCAAUAAUCAAUUCAGAGAUGCAAAGUUGAAUAAACGCUCAACGACGGUACUGUGCUGGUCCUAGGCUAGACUGUGCUAGAGACGCGAGCCUAGAACACCAACAAAAUCACGGCGCGGCACGUAAACAAGGGAAAAGCACACUCUGAAAUUUUUCUUUUCGCUCUCUUUUUUUUUGCGCUCUUUUUUUUUGCGCUGCUUUUUUUUGCGAAAAAGCACUAUAAUGGCGAGUGUCUCAAAACUCUUCCUAGGUCAAACUGACAGGAUGGGCACGAAUUUUUUUUUUCGACUGCCCGGACCCAAAAACUGGAAACGGGUCAAAAAAAACUUCCUAUAAUGGCACCUGUCUCAAAACACUCAGAAACACCUAAAAAUAGGAUAGCCAGAUUUUUUUUCGAAAAAUGCGUUUUCGAAAAAUUUUGGACCUAAACGGAGCGUGGUUUCCCCACUCUUUUUUUUCCGAAACCUACUCCGGCAAGGAAACACGAAUCGGAAACUAGAUGGAUCUCGAAAACAACCCUAAUAAGCAAGGAACUCGGAUUGGUGGUGGAUAUAUGGUGGUGGUAUAUGGCAGCGGUGGUGGUAGCGGUGGUAAUAUAUGGAUAUGGAUCGGUGGUGGUAUAUGGACACGGAUUGGUGGUGGUAUAUGGAUACGGAUUCGGAGUGGUGGUGGUAGAUGGCAGGGGCGAUGAUGAUGGUGCGGCGGCGGCGUGACAACUUAUGACCAGAACUCGAAACUCUAAAAGACUAGACUCUAAGACCAGCAACUAGACCGACGAUGCAACCGCAAAUUCAACAAAGCAAAACCCUAAAAAGAUUAUGCAAAGGCUCAGAUUGGUUCGGAUAUGAUGAACUAACCCUAAUUUUUUUUGUGGCUUUUUCGUGGACUGUAGGUAUGAGGAACACACUCGAUCUAAACUACGAAAAACUGUAAAAUCUCACCGAGCAACCUGGAAAUCUGAUACCACUUGAUAGAGGCAAAGGUGUCCCGUCUUUCGAUGAGAUGAUGGAUAUCGCUUUGGUGGAAGUCGACUUUGACGAUCCGACUACGAACGUGCGAGGACGUCGCGCCUUAGCAAUCGCUAAACCAACUCCGAGAGGUUAUUGACCACGCCGGAGCACGAUCAACCUGACCACGAGGGUCUGUUUCCUGCGAGCAAACGAAGAACAAGCAAGAAACUAAGAUUGCAAUCUGGAUAUUGCGAAUAUAAGAUGAAAGCUUUAUUGAUCAAGGUGGGGUUCUGUGACGCCUUUGUCUGGUCGUUGAACACAAACGAAGUACGCGAAGUUGCAGCUAUGGCGAACUUUUAAUCUAAACAAAACCCCAAAGUCUAAACGAUGCCCUAAGGGCUGUAUAUAUGCAGGAAGAGGGGGGAAUUUCAUGGCCCUUGGUGGAGGGGUCCGAAAUCAACCCUAUCUCUUGUUUCCCCACACAUACGGACUCUAAAAAUAGCCUAUACUUAUGUAUUUCGAAAUUACAUGGGCCUGGCCCAAUAAUAAGGUGACGCAGCACCUAAAAUAGCCUCGUGACAGAAUUUAUGAAGUGGCAUCUUGUAUAUUUCGUCCAAGGCUUCAUGCACCCAUUAUGGUGGCUUCAAAGUCCUGAAAUCAUCACUUGUAACUCCGUUCUUGUUCCCCUUGCGCAUGCCAUCAUCUCCAUGCUUGUUUUUGCUCCAAUGUUCAUCCUUCUCCAAGCUAGGCCCUUCAUUUGUAAGCAAAACAAAUGUAUCCAAUUUAGGCAGCAUCAUAUUCUCAUGAACAUUAGAAUCAUUACCAAGAAACGAAAGUACCUGGUAAUUUAGUUGGCGUGCACGAGCUCUAGUAAUUGGUCCAGUAUAUAUAGCAUCAUGGACUGUGGGUGUAACAAUUGUAUUGAUGUCCUCAUCAUAAAAAAUAUAUUUGCUUCCCAUAAUUUUGAUGAACAUAAAAAGGUUAAGGUUGCGGUUGGUUCUUUCACUGGUUAUGCUUUGGUUUGGUGGAGUGAAUAUUGUCGGUUACACCCUGAUUAUAUACCUACUACUUGGGAUGAUUUGAAACUUGCCAUGCGACAUACUUUCGUCCCUGCUUAUUAUACUCGUGACAUGAUUAAGAAGUUGCAACACUUAAAACAAGGUAGUGAAACUGUAACAAAAUAUUAUGAUGAUUUACAAACUACCUUGUUGCAUUCCUCUUUAGAAGAAAGUGAAGAUGAUUUUAUGGAUAGAUUUUGGGGAGGAUUAAACCGUGAUAUUCAAGAGAUACUAAUUCAUGAAGAGUGUUAUCCUAUGGACCAUUUGUUUCAUCUUGCUUGCAAAGCUGAACAGGAAAUAAAACGACGUGUUGGCCACGAGGAGAACAAGCGCACGGUGCACAUUCCAAGAGUUGAUAUGAUUGUUCCUUCAACUACUAGGCAUACUAUGACAACCACAUCCGUCGUUGUGAAGACUACAUCACCUCCACCAUGUGACACAUCGCCCCCGAGAGUGGCUACAUCAUCUGAGUUGAUCAUAAGAGGUAAUGACAAAGGUACUGAUCUUCCAUCUCUACAUGAGAAUGAUGAAUGCCUUGUCAAUUUGAAUGCACCAUCUGAUGAGCUACCCACUACUUUGAUCACACCACCUAUUUUAGAGGACUACGUUGAUAAUUUGACUUUGCCAUGUGAUCAAACAACUGAAAUACCAACAAUUUUGAGUGCACCCAUUGAAUUAACUAUUGAUGCAAAAGAACCAAUGUUUAAUCAUUUUGAUAUGACCUCUAAUCUUGGUGAUGAUUCUGUGUUGAAUGACUUAUUGCAUGUUUGCUUAUUUAAGCAUGUUGUAGCAUGUAAAUUUGAUGCAAGUAAGGUUUAUUCACCAAUGUUGGGAUGGUUUAAUGAUAAACAUUGUCAAUCUUUUGAAAUGAAUAAGAGCUUCACUUAUAUGUGCAAACUGAGUUGCAAUAUUUUCAUGCCUUCUACUUCUUGUGCUAAUUUUUUGGCUUUAGAUUUUAUGAACUAUGCAAGUUACUCAUCUAUUCAUGUGUCAUAUAUGCAAAAAUCAAGGGAAGUAAAAAUGGAUGACAUAUACAUAUACAACAUGUACACCUUGUCUCUUUUGGUAGCCACAUUUCAGAUUAAGCAACGCCGAGGACGGCUUUAUUUUCAAGAAGGGGAGGAUGAUGAGGACAUGACUACCUUGGAUAUGACCAAAAAUAUUGCAUAUAUGCAUAUUUGUCAGGUGAUUUCUAGUGCAAACUAUUCAAUAAUCUAUUUAUGUUAUCCAGAACAAAAAUACUUCACACACUUUUGUGUUUUGUCUAAUUGCAGGUGUAUGGGACAUUUGUACAAUCCACAUAUGAAGAUAAGGAAGAAAGAGAUGUUUAUUUGCUGUCCAAAAAGUUCUCUCACGUCACUUUUGGCCCAAGAGAAGAUAGAGUCCAAGUCUCUCACGUUUUGGAUUCAGAUUCGGACUGCACAGACAUACCUGACUCAAAACGCACACAAGUUUUUCAUACGGACUCCGAAUUGGGUGAUUCUUUUUUUGUUGGAAACUAGAUUUCGUGCACUUUCCAACCCAAUUAGAAUCACCUUCAAAUUCGUCCGGAGCGUUUAGUUGUGGACGAAACAAUCUGAUGCUGCAGCAGAAUCCGAGUCAAACUACAAGUCCAAAGGUGUUACAUCACCUCCACUUGGGCCCAUGAGCCUUGUACGACCUAGGGUUAGUUUUAGGCUGCCUUGGGACGUCCUCCCACCUCCUUGGCCGCCACCCCUUGCUCCUAUAUAAGUAGAUCCAUCUAGUAGCUUUUUCCUUGGGUUUUGUUUAGAUUAAAAGUUCGCCAUAGCUGCAACUUCGCGUACUUCGUUUGUGUUCAACGACCAGACAAAGGCGUCACAGAACCCCACCUUGAUCAAUAAAGCUUUCAUCUUAUAUUCGCAAUAUCCAGAUUGCAAUCUCAGUUUCUUGCUUGUUCUUCGUUUGCUCGCAGGAAACAGACCCUCGUGGUCAGGUUGAUCGUGCUCCGGCGUGGUCAAUAACCUCUCGGAGUUGGUUUAGCGAUUGCUAAGGCGCGACGUCCUCGCACGUUCGUAGUCGGAUCGUCAAAGUCGACUUCCACCAAAGCGAAAUCCACCAUCUCAUCGAAAGACGGGACACCUUUGCCUCUAUCACUUGGACUCUAUCUUCUCUUGGGCCAAAAGUGACGUGAGAGAACUUUUUGGACAGCAAAUAAACAUCUCUUUCUUCCUUAUCUUCAUAUGUGGAUUGUACAAAUGUCCCAUACACCUGCAAUUAGACAAAACACAAAAGUGUGUGAAGUAUUUUUGUUCUGGAUAACAUAAAUAGAUUAUUGAAUAGUUUGCACUAGAAAUCACCUGACAAAUAUGCAUAUAUGCAAUAUUUUUGGUCAUAUCCAAGGUAGUCAUGUCCUCAUCAUCCUCCCCUUCUUGAAAAUAAAGCCGUCCUCGGCGUUGCUUAAUCUGAAAUGUGGCUAACAAAAGAGACAAGGUGUACAUGUUGUAUAUGUAUAUGUCAUCCAUUUUUACUUCCCUUGAUUUUUGCAUAUAUGACACAUGAAUAGAUGAGUAACUUGCAUAGUUCAUAAAAUCAAAAGCCAAAAAAUUAGCACAAGAAGUAGAAGGCAUGAAAAUAUUGCAACUCAGUUUGCACAUAUAAGUGAAGCUCUUAUUCAUUUCAAAGGAUUGACAAUGUUCAUCAUUAAACCAUCCCAACAUUGGUGAAUAAACCUUACUUGCAUCAAAUUUACAUGCUACAACAUGCUUAAAUAAGCAAACAUGCAAUAAGUCAUUCAACACAGAAUCAUCACCAAGAUUAGAGGUCAUAUCAAAAUGAUUAAACAUUGGUUCUUUUGCAUCAAUAGUUAAUUCAAUGGGUGCACUCAAAAUUGUUGGUAUUUCAGUUGUUUGAUCACAUGGCAAAGUCAAAUUAUCAACGUAGUCCUCUAAAAUAGGUGGUGUGAUCAAAGUAGUGGGUAGCUCAUCAGAUGGUGCAUUCAAAUUGACAAGGCAUUCAUCAUUCUCAUGUAGAGAUGGAAGAUCAGUACCUUUGUCAUUACCUCUUAUGAUCAACUCAGAUGAUGUAGCCACUCUCGGGGGCGAUGUGUCACAUGGUGGAGGUGAUGUAGUCCUGACAACAACGGAUGUGGUUGUCAUAGUAUGCCUAGUAGUUGAAGGAACAAUCAUAUCAACUCUUGGAAUGUGCACCGUGCGCUUGUUCUCCUCGUGGCCAACACGUCGUUUUAUUUCCUGUUCAGCUUUGCAAGCAAGAUGAAACAAAUUGAUAGAGGCAAAGGUGUCCCGUCUUUCGAUGAGAAGGUGGAUUUCGCUUUGGUGGAAGUCGACUUUGACGAUCCGACUACGAACGUGCGAGGACGUCGCGCCUUAGCAAUCGCUAAACCAACUCCGAGAGGUUAUUGACCACGCCGGGGCACGAUCAACCUGACCACGAGGGUCUGUUUCCUGCGAGCAAACGAAGAACAAGCAAGAAACUAAGAUUGCAAUCUGGAUAUUGCGAAUAUAAGAUGAAAGCUUUAUUGAUCAAGGUGGGGUUCUGUGACGCCUUUGUCUGGUCGUUGAACACAAACGAAGUACGCGAAGUUGCAGCUAUGGCGAACUUUUAAUCUAAACAAAACCCAAAGUCUAAACGAUGCCCUAAGGGCUGUAUAUAUGGAGGAAGAGGGGGGAAUUUCGUGGCCCUUGGUGGAGGGGUCCGAAAUCAACCCUAUCUCUUGUUUCCCCACACAUACGGACUCUAAAAAUAGCCUAUACUUAUGUAUUUCGAAAUUACAUGGGCCUGGCCCAAUAAUAAGGUGAUGCAGCACCUAAAAUAGCCUCGGGACGAAAUUUAUGAAGUGGCAUCUUGUAUAUUUCGUCCAAGGCUUCAUGCACCCAUUAUGGUGGCUUCAAAGUCCUGAAAUCAUCACUUGUAACUCCAUUCUUGUUCUUGCUCCAAUGUUCAUCCUUCUCCAAGCUAGGCCCUUCAUUUGUAAGCAAAACAAAUGUAUCCAAUUUAGGCAGCAUCAUAUUCUCAUGAACAUUAGAAUCAUUACCAAGAAACGAAAGUACCUGGUAAUUUAGUUGGCGUGCACGAGCUCUAGUAAUUGGUCCAGUAUGUAUAGCAGCAGGGGCUGUGGGUGUAACAAUUGUAUUGAUGUCCUCAUCAUCCUCCCCUUCUUGAAAUGAAGUCGUCCUCGACGGAAGUUCAUCUUCCUCACCCAAAUAAGGCUUCAAAUCUGCAAUGUUAAAAGUGGGACUAACCCCAAAAUCUGCAGGCAGCUCAAGUUUAUAUGCAUUAUCAUUUAUUUUCUCCAACACCUUAAAGGGACCAUCAGCACGUGGCAUUAACUUUGAUUUGCGCAAAUCAGGAAAUCUAUCCUUACGCAAAUGUAACCAAACAAGAUCUCCAGGUGCAAACACAACAUGUUUUCUACCCUUAUCUCCAGCAAGUUUAUAUUUAGCAUUCAUACGCUCAAUGUUUUCCUUAGUUAACUCAUGCAUUUUUAAAAUCAAUUCAGCACGUUGUUUAGCAUCAAAAUUAACCUUCUCCGAAGAUGGAAGAGGCAACAAAUCAAUAGGUGCACGAGGUAGGAAACCAUACACAACUUCAAAAGGGCACAUCUUAGUAGUAGAAUGCAAUGAACGAUUAUAAGCAAAUUCAAUAUGAGGCAAGCAUUCCUCCCACAUUUUCUUAUUAUUCUUCAAAACAGCCCUAAGCAUAGUAGACAACGUUCUAUUGACUACUUCAUUUUGUCCAUCAGUUUGGGGGUGACAAGUAGUACUAAAAAGCAGUUUAGUCCCCAACUUAGCCCAUAAACAUCUCCAAAAGUGGCUAAGAAAUUUAGUAUCACGAUCUGAAACAAUAGUAUUUGGCACACCAUGCAAGCGAAUAAUUUCACGAAAGAACAAAUCAGCAACAUUAACAACAUCAUCGCUUUUAUGACAUGGUAUAAAGUGUGCCAUUUUCGAGAAUCUAUCCACGACAACAAAUAUACUAUCCCUCCCCUUCUUUGUUCGAGGUAAACCUAAAACAAAGUCCAUAGAUAUAUCCUCCCAAGGAACACUAGGUAUAGGCAAAGGCAUAUAUAAACCAUGAGGAUUGAGUCGUGACUUAGCUUUUUGACAUGUAGUGCAGCGAGCAAUAAAACGCUCAACAUCCCGUCUCAUCUUUGGCCAAAAGAAAUGUGUAGCAAGUACGUCCUCCGUCUUCUUCACGCCAAAGUGUCCCAUUAAUCCUCCUCCAUGCGCCUCCUGCAACAACAAAAGAUGAACGGAGCUAGCUGGAAUGCAUAGCUUGUUAGCACGAAACACAAAUCCAUCGUUAACAACAAACUUGUUCCACAUUCUUCCUUCUUUACAAUUCUGCAUUACAUCUUUAAAAUCAGCAUCAUGCACAUAUUGAUCUUUGAUGGUCUCCAAACCAAAUAUUUUGAAGUCAAGUUGUGAAAGCAUAGUAUAGCGACGAGACAAUGCAUCAGCAAUAACAUUUUCUUUUCCCUUCUCGUGUUUAAUGACAUAAGGGAAAGUCUCAAUGAAUUCAACCCAUUUAGCAUGUCUACGAUUCAGUUUAGCUUGACUUUUAAUAUGUUUCAAAGAUUCAUGAUCAGAAUGUAUAACAAAUUCUUUGGGCCAUAAAUAAUGUUGCCAUGUUUCUAAAGUCCGAACAAGAGCAUAUAAUUCUUUAUCAUAAGUAGAAUAAUUCAGACUAGGCCCACUCAAUUUUUCAGAAAAGUAUGCAACAGGUUUGCCAUCUUGUAAUAACACACCUCCUAAUCCAAUUCCACUAGCAUCACAUUCAAGCUCAAAAGUCUUAUUAAAAUCAGGAAGUUGGAGUAAAGGAGCAUGUGUCAACUUAUCUUUCAAUACCGUGAAGGCUUCUUCCUGUGCGGUACCCCAAAGAAAAGGCACAUCUUUCUUUGUAAGCUCAUUGAGAGGUGCAGCAAUGGUGCUGAAAUCUCUCACAAAAUGCCUAUAGAAUCCAGCGAGGCCAAGAAAACUCCUCACUUGUGUGACCGUUUUGGGUUGCGGCCAACUCUCAAUAGCUUCAAUCUUGUCUUUAUCAACUUCUGAUGAGGACAUCAAUACAAUUGUUACACCCACAGCCCCUGCUGCUAUACAUACUGGACCAAUUACUAGAGCUCGUGCACGCCAACUAAAUUACCAGGUACUUUCGUUUCUUGGUAAUGAUUCUAAUGUUCAUGAGAAUAUGAUGCUGCCUAAAUUGGAUACAUUUGUUUUGCUUACAAAUGAAGGGCCUAGCUUGGAGAAGGAUGAACAUUGGAGCAAGAACAAGCAUGGAGAUGAUGGCAUGCGCAAGGGGAACAAGAACGGAGUUACAAGUGAUGAUUUCAGGACUUUGAAGCCACCAUAAUGGGUGCAUGAAGCCUUGGACGAAAUAUACAAGAUGCCACUUCAUAAAUUUCGUCCCGAGGCUAUUUUAGGUGCUGCGUCACCUUAUUAUUGGGCCAGGCCCAUGUAAUUUCGAAAUACAUAAGUAUAGGCUAUUUUUUGAGUCCGUAUGUGUGGGGAAACAAGAGAUAGGGUUGAUUUCGGACCCCUCCACCAAGGGCCACGAAAUUCCCCCCUCUUCCUCCAUAUAUACAGCCCUUAGGGCAUCGUUUAGACUUUGGGUUUUGUUUAGAUUAAAAGUUCGCCAUAGCUGCAACUUCGCGUACUUCGUUUGUGUUCAACGACCAGACAAAGGCGUCACAGAACCCCACCUUGAUCAAUAAAGCUUUCAUCUUAUAUUCGCAAUAUCCAGAUUGCAAUCUUAGUUUCUUGCUUGUUCUUCGUUUGCUCGCAGGAAACAGACCCUCGUGGUCAGGUUGAUCGUGCCCCGGCGUGGUCAAUAACCUCUCGGAGUUGGUUUAGCGAUUGCUAAGGCGCGACGUCCUCGCACGUUCGUAGUCGGAUCGUCAAAGUCGACUUCCACCAAAGCGAAAUCCACCUUCUCAUCGAAAGACGGGACACCUUUGCCUCUAUCAAUUUGUUUCAUCUUGCUUGCAAAGCUGAACAGGAAAUAAAACGACGUGUUGGCCACGAGGAGAACAAGCGCACGGUGCACAUUCCAAGAGUUGAUAUGAUUGUUCCUUCAACUACUAGGCAUACUAUGACAACCACAUCCGUUGUUGUCAGGACUACAUCACCUCCACCAUGUGACACAUCGCCCCCGAGAGUGGCUACAUCAUCUGAGUUGAUCAUAAGAGGUAAUGACAAAGGUACUGAUCUUCCAUCUCUACAUGAGAAUGAUGAAUGCCUUGUCAAUUUGAAUGCACCAUCUGAUGAGCUACCCACUACUUUGAUCACACCACCUAUUUUAGAGGACUACGUUGAUAAUUUGACUUUGCCAUGUGAUCAAACAACUGAAAUACCAACAAUUUUGAGUGCACCCAUUGAAUUAACUAUUGAUGCAAAAGAACCAAUGUUUAAUCAUUUUGAUAUGACCUCUAAUCUUGGUGAUGAUUCUGUGUUGAAUGACUUAUUGCAUGUUUGCUUAUUUAAGCAUGUUGUAGCAUGUAAAUUUGAUGCAAGUAAGGUUUAUUCACCAAUGUUGGGAUGGUUUAAUGAUAAACAUUGUCAAUCUUUUGAAAUGAAUAAGAGCUUCACUUAUAUGUGCAAACUGAGUUGCAAUAUUUUCAUGCCUUCUACUUCUUGUGCUAAUUUUUUGGCUUUAGAUUUUAUGAACUAUGCAAGUUACUCAUCUAUUCAUGUGUCAUAUAUGCAAAAAUCAAGGAAAGUAAAAAUGGAUGACAUAUACAUAUACAACAUGUACACCUUGUCUCUUUUGUUAACCACAUUUCAGAUUAAGCAACGCCCAGGACGGCUUUAUUUUCAAGAAGGGGAGGAUGAUGAGGACAUGACUACCUUGGAUAUGACCAAAAAUAUUGCAUAUAUGCAUAUUUGUCAGGUGAUUUCUAGUGCAAACUAUUCAAUAAUCUAUUUAUGUUAUCCAGAACAAAAAUACUUCACACACUUUUGUGUUUUGUCUAAUUGCAGGUGUAUGGGACAUUUGUACAAUCCACAUAUGAAGAUAAGGAAGAAAGAGAUGUUUAUUUGCUGUCCAAAAAGUUCUCUCACGUCACUUUUGGCCCAAGAGAAGAUAGAGUCCAAGUCUCUCACGUUCUGGAUUCAGAUUCGGACUGCACAGACACACCUGACUCAAAACGCACACAAGUUUUUCAUACGGACUCCGAAUUGGGUGAUUCUUUUUUUGUUGGAAACUAGAUUUCGUGCACUUUCCAACCCAAUUGGAAUCACCUUCAAAUUCGUCCGGAGCGUUGAGUUGUGGACGAAACAAUCUGAUGCUGCAGAAGAAUCCGAGUCAAACUACAAGUCCAAAGGUGUUACAUCACCUCCACUUGGGCCCAUUGGCCUUGUACGACCUAGAUUUAGUUUUAGGCUGCCUUGGGACGUCCUCCCACCUCCUUGGCCGCCACCCCUUGCUCCUAUAUAAGUAGAUCCAUCUAGUAGCUUUUCCUUGGGAUUUGUUUAGUUAAAAGUUAGCCAUUGCAACUUCGUGUACUUCGUUUGUGUCCAACGACCAGACCAAGACCGCUUACGGAUCCCCACCAUUAUCAAUACUUCAUAUAUAUUCGCAAUAUUCAGAUUGCUUUAUCAUAUUCUUGCUCGUUCUUCGAUUGCUUGCAGGAAUAGACCUUCGUGGUCAGGUUGAUCGUGCUCCAGCAUGGUCAAUAACCUCUCGGAGUUGGUUUAGCGAUUGCUAAGGCGCAACGUCGUGCACGUUUGUAGUCGGAUCGUCAAAGUCGUCUCCACCAAAUCGAUAGUUAUCAUCUCGUCGAAAGAUCGGGACACCCUCGCCUCUAUCACAUCCCCAAGCUUAAUUCCUACUCGUCCUCGAGUAGGUAAAUGAUAAAAGAAAGAAUUUAUGAAGUGUGAAUGCUAGAAGGUGCACAAGUUUGAUCAAUGAUAAUUUCAAUCACCUUUUCUAGCAUGAUAAUAUGUCAUAACAGUAGUUCAUCUCAUAAAACUUCUCACGAUAAAGUAACAAGCAAUUCACAUGUCAAAGCAUAGACCAUAAACUUUCUUAAAAAGUAGCAAACUUUAUUCUCAGUCAUUCAAACAAUUGCAAUUCAUCUUAUUUUCAAGAAUAACAAACUCCACAUACUCAACUAUCAUAUAGUCUUCUACAAUUGCUAACACUCACGCAAUACUAAUGGUUAUGAAGUUUUAAUCAGACACAGAGAAAGAUUGUGAUAGAGGCAAAGGUGUCCCGUCUUUCGAUGAGAUGAUGGAUAUCGCUUUGGUGGAAGUCGACUUUGACGAUCCGACUACGAACGUGCGAGGACGUCGCGCCUUAGCAAUCGCUAAACCAACUCCGAGAGGUUAUUGACCACGCCGGAGCACGAUCAACCUGACCACGAGGGUCUGUUUCCUGCGAGCAAACGAAGAACAAGCAAGAAACUGAGAUUGCAAUCUGGAUAUUGCGAAUAUAAGAUGAAAGCUUUAUUGAUCAAGGUGGGGUUCUGUGACGCCUUUGUCUGGUCGUUGAACACAAACGAAGUACGCGAAGUUGCAGCUAUGGCGAACUUUUAAUCUAAACAAAACCCAAAGUCUAAACGAUGCCCUAAGGGCUGUAUAUAUGGAGGAAGAGGGGGGAAUUUCGUGGCCCUUGAUGGAGGGGUCCGAAAUCAACCCUAUCUCUUGUUUCUCCACACAUACGGACUCUAAAAAUAGCCUAUACUUAUGUAUUUCGAAAUUACAUGGGCCUGGCCCAAUAAUAAGGUGACGCAGCACCUAAAAUAGCCUCGGGACGAAAUUUAUGAAGUGGCAUCUUGUAUAUUUUGUCCAAGGCUUCAUGCACCCAUUAUGGUGGCUUCAAAGUCCUGAAAUCAUCACUUGUAACUCCGUUCUUGUUUCCCUUGCGCAUGCCAUCAUCUCCAUGCUUGUUCUUGCUCCAAUGUUCAUCCUUCUCCAAGCUAGGCCCUUCAUUUGUAAGCAAAACAAAUGUAUCCAAUUUAGGCAGCAUCAUAUUCUCAUGAACAUUAGAAUCAUUACCAAGAAACGAAAGUACCUGGUAAUUUAGUUGGCGUGCACGAGCUCUAGUAAUUGGUCCAGUAUGUAUAGCAGCAGGGGCUGUGGGUGUAACAAUUGUAUUGAUGUCCUCAUCAUCCUCCCCUUCUUGAAAUGAAGUCGUCCUCGACGGAUGUUCAUCUUCCUCACCCAAAUAAGGCUUCAAAUCUGCAAUGUUAAAAGUGGGACUAACCCCAAAAUCUGCAGGCAGCUCAAGUUUAUAUGCAUUAUCAUUUAUUUUCUCUAACACCUUAAAGGGACCAUCAGCCCGUGGCAUUAACUUUGAUUUGCGCAAAUCAGGAAAUCUAUCCUUACGCAAAUGUAACCAAAGAAGAUCUCCAGGUGCAAACACAACAUGUUUUCUACCCUUAUCUCCAGCAAGUUUAUAUUUAGCAUUCAUGCGCUCAAUGUUUUCCUUAGUUAACUCAUGCAUUUUUAAAAUCAAUUCAGCACGUUGUUUAGCAUCAAAAUUAACCUUCUCCGAAGAUGGAAGAGGCAACAAAUCAAUAGGUGCACGAGGUAGGAAACCAUACACAACUUCAAAAGGGCACAUCUUACUAGUAGAAUGCAAUGAACGAUUAUAAGCAAAUUCAAUAUGAGGCAAGCAUUCCUCCCACAUUUUCUUAUUAUUGUUCAAAACAGCCCUAAGCAUAGUAGACAACGUUCUAUUGACUACUUCAGUUUGUCCAUCAGUUUGGGGGUGACAAGUAGUACUAAAAAGCAGUUUAGUCCCCAACUUAGCCCAUAAACAUCUCCAAAAGUGGCUAAGAAAUUUAGUAUCACGAUCUGAAACAAUAGUAUUUGGCACACCAUGCAAGCGAAUAAUUUCACGAAAGAACAAAUCAGCAACAUUAACAGCAUCAUCGCUUUUAUGACAUGGUAUAAAGUGUGCCAUUUUCGAGAAUCUAUCCACGACAACAAAUAUGCUAUCCCUCCCCUUCUUUGUUCGAGGUAAACCUAAAACAAAGUCCAUAGAUAUAUCCUCCCAAGGAACACUAGGUACAGGCAAAGGCAUAUAUAAACCAUGAGGAUUGAGUCGUGACUUAGCUUUUUGACAUGUAGUGCAUCGAGCAAUAAGACGCUCAACAUCCCGUCUCAUCUUUGGCCAAAAGAAAUGUGUAGCAAGUACGUCCUCCGUCUUCUUCACGCCAAAGUGUCCCAUUAAUCCUCCUCCAUGCGCCUCCUGCAACAACAAAAGAUGAACGGAGCUAGCUGGAAUGCAUAGCUUGUUAGCACGAAACACAAAUCCAUCGUUAACGACAAACUUGUUCCACAUUCUUCCUUCUUUACAAUUCUGCAUUACAUCUUUAAAAUCCGCAUCAUGCACAUAUUGAUCUUUGAUGGUCUCCAAACCAAAUAUUUUGAAGUCAAGUUGUGAAAGCAUAGUAUAGCGACGAGACAAUGCAUCAGCAAUAACAUUUUCUUUUCCCUUCUUGUGUUUAAUGACAUAAGGGAAAGUCUCAAUGAAUUCAACCCAUUUAGCAUGUCUACGAUUCAGUUUAGCUUGACUUUUAAUAUGUUUCAAAGAUUCAUGAUCAGAAUGUAUAACAAAUUCUUUGGGCCAUAAAUAAUGUUGCCAUGUUUCUAAAGUCCGAACAAGAGCAUAUAAUUCUUUAUCAUAAGUAGAAUAAUUCAGACUAGGCCCACUCAAGUUUUCAGAAAAGUAUGCAACGGGUUUGCCAUCUUGUAAUAACACACCUCCUAAUCCAAUUCCACUAGCAUCACAUUCAAGCUCAAAAGUCUUAUUAAAAUCAGGAAGUUGGAGUAAAGGAGCAUGUGUCAACUUAUCUUUCAAUACGGAGAAGGCUUCUUCCUGUGCGGUACCCCAAAGAAAAGGCACAUCUUUCUUUGUAAGCUCAUUGAGAGGUGCAGCAAUGGUGCUGAAAUCUCUCACAAAACGCCUAUAGAAUCCAGCGAGGCCAAGAAAACUCCUCACGUGUGUGACCGUUCUGGGCUGCGGCCAACUCUCAAUAGCUUCAAUCUUGGCUUUAUCAACUUCAAUUCCCUGUGGAGUAACAACAUAGCCAAGAAAAGAUACUCGGUCGGUGCAAAAGGUGCACUUCCCAAGGUUACCAAACAAACGUGCAUCACGUAGAGCAAUAAAAACAGCACGUAAAUGUUCCAAAUGUUCUUCCAAAGAUCUGCUAUAAAUCAAUAUGUCAUCAAAGUAAACUACCACAAAUCGUCCAAUGAAAGCACGUAAAACUUCGUUCAUUAAUCUCAUGAAAGUACUAGGUGCAUUAGUUAACCCAAAAGGCAUGACUAACCACUCAUAUAAUCCAAACUUAGUUUUAAAUGCUGUUUUCCAUUCAUCUCCCAAUUUCAUACGAAUUUGAUGGUAGCCACUACGCAAAUCAACUUUGGAGAAUAUUGUAGAGCCACUCAAUUCAUCAAGCAUAUCAUCUAGCCUAGGAAUAGGAUGACGAUAACGAAUAGUAAUAUUAUUAAUGCCUCUACAAUCAACACAAAAGCAUAGCAAACAGAUUUGCUGAAAUCUAGCUCAUCAAUAUCAGAUUUGGUGGCAAAUAAACAUGCACUUUUCAAUUUAAUUUCAGAAGCAACACUAGAUGGUUUAUUAUUAGGCUUCAUUUGUUGCUCAAAUUCUUUUGCCACAAUCUGAUUUUCACUCUUAUUCUUCUCCUGUUGUGCUUUAUUAGCUCUAUUAAUAUCAUCUUUCAAAAUGGAAUCAGGAGUCAUAGGAAGCAAAGUAAUAUUUUUAUCCUUAUGAACAAGAGUAUAGUGAUUGUUUCUACCAUGGUGUACAGAAUUUUUAUCAAAUUGCCAUGGUCUACCAAGUAAUAAGGAACAUGCUUGCAUAGGUACCACAUCACAAUCAACAUAAUCAGCAUAUGUAGAGAUACUAAAAUGCACACGAACAGUACGUGUUACCUUAACCUUGCCGCUGUUGUUGAAGCAUUGGAUGUAGUAAGGAUGUGGAUGUGGUCUUGUGGUGAGAGAAAGCUUCUCCACCAUCUCCAUGCUAGCCAAGUUGUUGCAGCUCCCUCCGUCUAUUAUGACGCGCACAGAACGUUCCUUCACAACUCCCUUGGUAUGGAACAAAUUGUGCCUCUGAUUUUGCUCAGCUUGUGUGACCUGCACACUCAAAACACGUUGAGCAACUAAACAUUCAUACCUGUCAGCGUCUUCAGGAGCCAUUUAUUGCGUCUCAUGAUCAGAAUCAUCUCCACCAUGUUCUUCACGUGUAAUAAGAGCCAAAGUCUCCUCAUCAUAGUCACUAGCGGACUCAUAUCCACCAUCCGCGGUAGCAAUCAUCACACGCGGAGAUUUGCAUUCUCUCGCAUAAUGACCUCCUCCCUUACAACGACGACAAAUAAUAUCACUUGUGUGCCCUGUUGAUGCUAUGGAAGAAGAAGAACGCUGUGUAGGCCCCGCAGGUGCGCUCUUGGCAGAUAAUGGUGGUUGUGCCUGUUUUCUUGUAUCACGGCUGGAGGUGGCACCUGAUGGAGGUGCUGGUGCAGUUGAAGUAGAAGAUGCACGUGGUGUCCAUGAUGAAGGUCGGCCUGCAGAAAAGUUAGUUCGCCCCAAUGCUUGUCGAUCCUGCACUUCACGUUCAGCUUUACAAGCAAGAUGGAAUAAAGGAGUGAUAUUAGUAUACUCCUUAUAGUCUAGAAUGGUCUGAAUCUCUCUAUUUAAUCCACCCAGAAAACGUGCAAGCAUAGCUUCAUUCUCCUCAACAAUACCACAUCUAAUCAUGCCAGUUUGUAAUUCCUGAUAAUAUUCUUCUACAGAAUUUUUUCCUUGUCUUAAACGCUGCAAUUUUUGAAGCAAUUCACGUUGAUAAUAUGGUGGAACCCAACGCGUACGCAUAGCAGUUGUCAAAGCAGCCCAAGUAGUUGGAAUAGGAUAUAAUCUACAAUGUUCAGACCACCAUACACAUGCAAAACUAGUGAAAGCACAAACAGCAGCAGCAACUCGUCUCUCCUCAGGAUAUUGUAAACAUGUAAAUCGUUGUUCAGUUUCUAACUCCCAAGUAAGAUAUAUAUCAGGAACAUAUCUACCCUCAAAUGGUGGAAUAUUCAAUUUCAGUUUAGGAAUAUGGACAUCAUCUCGUACCUGAGGUGGUGGUGCAGGCCUACCAUUACGAAUAUAUACCUGAGGUCGACCUGCUGGUGGUGGUGCUGGUGGCUGCUCGUAGAUCUGAUUUUGAUCAACCCCAUCCUCAUAAUCGCCCGCAUACUCAUCAUCCUCCUGGGUACCAGCAACAGCAGUAGCAGGAGCCACAGAAGUAUCAACAGCAGCACCAACAGUUUGGCCAAACGCAAGAGGAACACGGCUCGCUCGGCGAAGGUCUAUUUCGCGACGUGGAGGAAGUCGUUGUUGUUGUUGUUGUUGGAGAGGUGCGUUAGGUGCAGCGGGUGGUGGUGGUGGAAGACGCGCGAGCAAUUCAUUAAAUCUGUUAUCGAGCUUUGUUUCGAACUUCUUCUCAAGGCCAGUGAUCUUCUCCAUGGCCUCUUCAAAAUUGUUCAGCACAUCUUGCACCUGUUCAGUCAUCAUGUGCUGAAACUUAUCAUGAAGCUCCUUGUUCGAUAAAUUCUCCCAGUCAAUCUCGUCGGCUUGUGAUCCUGGCAUGGUUAGCAGCAAUAGAAACACACAAGAAUAUGAUCCUACAGACUACGAACAAGUGGUGGUGGUGGGUGUCACAAAUCCGUCAAGCAAAACUCAAAUUCUUACCAGUUCUUACCCAGCAACAGGCGGUGAUCGGCAACCGUUGUAGUCAAAACUCUCAAAGCUUGGAUAGAGCGAUUACCAGGGAGAGUCAAACGCACGACGUAGAUGUAUGUGGAGCUGGGAAGGCUUAUACUAUGGUAGCAAAAAGGGUCAGCAAUAAUCAAUUCAGAGAUGCAAAGUUGAAUAAACGCUCAACGACGGUACUGUGCUGGUCCUAGGCUAGACUGUGCUAGAGACGCGAGCCUAGAACACCAACAAAAUCACGGCGCGGCACGUAAACAAGGGAAAAGCACACUCUGAAUUUUUUUUUCGCUCUUUUUUUUUUGGGAAAAAUCACUAUAAUGGCGAGUGUCUCAAAACUCUUCCUAGCUCAAACUGACAGGAUGGGCACGAAAUUUUUCGACCAAAUUUUUUUUUUCGACUGCCCGGACCCAAAAACUGGAAACGGGUCAAAAAAAACUUCCUAUAAUGGCACCUGUCUCAAAACACUCAGAAACACCUAAAAAUAGGAUAGCCAGAAAUUUUUUCGAAAAAUGCGUUUUCGAAAAAUUUUGGGCCUAAACGGAGCGUGGCUACCCGACUCCACAUACAUUUUCGCUUUUUUUUUUCCGAAACCUACUCCGGCAAGGAAACAUGAAUCGGAAUCUAGAUGGAUCCCGAAAACAAACCUAAUAAGCAAGGAACUCAGAUUGGUGGUGGAUAUAUGGUGGUGGUAUAUGGCAGCGGUGGUGGUAGCGGUGGUAGUAUAUGGAUAUGGAUCGGUGGUGGUAUAUGGGCACGGAUUGGUGGUGGUAUAUGGAUACGGAUUCGGAGCGGUGGUGGUAGAUGGCAGGGGCGAUGAUGAUGGUGCGGCGGCGGCGUGACAACUUAUGACCAGAACUCGAAACUCUAAAAGACUAGACUCUAAGACCAGCAACUAGACCGACGAUGCAACCGCAAAUUCAACAAAGCAAAACCCUAAAAAGAUUAUGCAAAGGCUCAGAUUGGUUCGGAUAUGAUGAACUAACCCUAAUUUUUUUUGUGGCUUUUUCGUGGACUGUAGGUAUGAAGAACAGACUCGAUCUAAACUACGAAAAACUGUAAAAUCUCAUCGAGCAACCUGGAAAUCUGAUACCACUUGAUAGAGGCAAAGGUGUCCCGUCUUUCGAUGAGAUGAUGGAUAUCGCUUUGGUGGAAGUCGACUUUGACGAUCCGACUACGAACGUGCGAGGACGUCGCGCCUUAGCAAUCGCUAAACCAACUCCGAGAGGUUAUUGACCACGCCGGAGCACGAUCAACCUGACCACGAGGGUCUGUUUCCUGCGAGCAAACGAAGAACAAGCAAGAAACUGAGAUUGCAAUCUGGAUAUUGCGAAUAUAAGAUGAAAGCUUUAUUGAUCAAGGUGGGGUUCUGUGACGCCUUUGUCUGGUCGUUGAACACAAACGAAGUACGCGAAGUUGCAACUAUGGCGAACUUUUAAUCUAAACAAAACCCAAAGUCUAAACGAUGCCCUAAGGGCUGUAUAUAUGGAGGAAGAGGGGGGGAAUUUCGUGGCCCUUGGUGGAGGGGUCCGAAAUCAACCCUAUCUCUUGUUUCCCCACACAUACGGACUCUAAAAAUAGCCUAUACUUAUGUAUUUCGAAAUUACAUGGGCCUGGCCCAAUAAUAAGGUGACGCAGCACCUAAAAUAGCCUCGGGACGAAAUUUAUGAAGUGGCAUCUUGUAUAUUUCGUCCAAGGCUUCAUGCACCCAUUAUGGUGGCUUCAAAGUCCUGAAAUCAUCACUUGUAACUCCGUUCUUGUUUCCCUUGCGCAUGCCAUUAUCUCCAUGCUUGUUCUUGCUCCAAUGUUCAUCCUUCUCCAAGCUAGGCCCUUCAUUUGUAAGCAAAACAAAUGUAUCCAAUUUAGGCAGCAUCAUAUUCUCAUGAACAUUAGAAUCAUUACCAAGAAACGAAAGUACCUGGUAAUUUAGUUGGCGUGCACGAGCUCUAGUAAUUGGUCCAGUAUGUAUAGCAGCAGGGGCUGUGGGUGUAACAAUUGUAUUGAUGUCCUCAUCAAAACGCCUAUAGAAUCCAGCGAGGCCAAGAAAACUCCUCACUUGUGUGACCGUUUUGGGCUGCGGCCAACUCUCAAUAGCUUCAAUCUUGGCUUUAUCAACUUCAAUUCCCUGUGGAGUAACAACAUAGCCAAGAAAAGAUACUCGGUCGGUGCAAAAGGUGCACUUCCCAAGGUUACCAAACAAACGUGCAUCACGUAGAGCAAUAAAAACAGCACGUAAAUGUUCCAAAUGUUCUUCCAAAGAUCUGCUAUAAAUCAAUAUGUCAUCAAAGUAAACUACCACAAAUCGUCCAAUGAAAGCACGUAAAACUUCGUUCAUUAAUCUCAUGAAAGUACUAGGUGCAUUAGUUAACCCAAAAGGCAUGACUAACCACUCAUAUAAUCCAAACUUAGUUUUAAAUGCUGUUUUCCAUUCAUCUCCCAAUUUCAUACGAAUUUGAUGGUAGCCACUACGCAAAUCAACUUUGGAGAAAAUUGUAGAACCACUCAAUUCAUCAAGCAUAUCAUCUAGCCUAGGAAUAGGAUGACGAUAACGAAUAGUAAUAUUAUUAAUGCCUCUACAAUCAACACACAUACGUGAUGUACCAUCCUUUUUCGGCACUAGAAUAAUAGGAACAGCACAAGGACUAAGGGAUUCGCGUAUAUAACCUUUGUCGAGAAGCUCUUGUACUUGACGCAUAAUCUCCUUCGUCUCCUCUGGAUUGGUACGGUAUGGUGCACGGUUUGGCAGUGAAGCACCGGGAAUUAAGUCAAUCUGAUGCUCAAUCCCUCGAAUAGGCGGUAAUCCCGGUGGCCCGUCUUGUGGAAAAACGUCAGCGAACUCCUGCAAAAUGUUAGUGACAGCAGGAGGCAAAGAGGAAGGCACGUCCUCGAAUGAAAAUAAUGCCUCUUUGCACACAAAAGCAUAGCAAACAGAUUUGCUGAAAUCUAGCUCAUCAAUAUCAGAUUUGGUGGCAAAUAAACAUGCACUUUUCAAUUUAAUUUCAGAAGCAACACUAGAUGGUUUAUUAUUAGGCUUCAUUUGUUGCUCAAAUUCUUUUGCCACAAUCUGAUUUUCACUCUUAUUCUUCUCCUGUUGUGCUUUAUUAGCUCUAUUAAUAUCAUCUUUCAAAAUGGAAUCAGGACUCAUAGGAAGCAAAGUAAUAUUUUUAUCCUUAUGAACAAGAGUAUAGUGAUUGUUUCUACCAUGGUGUACAGAAUUUUUAUCAAAUUGCCAUGGUCUACCAAGUAAUAAGGAACAUGCUUGCAUAGGUACCACAUCACAAUCAACAUAAUCAGCAUAUGUAGAGAUACUAAAAUGCACACGAACAGUACGUGUUACCUUAACCUUGCCGCUAUUGUUGAACCAUUGGAUGUAGUAAGGAUGUGGAUGUGGUCUUGUGGUGAGAGAAAGCUUCUCCACCAUCUCCAUGCUAGCCAAGUUGUUGCAGCUCCCUCCGUCUAUGAUGACGCGCACAGAACGUUCCUUCACAACUCCCUUGGUAUGGAACAAAUUGUGCCUCUGAUUUUGCUCAGCUUGUGUGACCUGCACACUCAAAACACGUUGAGCAACUAAACAUUCAUACCUGUCAGCGUCUUCAGGAGCCAUGUAUUGCGUCUCAUGAUCAGAAUCAUCUCCACCAUUUUCUUCACGUGUAAUAAGAGCCAAUGUGAUAGAGGCUAAGGUGUCCCGUCUUUCGAUGAGAUGGUGGAUUUCGCUUUGGUGGAAGUUGACUUUGACGAUCCGACUACGAACGUGCGAGGACGUCGCGCCUUAGCAAUCGCUAAACCAACUCCGAGAGGUUAUUGACCACGCCGGAGCACGAUCAACCUGACCACGAGGGUCUGUUUCCUGCGAGCAAACGAAGAACAAGCAAGAAACUAAGAUUGCAAUCUGGAUAUUGCGAAUAUAAGAUGAAAGCUUUAUUGAUCAAGGUGGGGUUCUGUGACGCCUUUGUCUGGUCGUUGAACACAAACGAAGUACGCGAAGUUGCAGCUAUGGCGAACUUUUAAUCUAAACAAAACCCAAAGUCUAAACGAUGCCCUAAGGGCUGUAUAUAUGGAGGAAGAGGGGGGAAUUUCGUGGCCCUUGGUGGAGGAGUCCGAAAUCAACCCUAUCUCUUGUUUCCCCACACAUACGGACUCUAAAAAUAGCCUAUACUUAUGUAUUUCGAAAUUACAUGGGCCUGGCCCAAUAAUAAGGUGACGCGGCACCUAAAAUAGCCUCGGGACGAAAUUUAUGAAGUGGCAUCUUGUAUAUUUCGUCCAAGGCUUCAUGCACCCAUUAUGGUGGCUUCAAAGUCCUGAAAUCAUCACUUGUAACUCCGUUCUUGUUCCCCUUGCGCAUGCCAUCAUCUCCAUGCUUGUUCUUGCUCCAAUGUUCAUCCUUCUCCAAGCUAGGCCCUUCAUUUGUAAGCAAAACAAAUGUAUCCAAUUUAGGCAGCAUCAUAUUCUCAUGAACAUUAGAAUUAUUACCAAGAAACGAAAGUACCUGGUAAUUUAGUUGGCGUGCACGAGCUCUAGUAAUUGCUCCAGUAUGUAUAGCAGCAGGGGCUGUGGGUGUCACAAUUGUAUUGAUGUCCUCAUCAGAUUGGGGCUUAUAAUGUUGCCUCCAAACGUAUUCACUUUUGGGUGAUGUCAACAAUAAUAGUUCAUGCUAACUUACAUCCAAUUGGAUAUAUAUAUCAGGAUCACCCCAACACAAAGUGCUUGCCAAAGGAUAAAAUGAAAAAGGGAAAGGUGAAGAUCACCUUGACUCUUGCAUAAAGUAAAAGACAUAAAGUAAAAGAUAGGCCCUUCGCAGAGGGAAGCAGAGGUUGUCAUGCACUUUUAGGGUUGGAUACACAAAAUCUUAAUGCGAAAGAACGUCACUUUAUAUUGCCCCUUGUAUAUGGACCUUUAUUAUGCAGUCCGUCACUUUUAUUGCUUCCAUAACAAGUUCGUACAAAUCUUAUUUUCUCCGCACUAAUAAGCCAUGCAUAUUUAGAGAGCAAUUUUUAUUGCUUGCACCGAUGACAACUUACUUGAAGGAUCUUACUCAAUCCAUAGGUAGGUAUGGUGGACUCUCAUGGCAAAACUGGGUUUAAGGAUAUUUGGAAGCACACGUAGUAUCUCUACUUGGUGCAAUGAAUUUUGGCUAGCAUGAGGGGGAAAGGCAAGCUCAACAUGUUUGAAUGAUCCAUGACAAUAUACUUUAACUGAGAUGUCGGAAAACAUAAACCAUUACGUUGUCUUCCUUGUCCAACAUCAACUCUUUAGCAUGUCAUACUUAAUGAGUGCUCCCAACUAUAAAAGAUGUCUAUAAUAGUAUAUUUAUAUAUGAAAUCUCUCUUCCUUCAAUAUUCUUUCAUGAAAUUAUCCAAAUGACCAAUACAAUGCUUGCUAACCUCCAAUAAAUUUACAACCUCUACUUCUUAGACGUGAAGUCAUUACUCCCCAUGGGAUAAGAAAAUGAGGCAUAUAUAAUUUCAGAUUCAUGACAGUCAACUCAUUCCACAAUUUACUCAUAGGAUAUAAGUGAAGCACACGAGUAAAUGACAAACUACUCCAAAAAGAUAUAAGCGAAGAUCAAUGAGUAGCUAAAUAAUUAUGUAGCUAUAUGAAGACUCUCUCCCAUUAAAGAAUUUCAGAUCUUGGUAUUGUAUUCAAACAGCAAGCAACGCAAAAUAAAAUGACAUUGCAAGGAUAGCACAACUCAUGUGAAGAAGCAAAAACUUAGGCUCAACCGAUACUAACCGAUAGUUGUUGAAGAAGAAAGGUGGGAUGCCUACCGGGGCAUCCCCAAGCUUAGAUGCUUGAGACUUCUUGAAAUAUUAUCUUGGGGUGCCUUGGGCAUCCCCAAGCUUGAACUUUUGUGUCUCCUUAAUUCCUCUUAUAUCAUGGUUUCUCUUCUUUUUAUCGAAAGCUUCAUUCACAACAAACUCAACAAGAACUCGUGAGAUAGGUUAGUAUAAACCAAUAUAAAACCUUAUAAUUUUCUACUGUAACAAAUCACUAAAAUUAUUAUUCAACAUUGCAUACUAAAUGCCUCUGCAUAUUUAAUACUCCUAUCCUCAAAUAGAAUCAUUAAACAAGCAAACAUAUGCAAACAAUGCAAACAUAACAACAAUCUGUCAAAAUAGUACAGUCUCUAAACAAUGGAAGAUUCAUCAUACUUCCCUAACUCCAAAAAUUAUGAAAUAAAAUCCCCACUGUAAUAAAUUUAUCAGAGCUCAUUAUGCAAAAAGUUUCAACAUUAUAUCAUUCUCUGACUUUUCUAGGGAACUUUUGCAACAGCGGUAAACUUUCUGCUUUCAAACAGCAACAUGCAUAUUAGCAAAAUAAGCAUGGCAAAGGCUAUCCUUGACUUUUUAUUGAAAAUAAAUAUGCAAAACAUUAUUCUAACUAACAGCAAACAAAAACUAACAAAAGGAAAUGAUGCUCCAAGCAAAACACAUAUCAUGUGGUGAAUAAAAAUAUAGCUCUAAGUAAAGUUACCGAUGAACGAAGACGAAAGAGGGGAUGCCUUCUGGGGCAUCCCCAAGCUUAGGCUUUGGCUAUUCUUGAAUAUUAUCUUGGGGUGCCUUGGGCACCCCCAAGCUUAGGCUCUUGCCACUCCUCAUUCCAUAGUCCAUCAAAUCCUUACCCAAAACUUGAAAACCCCACAACACAAAAGUCAACAGAAAACUCGUAAGCUCCAUAAUGAACUCAUUAUAAAUUCAUAUUGGUCUAAUAUAUACAGUAUUCCAACUUAUCUAUGGUUCAUACCCUCCGAUACUACUCAUAGAUUCAUCAAAAUAAGUAAACAACACAUAGAAAACAGAAUCUGUCAAAAACAGAACAGUCUGUAGUAAUCUGUAUCAAACAUAUACUUCUGGAACUUCAAAAAUCCUACCAAAUUAGGAAGUCCUAAGAAAUUUUUGUACCAAUCCAGAGCAAUAGGAAUCAGAUCAAGAUCACGUUUCUGUGAAUUAAAAAAAACUAAUUUACUGGGUGAAAAAGUUUCUGAUUUUCAGCAGGAUCAACACAACUAUCACCGUAAGCUAUCCUAAAGGUCUUACUUGGCACUUUAUUGAAAAUCUAUAAAACAUGAUUACUACAGUAGCAUAAUCAUGUGAACGCACAAAAACAGUAAGCGUAAAUAUUGGCUUGUCUCCCAACAAGCGCUUUUCUUUAAUGCCUUUUUAGCUAGGCAUGAUGAUGGCAAUGAUGCUCACAUAAAAGAUAAGAAUCGAAACAUAAUGGGAGCAUCAUGAAAGAUAUGACUAGCACAUUCAAGUCUAAACCACUUCCUAUGCAUAGAGAUUUUGUGAGAAAACAACUUAUGGGAACAAUAAUCAACUAGCAUAGGAAGGCAAAACAAGCAUAGCUUCAAGAUUUGAAGCACAUAGAGAGGAAACUUGAUAUUAUUGCAAUUUCUACAAGCAUAUAUUCCCCCCUCAUAAUAAUAUUCAGUAGCAUCAUGAAUGAAUUCAACAAUAUAACCAGCACCUAAAGCAUUCUUUUCAUGAUCUACAAGCAUAGAAUUUUUACUACUCUCCACAUAAGCAAAAUUCUUCUCAUUCGGAAUAGUGGAAGUAGCAUAAAAUACUUGAACACUAAAAAUGGUUUCCACAUUAAAAGAGUAAUGUUUAGAAAAGGGUAAUCAUAAUCAUGACAAGAUUUGUAAAUAUAAUCAUCACUACUUUUUAUAGCAUAAGUUUCAUCACAAUAAUCAUCAUAAGUAGCAACUUCGUUCUCAUCAUAAUCGAUUGAAACCUCUCCCAAGAUAGUGGAAUCACUAAAUAAAGUUGACACUCUUCCAAAUCCACUUUCAUAUUCAUCACAAUAAAAUUCAACAUCCUCCAAAAUAGUGGGAUCACUACUUCCUAAAGUUGACACUCCUCCAAAACCCACAUUCAUCCAUAUAAUCAUCAUAGGUAGGAGGCAAGCUAUCAUCAUAACAACUUUGCAUAUCAAAACUUGGGAUGCUAAAAAUAUCAUCUUCAUUAAACAUAGCAUCCCCAAGCUUGGGACAAACAUUAAUUCCAGCAAAUAUAUUCUCAAAUAUUUCAUCCUCAUCAAACAUAGCUUCCCCAAGCUUGGGCCCUUUCAUAUCAUAAGCAUAAUCACUCUCACCACUAAAAAUAUUGAUAGCACCAAUAGUGUAGCAAUUAUCAUCAUCACAAUGAGUAGUAGGAGCAACAUAAUUUGGGAGGGAUACCUUUCUACCUUUCUUGCUCCUUCUUUUCUUUUUCUUCUUCACAUUAUGUGUGGGUUCAACCUUCCUCUUUGAGCUCCUUAUUGAUGAGAUUGGUUGAAUAGAAAGCUCCUCCUUGUUACCUGAAUCAUCAUAAGAAAUAAAAGGAGGAGAUUGGGAAGUCUCUUCCCUUUCAUUAGUAUUCUCAUCAUCUUCUAUUUGCUUUCUUUUCUUUAUGUAAUUGGCAAUAUAAGGAUUUUCAAUGCAAUUCUCCACACAAAACACAUAAAUAUCCUCUAGAUCAAAAUCAAGAAAUCUAUCAAGAUCAAAUUUUGGAAUACCCUCAGUUAUACGUUUCAUUUCUUCAUACCCCAAAAGAAGACUAAGCUCUUUAUGAUGCCCAAGGGUAAUCAAGCUAUCACAAUUUUUGGACACGAUUCGAUCGUAAAACAAUUUGCAUUGGAGAUUUAAAUGACCAUGUUCAUUGCAAAGUUCACAAGGAGCGCAAAAAAUAUUGAAUCUUUUAGCACACUCAUCAAGACUUUCUUGCAAACCUUUAGUUUUUAAAUACUUAUGGCUCUUGCAAUAUCUAUUUUCUCUAUUUGGUGUGUCCAUGCAAAUCCAAUCUACUACAUAAAAAUCAACAUGCUUAUAGGAGACAUUUUCAUCAUAACUAGUGCAAUCAUCAUUAGUACUAUGGAUAUUCAAAGAGUUCAUACUAACAACAUUGCAAUCAUGCUCAUCAUUCAAAGAUUUAGUACCAAGCAUUUUAAUGCAUUCUUCUUCUAGCACUUGAGCACAAUUUUCCUUUCCAUCAAACUCACGAAAGAUAUUAAAAAGACGAAGCGUACGAGAGAAACUCAAAUCCAUUUUUUUGUAGAUUUCUUUUAUAAACUAAACCAGUGAUAAAACAAGAAACAAAAAGAUUCGAUUGCAAGAUCUAAAGAUAUACCUUCAAGCACUCACCUCCCCGGCAACGGUGCCAGAAAAGAGCUUGAUGUCUACUACACAACCUUCUUCUUGUAGACGUUGUUGGGCCUGCAAGUGCACAGGUUUGUAGGACAGUAGCAAAUUUCCCUUAAGUGGAUGACCUAAGGUUUAUCAAUCCGUGGGAGGCGUAGGAUGAAGAUGGUCUCUCUCAAACGACCCUGCAACCAAAUAACAAAGAGUCUCUUGUGUCCCCAACACACCCAAUACAAUGGUAAAUUGUAUAGGUGCACUAGUUCGGCGAAGAGAUGGUGAUACAAGUGCAAUACGGAUAGUAGAUAAAGGUAUUUGUAAUCUGAAAAUAUAAAAAUAGCAAGGUAACUAAUGAUAAAAGUGAGCGUAAACGAUAUUGCAAUGAUAGGAAACAAGGCCUAGGGUUCAUACUUUCACUAGUGCAAGUUCUGUCAACAAUAAUAACAUAGAUAGAUCAUAUAACAAUCCCUCAACAUGCAACAAAGAGUCACUCCAAAGCCACUAAUAGCGGAGAAAAAACGUAGAGAUUAUGGUAGGGUAUGAAACCACCUCAAAGUUAUUCUUUCGGAUCGAUCUAUGAAAGAGUUCGUACUAGAAUAACACCUUAAGACACAAAUCAACCAAAACCAUAAUGUCACCUAGAUACUCCAUUGUCACUUCAAGUAUCCGUGGGCAUGAUUAUACGAUAUGCAUCACACAAUCUCAGAUUUAUCCAACCAACACAAAGUACUUCAAAGAGUGCCCCAAAGUUUCUAUCGGAGAGUCAAGAACGUGUGCCAACCCCUAUGCAUAGGUUCAUGGGCGGAACCAGCAAGUUGGCCACCAAAACAUACAUCAAGAGGAACAUGAUAUCCCAUUGUCACCACAGAUAAGCACGGCAAGACAUACGUCAAGUGUUCUCAUAAAAGACUCAAUCCGAUAAGAUAACUUCAAAGGGGAAACUCAAUUCCUCACAAGAGAGUAGAGGGGGAGAAACAUCAUAAGAUCCAACUACAAUAGCAAAGCUCGGGAUACAUCAAGAUCAUGCCAUAGAGGGAACACGAGAGAGAGAGAGAGAGAUCAAACACAUAGCUACUGGUACAUACCCUCAGCCCCGAGGGUGAACUACUCCCUCCUCGUCAUGAAGAGCGCUGAGAUGAUGAAGAUGGCCACCUGUGAUGGAUUCCCCCUCCGGCAGGGUGCCGGAACGGGCUCCCGAGAGGUUUUUGGUGGCUACAGAGGCUUGCGGCGGCGGAACUCCUGAUCUAUCUUUUUUUAUGGUUUUAGGGUACGUAGGCAUAUAUAGGCGAAAGAAGUCGACCGAGAGGUGCUCGAGGGGCCCACGAGACAGGGGGCGCGCCCUACAGGGGGGGGGGCUCCUAUCUCGUGGCUGCCUCGAGGAUCUUCUAACGUGGACUCCAAGUCUCCAGGAUCAUAUUCUUCCAAAAAUCACGUUGCCAAAGGUUUCAUUCCGUUUGGACUCCGUUUGAUAUUCCUUUUCUUCGAAAUACUGAAACAGGCAAUAAAACAGCAAUAUGGGCUGGGCCACCGGUUAAUUGGUUAGUCCCAAAAGUAAUAUAAAAGUGUAUAAUAAAGCCCAUAAUUACUCAAAACACAUAGUAAUAUAGCAUGAAUGCUUCAUAAAUUAUAGAUACGUUGGAGACGUAUCAACCAUCUCGCCAGAUUUCCGCGUGCAUCCCCACAAAAAAUUCAGGCGCAGCCCGCCUUGAGGUAGGGCCUCAUGAGUCCCGCGCUCACUCAUGGGUGCCCAUAUAGACCUCCUCUAGUCCUGCUGUGCAAGCCACGUGCCAGGACGGGGCUGCACAUGCCCUGGAGUCUCCCCUCAGAGGGAGCUCCCACCCACGCACCAGUAGAAGCCCCAUGCUCCGUGCUGGCGGACGACACGGUCGAGGAGCAGCUAUGCCCAUGCAUGAGUGGAAGCGUCCUCCUCCGGCUGAUGAUAAAUAACUAGGGCCACCCUAGCAGUGCUACCUCUUGAGCUUGCGUUGGUUUUCCCUUGAAGAGGAAAGGGUGAUGCAGCAAAGUAGCGUAAGUAUUUCCCUCAGUUUUGAGAACCAAGGUAUCAAUCCAGUAGGAGACAAUGCACAAGUCACCGAAUACCUGCACAACCAAUCAACAACUUGCACCCAACGCUAUAAAGGGGUUGUCAAUCCCUUCACAGUCAGAUGCAAAAGUGAGAUCUAAUAGAGAUAGAUAAAUGGUAAAGUAAAUAUUUUUGGUAUUUUUGGUUUAUAUAUCGGAAACUAGUAAGAUGUAAACAAGAUUAAAUAAUGUGGAAAAGGGAUUCAAUAUAAUGGAAAAGAGACUCGAGGGCCAUAGAUUUCACUAGUGGCUUCUCUCAAGAUAGCAAAUAUUACGGUGGGUGAACAAAUUACUGCCGAGCAAUUGAUAGAAAAGCGAAUAGUUAUGAUGAUAUCUAAGGCAAUGAUCAUGAACAUAGGCAUCACGUCUGUGUCAAGUAGACUGACUCCUGCCUGCAUCUACUACUAUUACUUCACAAGUUGUCACGUCCCCAGUUCAGGCCUUGCUUGUCUCUGCAUAAGCAUCCAUGCAUCAUGUUUAAAUUUAAAGAAACUUGAAAUGGGGAUUGUUUAAACCCUAGCACCAAAUGAAUCCAACUAGGGUCAAAAUAAAAUCUUUUUCGUUGAACUCAAAAAGCCCUCUAAAAAUGUUCAACAUUUCUGGUUUGAGGUGGAAGCAUCUACCGGAAACGGUUUAUAUUUUUGCAGGACAUAUUGGGCUCUGAAUUAAAUCAUACUCUAUUUGCAUUUGGGCAUUUAAAUGCUAUACAAUAUUUUAAAUGCUCAAAUAAUCAUAAACUAAAAUGUUUACAAUUGGUUAUAUUCCAAACAGUGGCAUUGAACCGUUUCAUGAGUUUUGGUAAUGCCCUGACAUUUUUAAUAAAGCCCUAAAGACUACAGAAUAAUAGAAAAACAGAAAAAAUAAAAGAGAGAGAGAGAGAGAUUUUUACCUGGGCCACUUACCUUGGCGCAGCCCACCUGGCAGGCCCAGCACUGUGCUGGCCCAUGCCAGGCAGCUGCUUCCUCUCGCCAGGCAGGCAAAGAGGUGAGCGCCGGCGUGCCCGAGCUCGCCACGCCGUCACCUGCUUGCCGACGAAGCCCCUGGACGCAUGGACGACUCCCGCGUGCCGUCCCGAUUCCGCUGACCGCUUCGCUCACUCUCCCCCACGGCCCUCUCUCCUCUGCUCCCUCUCUCUCGCCCGGACCAAACGCGUCCGUCGCCACCGACGAGCAUCGCCGUGGCCACAACCACUGCCUCGCCUCGUCGUUGCGCCCAGAGGCUCCGCCUCGACCCCCUCUUCCUCUCCACCGAGCCACGAGGUCCCGGACGCGCUGCAACCCCGACACCACCGUCGUUUCCCCCCUCGGGCUCCGACCACCACCGCCGUCGAUUCGCUGCAUGCAGGACGCCCCUGAGCCCGCCGAGCUUCUCUCCGACCUCGCAGUGAGCUCCUGAUCCGAGCCCCUCUCUUUCCCCUCGCGUUUGCGAGCUCUAGGCCAUAGCUCCAUCGCGGCCGAACUCCGGCCGCCGCUGACCUUGUCGCCGCUGCCGCUACAGACGCUGCAGCUUGCGCCCGAGCGCGUCAUCGUCCUCACCUCGCUCCUAGGAGCCGAACGCACCUAGUAGCUCGUCCGUAGCCGCACCGUAGCCCCUUAGCCGCUCGAGGCCGAGCUCCGGCCGCCGCCUCGCUCGCCGCAGUUGCUGCUACCGGCCACCCCAGCCACAGCUGCAGCCACCGCUGGACGCGCCGCGUAGCAACCGUUCCAACAAGACCUGCCGCGCGUCCUCCCGACGCCGAAAUUGGCCGGACGGGCAUCGCCGCCGCGCUCCGGUUAUCGCCGGAGUUAAUCCGGUGACAAGGUAGGAUAGUUAGUGCUAAAGACCCCUCUAAUCAACCCCUUAAGCCACUGCCACGUGGGCCCAUGCGCCUGUUUAGUUUAGAUUAAAUUUCCUGUUUAGUUUAGAUUAACCCAGUGGGACCCACGCUCAGCCUUGACCGCGCUGACAUGGCUGUUGACUGGCCCCACAUGUCAUGUUGACUUCGCUGACGUGGGCGUUGACCGGACCCACCUGUCAGUGUCACUAACUAGCCCCAGUCACUGACCAGUGGACCCCACUGGUCAGGUUUGACCUGGUCGACGCCUGUUGACCGCUGACGUCACCCUGACGUAGUGCUGACGCAUUAAUUCAAUUACUGGAAUUGUUCUUAUACAGGAAAUUCCAGAAAAUAGCACAAACUUCUAAAAUUCAUAGGAAAUCAACCGUAACUCCAAAUUAAAUAAGUUAUAUAUGAAAAAUGAUCAGAAAAAUCCAAUCUAUCCAUCUACACUGGUUUCAUGCAUGUUAGAACACAUUAACCUUGCUGUUUAGGUGAAAUAAGUUAAUGCACUAUUAUGACCUCUUAAAAUGGGUUUGCAUUUGAAUCUUUGGUUCAAAUGGACUCAUCUCAAUCUGUUCUAGCUUGCAUUAACCCAAAACACAUUCAUAUUGCCAUGUCAUAGCAUGCAUCAUAUUGUGCAUUGCAUUGAUCGUGUUUCUUCUCUGUUUGCCGGUGUUGUUCCCCCUCGGUAGAUGUUGUACCGACAUUGUGAUCAUUGACACUGAUGAAGUCUCAAUGCUAUCUUUAGAAGUGCCAGGCAAGCAAAACCCCCUUGUUCAUUCCGAUACAAUCCUACUCUCUCGCUCCUGCUCUCUUUUAUUGCAUUAGGACAACAACGAUUCAUUUGUUAAUUGCUGUGGUAGCUGAACCCCUUUAUCCUUUGCAUGACCUGUCAUUGCCACAGUAAAUAGAUGAAACCCACUAGCAUGAGUAGGAGUUGUUUGAGCCCUGUUGUGCCUACUCAUUCAUGCUUGUUUGUCAUGCCUGCUACUGCUUAGAGUUGAGUCAGGUCUGAUUCAUCGGGGAUGAAUCAGAGGUGUGUGAACAUGUCCUACUGUGUGUGAGCUAAGUGGUGAACACAAUUUGGUAAAGGUAGCGGUGAGAGGCCAUGUAGGAGUACAUGGUGGGUUGUCUCAUUGAAGCCGUCCUUAGGAACUGAGUUCUGUGUUUGUGAUCCAUGAUUCAGCUACUACCAUGCAUUGGGCCCUGAAAUAUGACCCCGCUCGACUUCUUAUUCACCCUUGUCCUCUGUCCAGGAGUUGCAAGUAGUUUCUGGUGUUUGUAGUAUGCUGGAGGCUGUGCGCAGCGCUGACCGGAGGGGUGGGCUGUGAUGCGGUAGGCACGUGGCCGGGUAUACCGGGAGCCCGUUUGGUGUCACGGAACCCUAUUCACAUCGUUUGGGGCUGUGAGAAAAACCUCGGCCGGAUCUCCUCACGGAUGGAACCUGAAUAGGCGAUAAACCUGCACUAGAGACUUGAGUGUUUAGGUAGGUCGUGGUCUACACCCACGUCGGCUUUCGCUUGAAGUCUGCCGAGCACAUGUCGUGUGCAGACGCUAAGUGGUGGAAACAUGUAUGAAGAAGUACACCCCUACAGGGUUAACAUCAUCUAUUCGAAUAGCCGUGUCCGCGGUAAAGGACUUCUGGGUUGCCUAUAACAGUUCAUAGACAAGUGAAAGUGGAUACUUUAAAAUGCGCAAGAUAAGCGUGAGUGCUAUGGAUGGCGUUCUCGUAGGGAGACGGGAGUGGAUCCAUAGUGGUGUAUUGGUUGGUUAAUGUGUGGACUCGUGUGCGCCACCUCAGAAGAGUUACUUGCAGUCGUAGUUCAGGAUAGCCACCGAGUCAAAGCUGGCUUGCUGCAGUUAGACCCCACCAUCCCCUUUGUUGAUAAUGAUGCAUAUGUAGCUAGAUCUGAUGUAAUUCUUGCUGGGUACAUUUGUACUCACGUUUGCCUAUUUUAUGUUUUUGCAGAGAGACUUCAGUCUCGCUAGUAGUUCCGCGUGGACUUCGACGUUUAGCUUGUUACCUCAGCUACGAUCUUGUGCCCUCGGCAUGAUCUGGUAGAUAGUCAGGCUUUUCAGCCUUUUUCAUUUGUAGUCGUCUGUACUCAAACAUGUUAAGCUUCCGCUUGUGCUUUGAAUUGUAUGCUCUGAAUGCUGGACCGAGAGACCCAUGUUUGUAAUAUCUCGCUCCUUGGAGCCUAUUGAAUAAAAUAAUUGAGUUGUAGGGUCAUGUUGUGAUGCCAUGUUGUAUUUGCACAUAUCGAGCAUAUUGUGUGUAUGUUAUUGAAAUGCUUGGUAUGUGUGGGAUCUGAUUCUUAGUAGCCUCUCUUACCGGGAAAUGUCUCCUAGUGUUUCCACUGAGCCUUGGUAGCUUGCUACUGCUCCGGAACACUCAGGCUGGCCGGCAUGUGUCCUUCUUCGUUCCUGUGUCUGUCCCUUCGGGGAAAUGUCACGUGAUGAAUACCAGAGUCCUGUUAGCCCGCUACAGCCCGGUUCACCAGAGUCCUGCUAGCCCAGUGCUACAGCCCGGAUUCACUCGCUGAUGACCGACACGUUCGAUGCUGGCUCAUGGAUGCCUGUCCCUGUAAGUCUGUGCCACUUUGGGUUUACGACUAGCCAUGUCAGCCCGGGCUCCUUAUCAUAUGGAUGCUAGCGACACUAUCAUAUACGUGUGCCAAAAGGCGUAAACGGUCCCGGGCAAAGGUAAGGCGACACCCGUGGGAAUACCGUGCGUGAGGCCGCAAAGUGAUAUGAGGUGUUACAUGCUAGAUCGAUGUGGCAUUGAGUCAGGGUCCUGACAGCUUUGUAUCAGAGCCUGACUGCCUGUAGGAUUACCAAGCCAAACUGGUCGAAGUUGUGUCUAGAAAUGCUUUAGUUAUGUAAGGGAAUUGAUUGUGGGAUGGAACGUAAGGCUCUUUUUACUCCUUAUACCUCAUGGCCUUCUGAUCUGAGUCAACCUCUUCUCUUCUACGGGGAUUAAGAACUAGGCCUUCUCAUCUAUCUAUCAGGAUGACGUGUUACUAAUCCAUAGACUUAUAGGAUUGUUGGUUUCAAGCCCCAGUUCAGUUCCUACUACUUCCGUGUGUUGUUAGUUGAUCUCAGAACCUUGUUAUUGUGAUGUUGAGUGGUCAUGCCACUAUUUUGCAGGAUGUCUUAAAUCAUUUUGAGCAUUUACAGUCGUUAUGCUGUCCGAGUCAUCCCAGGUUUCUAAACAAUCUGAUGCACUUGCAAAUCCUUUUCCUCUGGUUUUUAAGUUCCUUUGGGCCAGGUUAAUCACACUAAUUGCUGAGCUGAGGUAUUCUAUUGCCUCGACAUAUAUGUUGGAAUUAUUAUUAUGACCCUAGGUGUCCUAGGGGAUCAUCUAGUAAUCUAGCCAUGAUUUGUGCCCCAGUGUGAUGAUUCUGGCCAUCAUUCUCGAAAGCAUCCCGUGAUGCCACUUAGUAUGUAGGUAUUCUACUUCUGGGUUUGAACCCAAGAUUCACCCUACUUACUUCAUGUUGAUAGUGUUUGCUAGUUCCUUUAGGUUAUUAGUAACCUUUGCAUUAGUCCUCGAGGUCCGUGGUAUUUCCUUCUUCCAAAUACUAUGAACCACUUAUGGCAGAAGUUUGUUGGAUCAAAAGAUCACAACAGGAGUGCUCUUGAUGAGUUCUCCAUUCUAUAUUGUGAAUCUGCCAGUUCUACCUUCUGCAUGGGUUAUCCGGAAGAAAUAUGUUGAACUCAUUCGACAUUCUAAUCCAUGCAUCCACAACUCAGAAAGAUAUAUGUUCCUUUGAGUUGUCCCUCUUCAGUUGUAUUCCGAUCUUCGUCUAUCAAUUGAUAGUCAGGAGUAAUUGUGCAUUCGUCUUAUCGAUGCUUAUUAUUCUUGUGGUCCAUCAAGCCAUUCUAUUCUGGAAUGACUAGGAGAAACAAACUCCAGUACCUUGUCCAUUUCCAGGAUUGGGUCAAAGCAGUCGUACUCCGCAGAUCAAAUUGCUAAUCUAGCUUUUGCUCUAUUCUACCUUGGAGUAUUACCAUCUUUAUAUCAAGAAUGUCAUGGGAAUUGCACACCCUCCUAUGAAUUCUUGAUACAGUGAUACUUCUCGCCCUCAUUAGUCAUUUCUCGGCUCCCAUGUUGUUGCAACUGGAAUGUCGACAGGUGAACUUUGAUGUGUGAGAUCAAUACUCAGAGCAACUCGUUGCUUGGUAGUAAAUGGACAAUAUUCUCAUUCUUAGCGUGUUGGUUAUUGAAUCAUCAUUCUAAGAUAGAUUGUGCUACCUAGUCCUUAUUUCUGGUGCACUCUUCGAUCAAUGAGUCAGGAUUAUUCAAUCCUUGCUUAUUUGAUCAUAUCGUCUUGCCUUAAAAAGCAAGAUUGUUCCCGAUCUUAGUAACAUAUCGGUGGUUCGUGAUUUUCCGUAUAUCUUCUCGGAAGUAGAACCAGGUUGUCACCUGACCGCUAUGUUGAGUUCGUGGUCAAGUAGGUUUCUUAUAAACCACCCCUUCUCCAAGAAUCUGUGUUGGGUACCCUGAGCUAGUGGGUUAAGCUAAACAACAACUUGGAGAGUUGGAAGAUAAAAGCUUUCCUGGCUUAGUUCAUUUUAAGGGAUAUCUUUGUGUGUGUGUUGAAGAAAGAUAAUAUCUUCAUUGAUUGAUCCUCAUGAUCAGUUGGUGGACCUUUUGUCCUGCCAAGACCUUGAUUUGAGUAUGGGCUAUCCUCAAAUCAAGUCAGAACCAAUGAUGUUCGUAAUGUUGUCUUACUCGUGAAUUUUCCUCGAGCAUACACCAUUAAAUCUUUUGGGUCUGACCAAUACUAGAACCUUGUUCACAUAGUUAUGGAAUUCCAUCUCCAUGGGAAUCUGGAUGAAUUGUUGUUGAGCCCAUCGACAACAUCCUUGUCUUCUCCAUAGUUUUGUUGAACAUUAAGCUAGUGUUGGAAACUUUUAAAGCAUUUGUUCAUGCUAGCUCAUGAAGCAUAUGUUCAGAUGUAAGAAGUGACUUCCUCUAGUUCAUGUGCAUUUAAUGCAAGUUGCCGCCGUGGAUUCGAGAAAGUCAAUGUUGCUUCCUUUGGAAUCAUCCCAAAUCGGUCAUGCAUACGUGCAAAGUAUUUUGUGGUUCGGAGACUUGCAACCUUCAUUCUAUAUGUAUUCCUAGCGCACCAAGCCACUGAUUGAUUUGUUCAAGGAGAAGAAGUCUCUUCUUAAGAGCAAGACUUAUGCAAGGACUUCGAUAUCCUCGAUGAUGGUUCCCCCUCUGAACUCGGUAGUGUUUAGUUAUAAGACUACUACUUGGUCAUGCUUGCCUGAGGCAGCGUGUUCGCAUGUUUGUAGCAGAACCGGCUCGUGUUUUGGAGCUUGCUAUCGUAGUUCAUUCCCCGAGAAUCUCGCAACGUCAUCUCGUCGAUUUGUGUUGCAAACUUUCAUUUUUCUUUCUAGACUUGAUGGGUCUGGACUAUUCUAACACCAGCCAGAUCUAAAUCUUAGGCAGAUAUGAUGGUUGGAACGUUUCCUAAGAACUAUAAUAUUGGUCUCUCUGUAACCGGUAAAGUGGAUGUCGUGGCCAACACACCCAACCGGAAGACCUGUUAUUGUAGUAUCUUGAUUGAGAAAGUUGGCCACCUCCCCCUAAGGACUUCGUAGGAUUUACCCCCUAGUUGUGCCUUAUGGAUUUUUGUGUUUCCGAAGUCCGACCUUUUACUUGAUGUUCUAGAUACUAAACCAUUUCAAUGAAUGGGUUAUGCUAGCACAUCAAGGAGAGCAUUAGAAGCGGAGUGCUAAAUGCCUCUCGGUCAAUCAUCCAGAUUUUGUUCCCUUGGCCCCGCCAAGGUGAAAUCUGAGAAGGUGUUAUCUUCCUUUGCAUCUGCAUCUUCCACCGGUAUUCGUCAUGGUAGUAUGUUGUGUUGCCAGGAUCCUUGACACGGAUAUUGGUAAAACCUUGAUGAUUAUGGAAAUGCUCAAUCUCUUGAAAGCAUGCACAAGCAUUAGGUGCUAUCAUAGUUACUAACCGAGAUUGUUCCCAGUUUUCCUCGGUUAUGCUAUAACUUUUCAAACAGUGGACUCACUCUCUACUGUUGAGCUUCUCCCCAGUUACUAAAAUCAUCCCUUGUGUUGUUUUCAACAAGGUAAUCCACAUCAUCCAUUCUAAUCCGGUUAUGCAUUCUAUCGAACCCCUCCAAACGUUCGCUCAAGAAUUGCCUUAGGUUGGUAUAAAGAGUUUCAAUGAUCGUUGAAUCAAAGGUAAUUCUUUUUGCCACUUAAGGGGGAUAUAUUCUAUGAGUCACCUCCUCUAAGAUGUCUCGUUAUGGUAUCAAGGCAAUUCAACUCCUCGCUACAUUGACAACCGUUCAACACCCUCUUAAAGGUGGAAUUGUAGUCUACCUGGUAAACCUCCGUCAUCUGUUCCACUCCAUUCCUCUAGAGGUGUGCUUCGUCUCUUAGCUCGAGAGAUGUUGCUAUGUCUCAUUCCGUGAGUUAAUCCUGAGUUGUUCGACCUUCGAGAAGAUCGAUCCUUCUAGAGUUUUCUUUCUCCUCUCGUUGUCAUGUCGGUUGGAGUUCUCGGAGCAAGACAUCAAGAUAAUGAUGGUGAUCGAAUCAACGUUCAUUUGAAGUGCAACCUGGAUCAUGAAGAUUGUGUUAGUUUGCGCUCCCCUUUCAUCUUACCCUACGCUUGAAUCUCGGGACGAGAUUCUUGUUUAGUGGGGGUGAGUUGUCACGUCCCAAGUUCAGGCCUUGCUUGUCUCUGCAUAAGCAUCCAUGCAUCAUGUUUAAAUUUAAAGAAACUUGAAAUGGGGAUUGUUUAAACCCUAGCACCAAAUGAAUCCAACUAGGGUCAAAAUAAAAUCUUUUUCAUUGAACUCAAAAUGCCCUCUAAAAAUGUUCAACAUUUCUGGUUUGAGGUGGAAGCAUCUACCAGAAAUGGUUUAUAUUUUUGCAGGACAUAUUGGGCUCUGAAUUAAAUCAUACUCUAUUUGCAUUUGGGCAUUUAAAUGCUAUACAAUAUUUUAAAUGCUCAAAUAAUCAUAAACUAAAAUGUUUAUUGUUGCUUAUAUUCCAAAUAGUGGCAUUGAACAGUUUCAUGAUUUUUGGUAAUGCCCUGACAUUUUUAAUAAAGCCCUAAAGACUACAGAAUAAUAGAAAAACAGAAACAAUAAAAGCGAGAGAGAGAGAGAUUUUUACCUGGGCCACUUACCUGGCCGCAGCCCACCUGGCAGGCCCAGCACUGUGCUGGCCCAUGCCAGGCAGCUGCUUCCUCUCGCCAGGCAGGCAGAGAGGCGAGCACCGGCGUGCCCGAGCUCGCCACGCCGUCACCUGCUUGCCGACGAAGCCCCUGGACGCAUGGACGACUCCCGCGUGCCGUCCCGAUUCCGCUGACCGCUUCGCUCACUCUCCCCCACGGCCCUCUCUCCUCUGCUCCCUCUCUCUCGCCCAGACCAAACGCGUCCGUCGCCACCGACGAGCAUCGCCGUGGCCACAACCACUGCCUACCCUCGUCGUUGCGCCCAUAGGCUCCGCCUCAACCCCCUCUUCCUCUCCACCGAGCCACGAGGUCCCGGACGCGCUGCAACCCCAACACCACCGUCGUUUCCCCCCUCGGGCUCCAACCACCACCGACGUCGAUUCGCCGCACGCAGGACGCCCCCGAGCCCGCCGAGCUUCUCUCCGACCUCGCAGUGAGCUCCUGAUCCGAACCCCUCUCUUUCCCCUCGCGUUUGUGAGAUCUAGGCCAUAGCUCCGUCGCGGCCGAACUCCGGCCGCCGCUGACCUUGUCGCCGCUACCGCUACGGACGCUGCAACUUGCGCCCGAGCGCGUCAUCGUCCUCACCUCGCUCCUAGGAGCCGAACGCACCUAGUAGCUCGUCCGUAGCCGCACCGCAGCCCCCUAGCCGCUCAAGGCCGAGCUCCGGCCGCCGCCUCACUCGCCGCAGUUGCCGCUACCGGCCACCCCAGCCACAGCUGCAGCCACCGCUUGACGCGCCGCGUCGCGGCCGUUCCAACAAGACCUGCCACGCGUCCUCCUGACGCCAGAAUUGGCCGGACGGGCAUCGCCGCCGCGCUCUGGUUAUCGCCGCCGCGCUCCGGUUAUCGCUGGAGUUAAUCCGGUGACAAGGUAGGUUAGUUAGUGCAAAUGACCCCUCUAAUCAACCCCUUAAGCCACUGCCACGUGGGCCCAUGCGCCUGUUUAGUUUAGAUUAAUUUUCCUGUUUAGUUUAGAUUAACCCAGUGGGACCCAAGCGUCAGCCUUGACCGUGCUGACAUGGCUGUUGACUGGCCCCACAUGUCAUGUUGACUUCGCUGACGUGGGCGUUGACCGGACCCACCUGUCAGUGUCACUAACUAGCCCCAGUCACUGACCAGUGGACCCCACUAGUCAGGUUUGACCUAGUCGACGCCUGUUGACCGCUGACGUCACCCUGACGCAGUGCUGACGCAUUAAUUCAAUUACUGGAAUUGUUCUUAUACAGGAAAUUCCAAAAAAUAGCACAAACUUCUAAAAUUCAGAGGAAAUCAAUCGUAACUCCAAAUUAAAUAAGUUAUAUAUGAAAAAUGAUCAGAAAAAUCCAUUCUAUCCAUCUGCACUGGUUUCAUGCAUGUUAGAACACAUUAACCUUGCUGUUUAGGUGAAACAAGUUAAUGCACUAUUAUGACCUCUUAAAAUGGGUUUGCAUUUGAAUCUUUGGUUCAAAUGGACUUGAUAGAGGCAAAGGUGUCCCGUCUUUCGAUGAGAUGAUGGAUAUCGCUUUGGUGGAAGUCGACUUUGACGAUCCGACUACGAACGUGCGAGGACGUCGCGCCUUAGCAAUCGCUAAACCAACUCCGAGAGGUUAUUGACCACGCCGGAGCACGAUCAACCUGACCACGAGGGUCUGUUUCCUGCGAGCAAACGAAGAACAAGCAAGAAACUGAGAUUGCAAUCUGGAUAUUGCGAAUAUAAGAUGAAAGCUUUAUUGAUCAAGGUGGGGUUCUGUGACGCCUUCGUCUGGUCGUUGAACACAAACGAAGUACGCGAAGUUGCAGCUAUGGCGAACUUUUAAUCUAAACAAAACCCAAAGUCUAAACGAUGCCCUAAGGGCUGUAUAUAUNNNNNNNNNNNNNNNNNNNNNNNNNNNNNNNNNNNNNNNNNNNNNNNNNNNNNNNNNNNNNNNNNNNNNNNNNNNNNNNNNNNNNNNNNNNNNNNNNNNNNNNNNNNNNNNNNNNNNNNNNNNNNNNNNNNNNNNNNNNNNNNNNNNNNNNNNNNNNNNNNNNNNNNNNNNNNNNNNNNNNNNNNNNNNNNNNNNNNNNNNNNNNNNNNNNNNNNNNNNNNNNNNNNNNNNNNNNNNNNNNNNNNNNNNNNNNNNNNNNNNNNNNNNNNNNNNNNNNNNNNNNNNNNNNNNNNNNNNNNNNNNNNNNNNNNNNNNNNNNNNNNNNNNNNNNNNNNNNNNNNNNNNNNNNNNNNNNNNNNNNNNNNNNNNNNNNNNNNNNNNNNNNNNNNNNNNNNNNNNNNNNNNNNNNNNNNNNNNNNNNNNNNNNNNNNNNNNNNNNNNNNNNNNNNNNNNNNNNNNNNNNNNNNNNNNNNNNNNNNNNNNNNNNNNNNNNNNNNNNNNNNNNNNNNNNNNNNNNNNNNNNNNNNNNNNNNNNNNNNNNNNNNNNNNNNNNNNNNNNNNNNNNNNNNNNNNNNNNNNNNNNNNNNNNNNNNNNNNNNNNNNNNNNNNNNNNNNNNNNNNNNNNNNNNNNNNNNNNNNNNNNNNNNNNNNNNNNNNNNNNNNNNNNNNNNNNNNNNNNNNNNNNNGAACGUGCGAGGACGUCGCGCCUUAGCAAUCGCUAAACCAACUCCGAGAGGUUAUUGACCACGCCGGAGCACGAUCAACCUGACUACGAGGGUCUGUUUCCUGCGAGCAAACGAAGAACAAGCAAGAAACUAAGAUUGCAAUCUGGAUAUUGCGAAUAUAAGAUGAAAGCUUUAUUGAUCAAGGUGGGGUUCUGUGACGCCUUUGUCUGGUCGAUGAACACAAACGAAGUACGCGAAGUUGCAGCUAUGGUGAACUUUUAAUCUAAACAAAACCCAAAGUCUAAACGAUGCCCUAAGGGCUGUAUAUAUGGAGGAAGAGGGGGGAAUUUCGUGGCCCUUGGUGGAGGGGUCCGAAAUCAACCCUAUCUCUUGUUUCCCCACACAUACGGACUCUAGAAAUAGCCUACUUAUGUAUUUCGAAAUUACAUGGGCCUGGCCCAAUAAUAAGGUGACGCAGCACCUAAAAUAGCCUCAGGACGAAAUUUAUGAAGUGGCAUCUUGUAUAUUUCGUCCAAGGCUUCAUGCACCCAUUAUGGUGGCUUCAAAGUCCUGAUAUCACCACUUGUAACUCCGUUCUUGUUCCCCUUGCGCAUGCCAUCAUCUCCAUGCUUGUUCUUGCUCCAAUGUUCAUCCUUCUCCAAGCUAGGCCCUUCAUUUGUAAGCAACACAAAUGUAUCCAAUUUAGGCAGCAUCAUAUUCUCAUGAACAUUAGAAUCAUUACCAAGAAACGAAAGUACCUGGUAAUUUAGUUGGCGUGCACGAGCUCUAGUAAUUGGUCCAGUAUGUAUAGCAGCAGGGGCUGUGGGUGUAACAAUUGUAUUGAUGUCCUCAUCAUCCUCCCCUUUUUGAAAUGAAGUCGUCCUCGACGGAAGUUCAUCUUCCUCACCCAAAUAAGGCUUCAAAUCGGCAAUGUUAAAAGUGGGACUAACCCCAAAAUCUGCAGGCAGCUCAAGUUUAUAUGCAUUAUCAUUUAUUUUCUCUAACACCUUAAAGGGACCAUCAGCACGUGGCAUUAGCUUUGAUUUGCGCAAAUCAGGAAAUCUAUCCUUACGCAAAUGUAACCAAACAAGAUCUCCAGGUGCAAACACAACAUGUUUUCUACCCUUAUCUCCACCAAGUUUAUAUUUGGCAUUCAUACGCUCAAUGUUUUCCUUAGUUAACUCAUGCAUUUUUAAAAUCAAUUCAGCACGUUGUUUAGCAUCAAAAUUAACCUUCUCCGAAGAUGGAAGAGGCAACAAAUCAAUAGGUGCACGAGGUAGGAAACCAUACACAACUUCAAAAGGGCACAUCUUAGUAGUAGAAUGCAAUGAACGAUUAUAAGCAAAUUCAAUAUGAGCAAGCAUUCCUCCCACAUUUUCCUAUUACUCUUCAAAACAGCCCUAAGCAUAGUAGACAAUGUUCUAUUGACUACUUCAGUUUGGCCAUUAGUUUGGGGGUGACAAGUAGUACUAAAAAGCAGUUUAGUCCCCAACUUAGCCCAUAAACAUCUCCAUAAGUGGCUAAGAAAUUUAGUAUCACGAUCUGAAACAAUAGUAUUUGGCACACCAUGCAAGCGAAUAAUUUCACGAAAGAACAAAUCAGCAACAUUAACAGCAUCAUCGCUUUUAUGACAUGGUAUAAAGUGUGCCAUUUUCGAGAAUCUAUCCACGACAACAAAUAUGCUAUCCCUCCCCUUCUUUGUUCGAGGUAAACCUAAAACAAAGUCCAUAGAUAUAUCCUCCCAAGGAACACUAAGUACAGGCAAAGGCAUAUAUAAACCAUGAGGAUUGAGUCGUGACUUAGCUUUUUGACAUGUAGUGCAUCGAGCAAUAAAACGCUCAACAUCCCGUCUCAUCUUUGGCCAAAAGAAAUGUGUAGCAAGUACAUCCUCCGUCUUCUUCACGCCAAAGUGUCCCAUUAAUCCUCCUCCAUGCGCCUCCUGCAACAACAAAAGACGAACGGAGCUAACUGGAAUGCAUAGCUUGUUAGCACGAAACACAAAUCCAUCGUUAACGACAAACUUGUUCCACAUUCUUCCUUCUUUACAAUUCUGCAUUACAUCUCUAAAAUCAGCAUCAUGCACAUAUUGAUCUUUGAUGGUCUCCAAACCAAAUAUUUUGAAGUCAAGUUGUGAAAGCAUAGUAUAGCGACGAGACAAUGCAUCAGCAAUAACAUUUUCUUUUCCCUUCUUGUGUUUAAUGACAUAAGGGAAAGUCUCAAUGAAUUCAACCCAUUUAGCAUGUCUACGAUUCAGUUUAGCUUGACUUUUAAUAUGUUUCAAAGAUUCAUGAUCAGAAUGUAUAACAAAUUCUUUGGGCCAUAAAUAAUGUUGCCAUGUUUCUAAAGUCCGAACAAGAGCAUAUAAUUCUUUAUCAUAAGUAGAAUAAUUCAGACUAGGCCCACUCAAUUUUUCAGAAAAAUAUGCAACAGGUUUGCCAUCUUGUAAUAACACACCUCCUAAUCCAAUUCCACUAGCAUCACAUUCAAGCUCAAAAGUCUUAUUAAAAUUAGGAAGUUGGAGUAAAGGAGCAUGUGUCAACUUAUCUUUCAAUACCGAGAAGGCUUCUUCCUGUGCGGUACCCCAAAGAAAAGGCACAUCUUUCUUUGUAAGCUCAUUGAGAGGUGCAGCAAUGGUGCUGAAAUCUCUCACAAAACGCCUAUAGAAUCCAGCGAGGCCAAGAAAACUCCUCACGUGUGUGACCGUUUUGGGCUGCGGCCAACUCUCAAUAGCUUCAAUCUUGGCUUUAUCAACUUCAAUUCCCUGUGGAGUAACAACAUAGCCAAGAAGAGAUACUCAGUCGGUGCAAAAGGUGCACUUCCCAAGGUUACCAAACAAACGUGCAUCAUGUAAAGCAAUAAAAACAGCACGUAAAUGUUCCAAAUGUUCUUCCAAAGAUCUGCUAUAAAUCAAUAUGUCAUCAAAGUAAACUACCACAAAUCGUCCAAUGAAAGCACGUAAAACUUCGUUCAUUAAUCUCAUGAAAGUACUAGGUGCAUUAGUUAACCCAAAAGGCAUUACUAACCACUCAUAUAAUCCAAACUUAGUUUUAAAUGCUGUUUUCCAUUCAUCUCCCAAUUUCAUACGAAUUUGAUGGUAGCCACUACGCAAAUCAACUUUGGAGAAUAUUGUAGAGCCACUCAAUUCAUCAAGCAUAUCAUCUAGCCUAGGAAUAGGAUGACGAUAACGAAUAGUAAUAUUAUUAAUGCCUCUACAAUCAACACACAUACGUGAUGUACCAUCCUUUUUCGGCACUAGAAUAAUAGGAACAACACAAGGACUAAGGGAUUCUCGUAUAUAACCUUUGUCGAGAAGCUCUUGUACUUGACGCAUAAUCUCCUUCGUCUCCUCUGGAUUGGUACGGUAUGGUGCACGGUUUGGCAGUGAAGCACCGGGAAUUAAGUCAAUCUGAUGCUCAAUCCCUCGAAUAGGCGGUAAUCCCGGUGGCACGUCUUGUGGAAAGACGUCAGCGAACUCCUGCAAAAUGUUAGUGACAGCAGGAGGCAAAGAGGAAGGCACGUCCUCGAAUGAAAAUAAUGCCUCUUUGCACACAAAAGCAUAGCAAACAGAUUUGCUGAAAUCUAGCUCAUCAAUAUCAGAUUUGGUGGCAAAUAAACAUGCACUUUUCAAUUUAAUUUCAGAAGCAACACUAGAUGGUUUAUUAUUAGGAUUCAUUUGUUGCUCAAAUUCUAUUGCCACAAUCUGAUUUUCACUCUUAUUCUUCUCCUGUUUUGCUUUAUUAGCUCUAUUAAUAUCAUCUUUCAAAAUGGAAUCAGGAGUCAUAGGAAGCAAAGUAUAGUGAUUGUUUCUACCAUGGUGUACAGAAUUUUUAUCAAAUUGCCAUGGUCUACCAAGUAAUAAGGAACAUGCUUGCAUAGGUACCACAUCACAAUCAACAUAAUCAGCAUAUGUAGAGAUACUAAAAUGCACACGAACAGUACGUGUUACCUUAACCUUGCCACUGUUGUUGAACCAUUGGAUGUAGUAAGGAUGUGGAUGUGGUCUUGUGGUGAGAGAAAGCUUCUCCACCAUCUCCAUGCUAGCCAAGUUGUUGCAGCUCCCUCCGUCUAUUAUGACGCGCACAGAAUGUUCCUUCACAACUCCCUUGGUAUGGAACAAAUUGUGCCUCUGAUUUUGCUCAGCUUGUGUGACCUGCACACUCAAAACACGUUGAGCAACUAAACAUUCAUACCUGUCAGCGUCUUCAGGAGCCAUGUAUUGCGUCUCAUGAUCAGAAUCAUCUCCACCAUGUUCUUCACGUGUAAUAAGAGCCAAUGUCUCCUCAUCAUAGUCACUAGCGGACUCAUAUCCACCAUCCGCGGUAGCAAUCAUCACACGCGGAGAUUUGCAUUCCCUCGCAUAAUGACCUCCUCCCUUACAACGACGACAAAUAAUAUCACUUGUGUGCCCUGUUGAUGCCAUGGAAGAAGAAGAACGCUGUGCAGGCCCCGCAGGUGCGCUCUUGGCAGAUAAUGGUGGUUGUGCCUGUUUUCUUGUAUCACGGCUGGAGGUGGCACCGGAUGGAGGUGCUGGUGCUGAUAGAGGCAAAGGUGUCCCGUCUUUCGAUGAGAUGAUGGAUAUCGCUUUGGUGGAAGUCGACUUUCACGAUCCGACUACGAACGUGCGAGGACGUCGCGCCUUAGCAAUCGCUAAACCAACUCCGAGAGGUUAUUGACCACGCCGGAGCACGAUCAACCUGACCACGAGGGUCUGUUUCCUGCGAGCAAACGAAGAACAAGCAAGAAACUAAGAUUGCAAUCUGGAUAUUGCGAAUAUAAGAUGAAAGCUUUAUUGAUCAAGGUGGGGUUCUGUGACGCCUUUGUCUGGUCGUUGAACACAAACGAAGUACGCGAAGUUGCAGCUAUGGCGAACUUUUAAUCUAAACAAAACCCACAGUCUAAACGAUGCCCUAAGGGCUGUAUAUAUGGAGGAAGAGGGGGGGAAUUUCGUGGCCCUUGGUGGAGGGGUCCGAAAUCAACCCUAUCUCUUGUUUCCCCACACAUACGGACUCUAAAAAUAGCCUAUACUUAUGUAUUUCGAAAUUACAUGGGCCUGGCCCAAUAAUAAGGUGACGCAGCACCUAAAAUAGCCUCGGGACAAAAUUUAUGAAGUGGCAUCUUGUAUAUUUCGUCCAAGGCUUCAUGCACACAUUAUGGUGGCUUCAAAGUCCUGAAAUCAUCACUUGUAACUCCGUUCUUGUUCCCCUUGCGCAUGCCAUCAUCUCCAUGCUUGUUCUUGCUCCAAUGUUCAUCCUUCUCCAAGCUAGGCCCUUCAUUUGUAAGCAAAACAAAUGUAUCCAAUUUAGGCAGCAUCAUAUUCUCAUGAACAUUAGAAUCAUUACCAAGAAACGAAAGUACCUGAUAAUUUAGUUGGCGUGCACGAGCUCUAGUAAUUGGUCCAGUAUGUAUAGCAGCAGGGGCUGUGGGUGUAACAAUUGUAUUGAUGUCCUCAUCAUCCUCCCCUUCUUGAAAUGAAGUCGUCCUCGACGGAAGUUCAUCUUCCUCACCCACAUAAUGCUUCAAAUCUGCAAUGUUAAAAGUGGGACUAACCCCAAAAUCUGCAGGCAACUCAAGUUUAUAUGCAUUAUCAUUUAUUUUCUCUAACACCUUAAAGGGACCAUCAGCACGUGGCAUUAGCUUUGAUUUGCGCAAAUCAGGAAAUCUAUUCUGCAUUACAUCUUUAAAAUCAGCAUCAUGCACAUAUUGAUCUUUGAUGGUCUCCAAACCAAAUAUUUUGAAGUCAAGUUGUGAAAGCAUAGUAUAGCGACGAGACAAUGCAUCAGCAAUAACAUUUUCUUUUCCCUUCUUGUGUUUAAUGACAUAAGGGAAAGUCUCAAUGAAUUCAACCCAUUUAGCAUGUCUACGAUUCAGUUUAGCUUGACUUUUAAUAUGUUUCAAAGAUUCAUGAUCAGAAUGUAUAACAAACUCUUUGGGCCAUAAAUAAUGUUGCCAUGUUUCUAAAGUCCGAACAAGAGCAUAUAAUUCUUUAUCAUAAGUAGAAUAAUUCAGACUAGGCCCACUCAAUUUUUCAGAAAAGUAUGCAACAGGUUUGCCAUCUUGUAAUAACACACCUCCUAAUCCAAUUCCACUAGCAUCACAUUCAAGCUCAAAAGUCUUAUUAAAAUCAGGAAGUUGGAGUAAAGGAGCAUGUGUCAACUUAUCUUUCAAUAGCGUGAAGGCUUCUUCCUGUGCGGUACCCCAAAGAAAAGGCACAUCUUUCUUUGUAAGCUCAUUGAGAGGUGCAGCAAUGGUGCUGAAAUCUCUCACAAAACGCCUAUAGAAUCCAGCGAGGCCAAGAAAACUCCUCACUUGUGUGACCGUUUUGGGCUGCGGCCAACUCUCAAUAGCUUCAAUCUUGGCUUUAUCAACUUCAAUUCCCUUUGGAGUAACAACAUAGCCAAGAAAAGAUACUCGGUCGGUGCAAAAAGUGCACUUCCCAAGGUUACCAAACAAACGUGCAUCACGUAGAGCAAUAAAAACAGCACGUAAAUGUUCCAAAUGUUCUUCCAAAGAUCUGCUAUAAAUCAAUAUGUCAUCAAAGUAAACUACCACAAAUCGUCCAAUGAAAGCACGUAAAACUUCGUUCAUUAAUCUCAUGAAAGUACUAGGUGCAUUAGUUAACCCAAAAGGCAUGACUAACCACUCAUAUAAUCCAAACUUAGUUUUAAAUGCUGUUUUCCAUUCAUCUCCCAAUUUCAUACGAAUUUGAUGGUAGCCACUACGCAAAUCAACUUUGGAGAAUAUUGUAGAGCCACUCAAUUCAUCAAGCAUAACAUCUAGCCUAGGAAUAGGAUGACGAUAACGAAUAGUAAUAUUAUUAAUGCCUCUACAAUCAACACACAUACGUGAUGUACCAUCCUUUUUCGGCACUAGAAUAAUAGGAACAGCACAAGGACUAAGGGAUUCGCGUAUAUAACCUUUGUCGAGAAGCUCUUGUACUUGACGCAUAAUCUCCUUCGUCUCCUCUGGAUUGGUACGGUAUGGUGCACGGUUUGGCAGUGAAGCACCGGGAAUUAAGUCAAUCUGAUGCUCAAUCCCUCGAAUAGGCGGUAAUCCCGGUGGCACGUCUUGUGGAAAGACGUCAGCAAACUCCUGCAAAAUGUUAUUGACAGCAGGAGGCAAAGAGGAAGGCACGUCCUCGAAUGAAAAUAAUGCCUCUUUGCACACAAAAGCAUAGCAAACAGAUUUGCUGAAAUCUAGCUCAUCAAUAUCAGAUUUGGUGGCAAAUAAACAUGCACUUUUCAAUUUAAUUUCAGAAGCAACACUAGAUGGUUUAUUAUUAGGCUUCAUUUGUUGCUCAAAUUCUUUUGCCACAAUCUGAUUUUCACUCUUAUUCGUCUCCUGUUUUGCUUUAUUAGCUCUAUUAAUAUCAUCUUUCAAAAUGGAAUCAGGAGUCAUAGGAAGCAAAGUAAUAUUUUUAUCCUUAUGAACAAGAGUAUAGUGAUUGUUUCUACCAUGGUGUACAGAAUUUUUAUCAAAUUGCCAUGGUCUACCAAGUAAUAAGGAACAUGCUUGCAUAGGUACCACAUCACAAUCAACAUAAUCAGCAUAUGUAGAGAUACUAAAAUGCACACGAAGAGUACGUGUUACCUUAACCUUGCCGCUGUUGUUGAACCAUUGGAUGUAGUAAGGAUGUGGAUGUGGUCUUGUGGUGAGAGAAAGCUUCUCCACCAUCUCCAUGCUAGCCAAGUUGUUGCAGCUCCCUCCGUCUAUGAUGACGCGCACAGAACGUUCCUUCACAACUCCCUUGGUAUGGAACAAAUUGUGCCUCUGAUUUUGCUCAGCUUGUGUGAUCUGCACACUCAAAACACGUUGAGCAACUAAACAUUCAUACCUGUCAGCGUCUUCAGGAGCCAUGUAUUGCGUCUCAUGAUCAGAAUCAUCUCCACCAUGUUCUUCACGUGUAAUAAGAGCCAAAGUCUCCUCAUCAUAGUCACUAGCAGACUCAUAUCCACCAUCCGCGGUAGCAAUCAUCACACGCGGAGAUUUGCAUUCCCUCGCAUAAUGACCUCCUCCCUUACAACGACGACAAAUAAUAUCACUUGUGUGCCCUGUUGAUGCCAUGGAAGAAGACGAACGCUGUGCAGGCCCCGCAGGUGCGCUCUUGGCAGAUAAUGGUGGUUGUGCCUGUUUUCUUGUAUCACGGCUGGAGGUGGCACCGGAUGGAGGUGCUGGUGCAGUUGAAGUAGAAGAUGCACGCGGUGUCCAUGAUGAAGGUCGGCCUGCAGAAAAGUUAGUUCGCCCCAAUGCUUGUCGAUCCUGCACUUCACGUUCAGCUUUACAAGCAAGAUGGAAUAAACGAGUGAUAUUAGUAUAGUCCUUAUAGUCUAGAAUGGUCUGAAUCUCUCUAUUUAAUCCACCCAGAAAAUGUGCAAGCAUAGCUUCAUUCUCCUCAACAAUACCACAUCUAAUCAUGCCAGUUUGUAAUUCCUGAUAAUAUUCUUCUACAGAAUUUUUCCCUUGUCUUAAACGCUGCAAUUUUUGAAGCAAUUCACGUUGAUAAUAUGGUGGAACCCAACGCGUACGCAUAGCAGUUUUCAAAGCAGCCCAAGUAGUUGGAAUAGGAUAUAAUCUACAAUGCUCAGACCACCAUACACAUGCAAAACUAGUGAAAGCACAAACAGCAGCAGCAACUCGUCUCUCCUCAGGAUAUUGUAAACAUGUAAAUUGUUGUUCAGUUUCUAACUCCCAAGUAAGAUAUAUAUCAGGAACAUAUCUACCCUCAAAUGGUGGAAUAUUCAAUUUCAGUUUAGGAAUAUGGACAUCAUCUCGUACCUGAGGUGGUGGUGCAGGCCUACCAUUACGAAUAUAUACCUGAGGUCGACCUGGUGGUGGUGGUGCUGGUGGCUGCACGUAGUUCGGAUUUUGAUCAACCUCAUCCUCAUAAUCUCCCACAUAAUCAUCAUCCUCCUGGGUACCAGCAGCAGCAGUAGCAGGAGCCAAAGAAGCACCAACAGCAGUAGCAGCGGCACCAGAAUUUUGUCCUGGCUCAAUAGGAACACGCUGUGCUCGUCCAUACUGAUUCGGAAGGGGGCGUAGUUGUUGUUGUUGCAGAUGUGCGACAGGUGCAGCCGGUGGUGGAAGACGCGCAAGCAGUUCAUUAAAUCUGUUAUCGAGCUUUGUUUCGAACGUCUUCUCAAGGCCAGUAAUCUUCUCCAUGGCCUCUUCAAAAUUGUUCAGCACAUCUUGCACCUGUUCAGUCAUCAUUUGCUGAAACUUAUCAUGAAGCUCCUUGUUCGAUAAGUUCUCCCAGUCAAUCUCGUCGGCUUGUGAUCCUGGCAUGGUUAGCAGCAAUAGAAACACACAAGAAUAUGAUCCUACAGACUACUAAGAAGUGGUGGUGGUGUAUCACAAAUCCGUCAAGCAAAUCUCAAAUUCUUACCAGUUCUUACCCAACAGCAGGCGGUGAUCGGCAACCGUUGUAGUCAAAAACUCUCAAAGCUUGGAUAGAGCGAUUACCAGGGAGAGUCAAACACACGACGUAGAUGUAUGUGGAGCUGGGAAGGCUUAUAGUAUGGUAGCAAAAAGGGUCAGCAAUGAUCAAUUCAGAGAUGCAAAGUUGAAUAAACGCUCAACGACGGUACUGUACUGGUCCUAGGCUAGACUGUGCUAGAGACGCGAGCCUAGAACACCAACAAAAUCACGGCGCGACACGUAAACAAGGGAAAAGCACACUCUAAUUUUUUUUUCGCUCUUUUUUUUGCGCUCUUUCUUUUGCGCUGCUUUUUUUUUGCGAAAAAUCACUAUAAUGGCGAGUGUCUCAAAACUCUUCGUAGGUCAAACUGACAGGAUGGGCACGAAUUUUUUUUUUUCGACCAAUUUUUUUUUUCGACUGCCCAGACCCAAAAACUGGAAACGGGUCAAAAAAAACUUCCUAUAAUGGCACCUGUCUCAAAACACUCAGAAACACCUAAAAUUAGGAUAGCCAGAAUUUUUUUCGAAAAAUGCGUUUUCGAAAAAUUUUGGGCCUAAACGGAGCAUGGUUUCCCGACUCUUUUUUUUUUCCGAAACCUACUCCGGCAAGGAAACACGAAUCGGAAACUAGAUGGAUCUCGAAAACAAUCCUAAUAAGCAAGGAACUCGGAUUGGUGGUGGAUAUAUGGUGAUGAGGACAUGACUACCUUGGAUAUGACCAAAAAUAUUGCAUAUAUGCAUAUUUGUCAGGUGAUUUCUAGUGCAAACUAUUCAAUAAUCUAUUUAUGUUAUCCAGAACAAAAAUACUUCACACACUUUUGUGUUUUGUCUAAUUGCAGGUGUAUGGGACAUUUGUACAAUCCAAAUAUGAAGAUAAGGAAGAAAGAUAUGUUUAUUUGCUGUCCAAAAAGUUCUCUCACGUCACUUUUGGCCCAAGAGAAGAUAGAGUCCAAGUCUCUCACGUUCUGGAUUCAGAUUCGGACUGCACAGACACACCUAACUCAAAACGCACACACGUUUUUCAUACGGACUCCGAAUUGGGUGAUUCUUUUUUUUGUUGGAAACUAGAUUUCGUGCACUUUCCAACCCAAUUGGAAUCACCUUCAAAUUCGUCCGGAGCGUUGAGUUGUGGACAAAACAAUCUGAUGCUGCAGCAGAAUCCGAGUCAAACUACAAGUCCAAAGGUGUUACAUCACCUCCACUUGGGCCCAUUGGCCUUGUACGACCUAGAUUUAGUUUUAGGCUGCCUUGGGACGUCCUUCCACCUCCUUGGCCAGCACCCCUUGCUCCUAUAUAAGUAGAUCCAUCUAGUAGUUUUUCCUUGGGAUUUGUUUAGUUAAAAGUUAGCCACUGCAACUUCGUGUACUUCGUUUGUGUCCAACGACCAGACCAAGACCGCUUACGGAUCCCCACCAUUAUCAAUACCUCAUAUAUAUUUGCAAUAUUCAGAUUGCUUUAUCAUAUUCUUGCUCGUUCUUCGAUUGCUUGCAGAAAUAGACCUUCGUGGUCAGGCUGACCGUGCUUCCGGCAUCGUCAGUAACCUCAGGAGAUUGGUUUAGCGAUUGCUAAGGCGCAACGUCGUGCACGUUUGUAGUCGGAUCGUCAAAGUCGUCUCCACCAAAUCGAUACUUAUCAUCUCAUCGAAAGAUCGGGACACCCUCGCCUCUAUCAAGUGGUAUCAGUUUUCAGGUUGCUCGGUGAGAAUUUCCAGUUUUCCUAGAUUAGAUUUAUUUUCUUACCUAUUGUCCAAGAAAAAGCCACAAAAAAGAGUUAGAUCUAUUCAUCCUUGGUCCAAGCCAGUCUGAGCCUUUGCAAUUUUCUUUUCAUUGCUUGCAUAGUUGAAUUAUCGGUUGCAUCGUCGUGUCGAGUUGCUGGUCUUAGUGUCUAAUUCGUUUAGAGUUUCGAGUUCUGUUCACAUUAGUCACGCCACCGCUGCAUCAUUAUCUCUUCCGCUGUCCACCACCCAUCCAUCAAUUUCCACCACGUGCUACCCACCAUUCAUUGUCAUAAUCAUAGUUGAGAUCAUUCACAUCUUCACUUGAUUCAAUCUGCAUCUUAUCUAGUUUGUCUUGGAAAGAGGGAGAAAAAGAAGAUAAAGAAAAAAAAGAGAGAAAAAAGGAAAGAAAAAAAAAGAAAAAGAGGGAGAAGAAAAAGAAAAAAAAGGCGUGAGAAAAAAAGAGAGAAGAAAAAAAAAUUGGAUCUAUCUAGAAUCAAUCUGUACCUGAAUUCGGAUUGGAAUCUGUUUUGCGCUCUGUUCAGUAAAACGGGUGUAUCUUCCUCAUACGAAGUCAGUUUUGGCUCCGUGAGUACUCAAAUUGAAGAUAGCGACGAGCCACAUCUAAAUAGUUGCAGAAGCUAGUUCAAUAUUUGACACCUCAAAAUCGGCUUCUAAAUAGGUCUUUUUGCCCUCCGAAGUUCGUGAACAGAACUUGUUCCAAUUUUUCAGGCCAGUUUUAGAAUUCUUUGACUCCUCAUAUCAACUCGGAAUUGAGUGAUUCUUUUUGCAUUGGAAAACUUGAGUUAGUAGCAUUCUUUGAAAGAAUUUAUCAGAAAAUUGUCUCAAACUUUUCAAGAGGAAAGUUGGAGAGAGAGUUGUUGUAUAUCCUGCUUGGCAGUUGUUUUUCAUCAUUAUCUUCACUGCCGUUGUGAUCUUCACUUAUAUCUUGCUGUCAAGAGCUACUUAGUAUCCUUCAUUGAUGCUAGUUGUGCUACGCCGUGACCUCAUUAGUGUUUUAGGCUCGCGUCUCUAGUCCGGUCUAGCCUAGGACCAGCACAGUACCGUCGUUGAGCGUUUAUUCAACAUUGCAUCUUUGAAUUGAUUAUUGCUAAUCUUUUGCUACCAUAUAUAGCCAACCCAGCUCCACAUAUUUCUACACCGUGUAUACGUACGCUCCCCUGGCAAUCGCUUUACUCAAUAUUCGGAGUUACUUGACACCGCUGGUUGCCGAUCACCGCCUGCUGCAUGGUAAGAACGUGUAAGACAUUGAUAUUUGCUUUACUGUGAGCGUUUUACCACCACAUCCUAGUAGUUAUAGGAACAUUAUUUUUGGGUUUUGUUUCUUGUUCUACUAAUCAUGACAGGAUCCAGAGUCAAUUCAUGGGCUUCGUCGAUCGCGGGAGAUGUGCCACCACCUUUGCAAAUACCACAACCGUCACGAGAGGUGCACAAACAUCCAAAUGCACAUGAUCAGGUUAAUGUAUCUAUACCACCAUUUAAUGGCCGUUUUAAACCUGCUUUAUAUAUUGAAUGGGAGUUCGACAUAAAAAAUAUAUUUGCUUCCCAUAAUUUCGAUGAACAUAAAAAGGUUAAGGUUGCGGUUGGUUCUUUCACUGGUUAUGCUUUGGUUUGGUGGAGUGAAUAUUGUCGGUUACACCCUGAUUAUAUACCUACUACUUGGGAUGAUUUGAAACUUGCCAUGUGAUAGAGGCAAAGGUGUCCCGUCUUUCGAUGAGAUGGUGGAUUUCGUUUUGGUGGAAGUCGACUUUGACGAUCCGACUACGAACGUGUGAGGACGUCGCGCCUUAGCAAUCGCUAAACCAACUCCGAGAGGUUAUUGACCACGCCGGAGCACGAUCAACCUGACCACGAGGGUCUGUUUCCUGCGAGCAAACGAAGAACAAGCAAGAAACUAAGAUUGCAAUCUGGAUAUUGCGAAUAUAAGAUGAAAGCUUUAUUGAUCAAGGUGGGGUUCUGUGACGCCUUUGUCUGGUCGUUGAACACAAACGAAGUACGCGAAGUUGCAGCUAUGGCGAACUUUUAAUCUAAACAAAACCCAAAGUCUAAACGAUGCCCUAAGGGCUGUAUAUAUGGAGGAAGAGGGGGGAAUUUCGUGGCCCUCGGUGGAGGGGUCCGAAAUCAACCCUAUCUCUUGUUUCCCCACACAUACGGACUCUAAAAAUAGCCUAUACUUAUGUAUUUCGAAAUUACAUGGGCCUGGCCCAAUAAUAAGGUGACGCAGCACCUAAAAUAGCCUCGGGACGAAAUUUAUGAAGUGGCAUCUUGUAUAUUUCGUCCAAGGCUUCAUGCACCCAUUAUGGUGGCUUCAAAGUCCUGGAAUCAUCACUUGUAACUCCGUUCUUGUUCCCCUUGCGCAUGCCAUCAUCUCCAUGCUUGUUCUUGCUCCAAUGUUCAUCCUUCUCCAAGGUAGGCCCUUCAUUUGUAAGCAAAACAAAUGUAUCCAAUUUAGGCAGCAUCAUAUUCUCAUGAACAUUAGAAUCAUUACCAAGAAACGAAAGUACCUGGUAAUUUAGUUGGCGUGCACGAGCUCUAGUAAUUGGUCCAGUAUGUAUAGCAGCAGGGGCUGUGGGUGUAACAAUUGUAUUGAUGUCCUCAUCAGAAUUGAUUAUUGCUAAUCUUUUGCUACCAUAUAUAGCCAACCCAGCUCCACAUAUUUCUACACCGUGUAUACGUACGCUCCCCUGGCAAUCGCUUUACUCAAUAUUCGGAGUUACUUGACACCGCUGGUUGCCGAUCACCGCCUGCUGCAUGGUAAGAACUUGUAAGACAUUGAUAUUUGCUUUACUGUGAGCGUUUUACCACCACAUCCUAGUAGUUAUAGGAACAUUAUUUUUGGGUUUUGUUUCUUGUUCUACUAAUCAUGACAGGAUCCAGAGUCAAUUCAUGGGCUUUGUCGAUCGCGGGAGACGUGCCACCACCUUUGCAAAUACCACAACCGUCACGAGAGGUGCACAAACAUCCAAAUGCACAUGAUCAGGUUAAUGUAUCUAUACCACCAUUUAAUGGCUGUUUUAAACCUGCUUUAUAUAUUGAAUGGGAGUUCGACAUAAAAAAUAUAUUUGCUUCCCACAAUUUCAAUGAACAUAAAAAGGUUAAGGUUGCGGUUGGUUCUUUCACUGGUUAUGCUUUGGUUUGGUGGAGUGAAUAUUGUCGGUUACACCCUGAUUAUAUACCUACUACUUGGGAUGAUUUGAAACUUGCCAUGCGACAUACUUUCGUCCCUGCUUAUUAUACUCGUGACAUGAUUAAGAAGUUGCAACACGUAAAACAAGGUAGUGAAACUGUAACAAAAUAUUAUGAUGAUUUACAAACUACCUUGUUGCAUUCCUCUUUAGAAGAAAGUGAAGAUGAUUUUAUGGAUAGAUUUUGGGGAGGAUUAAACCGUGAUAUUCAAGAGAUACUAAUUCAUGAAGAGUGUUAUCCGAUGGACCAUUUGUUUCAUCUUGCUUGCAAAGCUGAACAGGAAAUAAAACGACGUGUUGGCCACGAGGAGAACAAGCGCACGGUGCACAUUCCAAGAGUUGAUAUGAUUGUUCCUUCAACUACUAGGCAUACUAUGACAACCACAUCCGUUGUUGUCAGGACUACAUCACCUCCACCAUGUGACACAUCGCCCCCGAGAGUGGCUACAUCAUCUGAGUUGAUCAUAAGAGGUAAUGACAAAGGUACUGAUCUUCCAUCUCUACAUGAGAAUGAUGAAUGCCUUGUCAAUUUGAAUGCACCAUCUGAUGAGCUACCCACUACUUUGAUCACACCACCUAUUUUAGAGGACUACGUUGAUAAUUUGACUUUGCCAUGUGAUCAAACAACUGAAAUACCAACAAUUUUGAGUGCACCCAUUGAAUUAACUAUUGAUGCAAAAGAAUCAAUGUUUAAUCAUUUUGAUAUGACCUCUAAUCUUGGUGAUGAUUCUGUGUUGAAUGACUUAUUGCAUGUUUGCUUAUUUAAGCAUGUUGUAGCAUGUAAAUUUGAUGCAAGUAAGGUUUAUUCACCAAUGUUUGGAUGGUUUAAUGAUGAACAUUAUCAAUCUUUUGAAAUGAAUAAGAGCUUCACUUAUAUGUGCAAACUGAGUUGCAAUAUUUUCAUGCCUUCUACUUCUUGUGCUAAUUUUUUGGCCUUAGAUUUUAUGAAUUAUGCAAGUUACUCAUCUAUUCAUGUGUCAUAUAUGCAAAAAUCAAGGGAAGUAAAAAUGGAUGACAUAUACAUAUUGAUAGAGGCAAAGGUGUCCCGUCUUUUGAUGAGAUGGUGGAUUUCGCUUUGGUGGAAGUCGACUUUGACGAUCCGACUACGAACGUGCGAGGACGUCGCGCCUUAGCAAUCGCUAAACCAACUCCGAGAGGUUAUUGACCACGCCGGAGCACGAUCAACCUGACCACGAGGGUCUGUUUCCUGCGAGCAAACGAAGAACAAGCAAGAAACUGAGAUUGCAAUCUGGAUAUUGCGAAUAUAAGAUGAAAGCUUUAUUGAUCAAGGUGGGGUUCUGUGACGCCUUUGUCUGGUCGUUGAACACAAACGAAGUACGCGAAGUUGCAGCUAUGGCGAACUUUUAAUCUAAACAAAACCCAAAGUCUAAACGAUGCCCUAAGGGCUGUAUAUAUGGAGGAAGAGGGGGGAAUUUCGUGGCCCUUGGUGGAGGGGUCCGAAAUCAACCCUAUCUCUUGUUUCCCCACACAUACGGACUCUAAAAAUAGCCUAUACUUAUGUAUUUCGAAAUUACAUGGGCCUGGCCCAAUAAUAAGGUGACGCAGCACCUAAAAUAGCCUCGGAACGAAAUUUAUGAAGUGGCAUCUUGUAUAUUUCGUCCAAGGCUUCAUGCACCCAUUAUGGUGUCUUCAAAGUCCUGAAAUCAUCACUUGUAACUCCGUUCUUGUUUCCCUUGCGCAUGCCAUCAUCUCCAUGCUUGUUCUUGCUCCAAUGUUCAUCCUUCUCCAAGCUAGGCCCUUCAUUUGUAAGCAAAACAAAUGUAUCCAAUUUAGGCAGCAUCAUAUUCUCAUGAACAUUAGAAUCAUUACCAAGAAACGAAAGUACCUGGUAAUUUAGUUGGCGUGCACGAGCUCUAGUAAUUGGUCCAGUAUGUAUAGCAGCAGGGGCUGUGGGUGUAACAAUUGUAUUGAUGUCCUCAUCACAUAUACAACAUGUACACCUUGUCUCUUUUGUUAGCCACAUUUCAGAUUAAGCAACGCCGAGGACGGCUUUAUUAUCAAGAAGGGGAGGAUGAUGAGGACAUGACUACCUUGGAUAUGACCAAAAAUAUUGCAUAUAUGCAUAUUUGUCAGGUGAUUUCUAGUGCAAACUAUUCAAUAAUCUAUUUAUGUUAUCCAGAACAAAAAUACUUCACACACUUUUGUGUUUUGUCUAAUUGCAGGUGUAUGGGACAUUUGUACAAUCCAAAUAUGAAGAUAAGGAAGAAAGAGAUGUUUAUUUGCUGUCCAAAAAGUUCUCUCACGUCACUUUUGGCCCAAGAGAAGAUAGAGUCCAAGUCUCUCACGUUCUGGAUUCAGAUUCGGACUGCACAGACACACCUAACUCAAAACGCACACACGUUUUUCAUACGGACUCCGAAUUGGGUGAUUCUUUUUUUUGUUGGAAACUAGAUUUCGUGCACUUUCCAACCCAAUUGGAAUCACCUUCAAAUUCGUCCGGAGCGUUGAGUUGUGGACGAAACAAUCUGAUGCUGCAGCAGAAUCCGAGUCAAACUACAAGUCCAAAGGUGUUACAUCACCUCCACUUGGGCCCAUUGGCCUUGUACGACCUAGAUUUAGUUUUAGGCUGCCUUGGGACGUCCUCCCACCUCCUUGGCCGGCACCCCUUGCUCCUAUAUAAGUAGAUCCAUCUAGUAGCUUUUCCUUGGGAUUUGUUUAGUUAAAAGUUAGCCACUGCAACUUCGUGUACUUCGUUUGUGUCCAACGACCAGACCAAGACCGCUUACGGAUCCCCACCAUUAUCAAUACCUCAUAUAUAUUUGCAAUAUUCAGAUUGCUUUAUCAUAUUCUUGCUCGUUCUUCGAUUGCUUGCAGAAAUAGACCUUCGUGGUCAGGCUGACCGUGCUUCCGGCAUCGUCAGUAACCUCAGGAGAUUGGUUUAGCGAUUGCUAAGGCGCAACGUCGUGCACGUUUGUAGUCGGAUCGUCAAAGUCGUCUCCACCAAAUCGAUACUUAUCAUCUCAUCGAAAGAUCGGGACACCCUCGCCUCUAUCAUAUGGUGGUGGUAUAUGGCAGCGGUGGUGGUAGCGGUGGUAGUAUAUGGAUAUGGAUCGGUGGUGGUAUAUGGACACGGAUUGGUGGUGGUAUAUGGAUACGGAUUCGGAGCGGUGGUGGUAGAUGGCAGGGCGAUGAUGAUGGUGCGGCGGCGGCGUGACAACUUAUGACCAGAACUCGAAACUCUAAAAGACUAGACUCUAAGACCAGCAACUAGACACGACGAUGCAACCGCAAAUUCAACAAAGCAAAACCCUAAAAAGAUUAUGCAAAGGCUCAGAUUGGUUCGGAUAUGAUGAACUAACCCUAAUUUUUUUUGUGGCUUUCUCGUGGACUGUAGGUAUGAAGAAUAGACUCGAUCUAAACUACGAAAAACUGUAAAAUCUCACCGAGCAACCUGGAAAUCUGAUACCACUUGAUAGAGGCAAAGGUGUCCCGUCUUUCGAUGAGAUGAUGGAUAUCGCUUUGGUGGAAGUCGACUUUGACGAUCCGACUACGAACGUGCGAGGACGUCGCGCCUUAGCAAUCGCUAAACCAACUCCGAGAGGUUAUUGACCACGCUGGAGCACCAUCAACCUGACCACGAGGGUCUGUUUCCUGCGAGCAAACGAAGAACAAGCAAGAAACUGAGAUUGCAAUCUGGAUAUUGCGAAUAUAAGAUGAAAGCUUUAUUGAUCAAGGUGGGGUUCUGUGACGCCUUUGUCUGGUCGUUGAACACAAACGAAGUACGCGAAGUUGCAGCUAUGGCGAACUUUUAAUCUAACAAAAUCGAAAGUCUAAACGAUGCCCUAAGGGCUGUAUAUAUGGAGGAAGAGGGGGGGGGGGAAUUUCGUGGCCCUUGGUGGAGGGGUCCGAAAUCAACCCUAUCUCUUGUUUCCCCACACAUACGGACUCUAAAAAUAGCCUAUACUUAUGUAUUUCGAAAUUACAUGGGCCUGGCCCAAUAAUAAGGUGACGCGGCACCUAAAAUAGCCUCGGGACGAAAUUUAUGAAGUGGCAUCUUGUAUAUUUCGUCCAAGGCUUCAUGCACCCAUUAUGGUGGCUUCAAAGUCCUGAAAUCAUCACUUGUAACUCCAUUCUUGUUCCCCUUGCGCAUGCCAUCAUCUCCAUGCUUGUUCUUGCUCCAAUGUUCAUCCUUCUCCAAGCUAGGCCCUUCAUUUGUAAGCAAAAUAAAUGUAUCCAAUUUAGGCAGCAUCAUAUUCUCAUGAACAUUAGAAUCAUUACCAAGAAACGAAAGUACCUGGUAAUUUAGUUGGCGUGCGCGAGCUCUAGUAAUUGUCCAGUAUGUAUAGCAGCAGGGCCUGUGGGUGUAACAAUGGUAUUGAUGUCCUCAUCAGGACUCAUCUCAAUCUGUUCUAGCUUGCAUUAACCCAAAACACAUUCAUAUUGCCAUGUCAUAGCAUGCAUCAUAUUGUGCAUUGCAUUGAUCAUGUUUCUUCUCUGUUUGCCGGUGUUGUUCCCCCUCGGUAGACGUUGUACCGACGUUGUGAUCAUUGACACUGAUGAAGACUCAAUGCUAUCUUCAGAAGUGCCAGGCAAGCAAAACCCCCUUGUUCAUUCCAAUACAAUCCUACUCUCUCGCUCCUGCUCUCUUUUAUUGCAUUAGGACAACAACGAUUCAUUUGUUACUUGCUGCGGUAGCUGAACCCCUUUAUCCUUUGCAUGACCUGUCAUUGCCACAGUAAAUAGAUGAAACCCACUAGCAUGAGUAGGAGUUGUUUGAGCCCUGUUGUGCCUACUCAUUCAUGCUUGUUUGUCAUGCCUGCUACUGCUUAGAGUUGAGUCAGGUCUGAUUCAUCGGGGAUGAAUCAGAGGUGUGUGAACAUGUCCUACUGUGUGUGAGCUAAGUGGUGAACACAAUUUGGUAAAGGUAGCGGUGAGAGGCCAUGUAGGAGUACAUGGUGGGUUGUCUCAUUGAAGCCGUCCUUAGGAACUGAGUUCUGUGUUUGUGAUCCAUGAUUCAGCUACUACCAUGCAUUGGGCCCUGAAAUAUGACCCCGCUCGACUUCUUAUUCACCCUUGUCCUCUGUCCAGGAGUUGCAAGUAGUUUCUGGUGUUUGUAGUAUGCUGGAGGCCGUGCGCAGCGCUGACCGGAGGGGUGGGCUGUGAUGCGGUAGGCACGUGGCCGGGUAUACCAAGCGCCCGUUUGGUGUCAUGAAACCCUGUUCACAUCGUUUGGGGCUGUGAGCGAAACCUCGGCCGGAUCUCCUCACGGAUGGAACCCGAAUAGGCGAUAAACCUGGAGUAGAGACUUGAGUGUUUAGGUAGGUCGUGGUCUACACCCACGUCGGCUUUCGCUUGAAGUCUGCCGAGCACAUGUCGUGUGCAGACGCUAAGUGGUGGAAACAUGUAUGAAGAAGUACACCCCUGUAGGGUUAACAUCAUCUAUUCGAAUAGCCGUGUCCGUGGUAAAGGACUUCUGGGUUGCCUAUAACAGUUCAUAGACAAGUGAAAGUGGAUACUUUAAAAUGCGCAAGAUAAGCGUGAGUGCUAUGGAUGGCGUUCUCGUAGGGGGACGUGAGUGGAUCCAUUGUGGUGUAUUGGUUGGUGAAUGUGUGGACUCGUGUGUGCCACCUCAGAAGAGUUACUUGCAGUCGUAGUUCAGGAUAGCCACCGAGUCAAAGCUGGCUUGCUGAAGUUAAACCCCACCAUCCCCUUUGUUGAUAAUGAUGCAUAUGUAGCUAGAUCUGAUGUAAGUCUUGCUGGGUACAUUUGUACUCACGUUUGCCUAUUUUAUGUUUUUGCAGAGAGACUUCAGUCUCGCUAGUAGUUCCACGUGGACUUCGACGUUUAGCUUGUUACCUCAGCUACGAUCUUGUGCCCUCGGCAGGAUCUGGUAGAUAGUCAGGCUUUUCAGCCUUUUUCAUUUGUAGACGUCUGUACUCAGACAUGUUAAGCUUCCGCUUGUGCUUUGAAUUGUAUGCUCUGAAUGCUGGACCGAGAGACCCAUGUUUGUAAUAUCUCGCUCCUUGGAGCCUAUUGAAUAAAAUAAUUGAGUUGUAGGGUCAUGUUGUGAUGCCAUGUUGUAUUUGCACAUAUCGAGCAUAUUGUGUGUAUGUUAUUGAAAUGCUUGGUAUGUGUGGGAUCUGACUAUCUAGUUGUUUAUUCUUAGUAGCCUCUCUUACCGGGAAAUGUCUCCUAGUGUUUCCACUGAGCCUUGGUAGCUUGCUACUGCUCCGGAACACUCAGGCUGGCCGGCAUGUGUCCUUCUUCGUUCUUGUGUCUGUACCUUCGGGGAAAUGUCACGCGAUGAAUACCGGAGUCCUGUUAGCCCGCUACAGCCCGGUUCACCGGAGUCCUGCUAGCCCAGUGCUACAGCCCGGAUUCACUCGCUGAUGACCGACACGUUCGAUGCUGGGUCAUGGAUGCCUGUCCCUAUAAGUCUGUGCCACUUUGGGUUUACGACUAGCCAUGUCAGCCCGGGCUCCUUAUCAUAUGGAUGCUAGCGACACUAUCAUAUACAUGUGCCAAAAGGCGCAAACGGUCCCGGGCAAAGGUAAGGCGACACCCGUGGGAAUACCGUGCGUGAGGCCGCAAAGUGAUAUGAGGUGUUACAUGCUAGAUCGAUGUGGCAUUAAGUCGGGCUCCUGACACACAUCGACCGCUAUCCAUCAUGCAUCUAGAGUAUUAAGUUCAUGAAGAACGAAGUAACGCAUUAAUUAAGAUGACAUGAUGUAGAGGAAAUAAAUCAAGCAAUAUGAUGGAAACCCCAUCUUUUUAUCCUCGAUGGCAACAAUACAAUAUGUGCCUUGUUGCCCCUACUGUCACUGGGAAAGGACACCGCAAGAUUGAACCCAAAGCUAAGCACUUCUCCCAUUGCAAGAAAGAUCAAUCUAGUAGGCCAAACUAAACCGAUAAUUCAAAGAGACUUGCAAAGAUAUCAAAUCAUGCAUAUAAGAAUUCAGAGAAGAACCAAAUAAUAUUCAUAGAUAAUCUUGAUCAUAAAUGAUAGAGGCGAGGGUCCCGAUCUUUCGAUGAGAUGAUAACUAUCGAUUUGGUGGAGACGACUUUGACAAUCCGACUACAAACGUGCACGACAUUGCGCCUUAGCAAUCGCUAAACCAAUCUCCUGAGGUUACUGACGAUGCUGGAAGCACGGUCAGCCUGACCACGAAGGUCUAUUCCUGCAAGCAAUCGAAGAACAAGCAAGAAUAUGAUAAAGCAAUCUGAAUAUCGCAAAUAUAUAUGAAGUAUUGAUAAUGGUGGGGAUCCGGAAGCGGUCUUGGUCUGGUCGUUGGACACAAACGAAGUACACGAAGUUGCAAUGGCUAACUUUUAACUAAACAAAUCCCAAGGAAAAGCUACUAGAUGGAUCUACUUAUAUAGGAGCAAGGGGUGGCGGCCAAGGAGGUGGGAGGACGUCCCAAGGCAGCCUAAAACUAAAUCUAGGUCGUACAAGGCCAAUGGGCCCAAGUGGAGGUGAUGUAACACCUUUGGACUUGUAGUUUGACUCGGAUUCUGCUGCAGCAUCAGAUUGUUUCGUCCACAACUCAACGCUCCGGACGAAUUUGAAGGUGAUUCCAAUUGGGUUGGAAAGUGCACGAAAUCUAGUUUCCAACAAAAAAAGAAUCACCCAAUUCGGAGUCCGUAUGAAAAACUUGUGUGCGUUUUGAGUCAGGUGUGUCUGUGCAGUCCAAAUCUGAAUGCAGAACGUGAGAGACUUGGACUCUAUCUUCUCUUGGGCCAAAAGUGACGUGAGAGAACUUUUUGGACAGCAAAUAAACAUCUCUUUCUUCCUUAUCUUCAUAUGUGGAUUGUACAAAUGUCCCAUACACCUGCAAUUAGACAAAACACAAAAGUGUGUGAAGUAUUUUUGUUCUGGAUAACAUAAAUAGAUUAUUGAAUAGUUUGCACUAGAAAUCACCUGACAAAUAUGCAUAUAUGCAAUAUUUUUUGGUCAUAUCCAAGGUUGUCAUAGUAUGCCUAGUAGUUGAAGGAACAAUCAUAUCAACUCUUGGAAUGUGCACCGUGCGCUUGUUCUCCUCGUGGCCAACACGUCGUUUUAUUUCCUGUUCAGCUUUGCAAGCAAGAUGAAACAAAUGGUCCAUAGGAUAACACUCUUCAUGAAUUAGUAUCUCUUGAAUAUCACGGUUUAAUCCUCCCCAAAAUCUAUCCAUAAAAUCAUCUUCACUUUCUUCUAAAGAGGAAUGCAACAAGGUAGUUUGUAAAUCAUCAUAAUAUUUUGUUACAGUUUCCCUACCUUGUUUUAAGUGUUGCAACUUCUUAAUCAUGUCACGAGUAUAAUAAGCAGGGACGAAAGUAUGUCGCAUGGCAAGUUUCAAAUCAUCCCAAGUAGUAGGUAUAUAAUCAGGGUGUAACUGACAAUAUUCACUCCACCAAACCAAAGCAUAACCAGUGAAAGAACCAACCGCAACCUUAACCUUUUUAUGUUCAUCAAAAUUAUGGGAAGCAAAUAUAUUUUUUAUGUCGAACUCCCAUUCAAUAUAUAAAGCAGGUUUAAAACGGCCAUUAAAUGGUGGUAUAGAUACAUUAACCUGAUCAUGUGCAUUUGGAUGUUUGUGCACCUCUCGUGACGGUUGUGGUAUUUGCAAAGGUGGUGGCACGUCUCCCGCGAUCGACAAAGCCCAUGAAUUGACUCUGGAUCCUGUCAUGAUUAGUAGAACAAGAAACAAAACCCAAAAAUAAUGUUCCUAUAACUACUAGGAUGUGGUGGUAAAACGCUCACAGUAAAGCAAAUAUCAAUGUCUUACAAGUUCUUACCAUGCAGCAGGCGGUGAUCGGCAACCAGCGGUGUCAAGUAACUCCGAAUAUUGAGUAAAGCGAUUGCCAGGGGAGCGUACGUAUACACGGUGUAGAAAUAUGUGGAGCUGGGUUGGCUAUAUAUGGUAGCAAAAGAUUAGCAAUAAUCAAUUCAAAGAUGCAAUGUUGAAUAAACGCUCAACGACAGUACUGUGCUGGUCCUAGGCUAGACCGGACUAGAGACGCGAGCCUAGAACACUAAUGAGGUCACUGCGUAGCACAACUAGCAUCAAUGAAGGAUACUAAGUAGCUCUUGACAGCAAGAUAUAAGUGAAGAUCACAACAGCAGUGAAGAUAAUGAGGUGAAACAACAGCCAAGCAGGAUAUAUCAACAACUUUGUCUCCAGCUUUCCUCUGAAAAAGUUUGUGCCGAUUUUUUUGUUUUUUUUUUCUUCUCUCUUUUUUUUCCUCACACUUUUUUUUCUUUCUCUCCUUUUUUUUCUCUGACUUUUUUUUCCUUUUUUUUUCUCUCGUUUUUUCUCUCUCUUUUUUCUCCCUCUUUCCAAAACAAACUAGAUAAGAUGCAGAUUGGAUCAAGUGAAGAUGUGAACGAUUUCAACUAUUAUUAUGACAAUGAAUGGUGGGUAGCACGUGGUGGAAAUUGAUGGAUGGGUGGUGGACAGCGGAAGAGAUAAUGAUGCAGCGGUGGCGUGACUAAUGUGAACAGAACUCGAAACUCUAAACGAAUUAGACACUAAGACCAGCAACUCGACACGAUGAUGCAAUCGAUAAUUCAACUAUGCAAUCAAUGAAAAGAAAAUUGCAAAGGCUCAGACUGGCUUGGACCAAGGAUGAAUAGAUCUAACUCUUUUUUGUGGCUUUUUCUUGGACAAUAGGUAAGAAAGUAAAUCUAAUCUAGGAAAACUGGAAAUUCUCACCGAGCAACCUGAAAACUGAUACCACUUGAUAGAGGCGAGGGUCCCGAUCUUUCGAUGAGAUGAUAACUAUCGAUUUGGUGGAGACGACUUUGACAAUCUGACUACAAACGUGCAGGACGUUGCGCCUUAGCAAUCGCUAAACCAAUCUCCUGAGGUUACUGACGAUGCUGGAAGCACGGUCAGCCUGACCACGAAGGUCUAUUCCUGCAAGCAAUCGAAGAACGAGCAAGAAUAUGAUAAAGCAAUCUGAAUAUUGCAAAUAUAUAUGAAGUAUUGAUAAUGGUGGGGAUCCAGAAGCGGUCUUGGUCUGGUCGUUGGACACAAACGAAGUACACGAAGUUGCAAUGGCUAACUUUUAACUAAACAAAUCCCAAGGAAAAGCUACUAGAUGGAUCUACUUAUAUAGGAGCAAGGGGUGGCGGCGAAGGAGGUGGGAGGACGUCCCAAGGCAGCCUAAAACUAAAUCUAGGUCGUACAAGGCCAAUGGGCCCAAGUGGAGGUGAUGUAACACCUUUGGACUUGUAGUUUGACUCGGAUUCUGCUGCAGCAUCAGAUUGUUUCGUCCACAACUCAACACUCCGGACGAAUUUGAAGGUGAUUCCAAUUGGGUUGGAAAGUGCACGAAAUCUAGUUUCCAACAAAAAAAGAAUCACCCAAUUUGGAGUCCUUAUGAAAAACUUGUGUGCAUUUUGAGUCAGGUGUGUCUGUGCAGUCCGAAUCUGAAUCCAGAACGUGAGAGACUUGGACUCUAUCUUCUCUUGGGCCAAAAGUGACGUGAGAGAACUUUUUGGACAGCAAAUAAACAUCUCUUUCUUCCUUAUCUUCAUAUGUGGAUUGUACAAAUGUCCCAUACACCUGCAAUUAGACAAAACACAAAAGUGUGUGAAGUAUUUUUGUUCUGGAUAACAUAAAUAGAUUAUUGAAUAGUUUGCACUAGAAAUCACCUGACAAAUAUGCAUAUAUGCAAUAUUUUUGGUCAUAUCCAAGGUAGUCAUGUCCUCAUCAAUAAAUCCACAAUUCAUCAGAUCUCAGCAAACACACCGCAAAAGAAUAUUACAUCGAAUAGAUCUCCAAGAACAUCGAGGAGAACAUGGUAUUAAGAAUCAAAGAUAGAGAAGAAGACAUCUAGCUAAUAACUAUGGACCCAAAGGUCUAUGGUAAAUUACUCACGCUUCUUCGGAGAGGUAAUGGUGUUGAUGAAGAAGCCCUCUAUGAUCGAAUCACCCUCCGGCAGGACGCCAGAAAAGUUCCCUAGAUGGGAUCUCAUGGGUACAGAAAGUUGCAGCGGUGGAAAAGUGGUUUCUUGGCUCUCCUGGAUGUUUUCAGGGUAUAAGAAUAUAUAUAUGUGAAGGAAGUAGGUCAGGGGAGCUACGAGGGGCCCACGAGGGUGGGGGCGCGCCCUACCCCCUCAGUGCGCCUGUUGGGAAACGUAGUAAUACAAAAAAAUUCCUACGAUCACGCAAGAUCUAUCUAGGAGAUGCAUAGCAACGAGACGGGAAACUGUGUCCACGUACCCUCGUAGACGAAAGUGGAAGAGUUUAGUAAUCGGUUGAUGUAGUCGAACGUCUUCACGAUCCAACCGAUCCAAGUACCGAACGUACGGCACCUCCGUGUUCAGCACAUGUUCAGCACAAUGACGUCCCUCGUGCUCUUGAUCCAGUUGAGGACGAGGGAGAGUUCCGUCAGCACGACGGCGUGGCGAUGGUUAUGAUGAAGUAACCGGCGCAGAGCUUCACCUAAGCACUACGAUGAUACGAUCGAGGUGUUAAACUAUGGAGGGGGGCACCGCACACGGCUAAGAGAUUGUUUGUUGUUCUUUGGGGUGCCCCCUAGCCAUGUAUAUAAAGGAGGGAGAGGAGGAGGCUGGCGGCUAGGAGGGGCGUGCCAUAGGAGGAGUCCAACUAGGAUUCCCAAUCCUAGUUGGACUCCCCUUCCUUUUCCAAGAGGGGAGGAGAGGGAAGGAGGAGGAGAGGGAGAAGGAAAGAGGGGGGCGUUGCCCCCUCCCUAGUCCAAUUCAGACUUGCCAUGGGGGGUGGGGGCGGCCACCCUUGCGGCCUUCCUCUCCUUUCCAAUAAGGCCCAUGAAGGCCCACUACUUCCCCGGGGGGUUCCGGUAACCUCCCGGUACUCCGAAUAAUACCCGAAUCACCCCAGAACCAUUCUGGUGUCCGAAUAUAACCUUCCAAUAUAUCAAUCUUUACCUCUCAACCAUUUCAAGACUCCUCGUCAUGUCUUUGAUCUCAUCCGGGACUCCAAAUAAACUUUGGUCAUCAAAUCACAUAACUCAUAAUACAAAUCGUCAUCGUACGUUAAGCGUGCGGACCCUAUGGGUUCGAGAACUAUGUAGACAUGACAGAGACAUAUCUCCGGUCAAUAACCAAUAGUGGAACCUGGGUGCUCAUAUUGGUUCCUACAUAUUCUAUGAAGAUCUUUAUCGGUCAAACCGCAUAACGACAUACAUCAUUCCCUUUGUCAUCGGUAUGUUACUUGCCCGAGAUUUGAUCGUCAGUAUCAUCAUACCCAGUUCAAUCUCGUUAUCGACAAGUCUCUUUACUUGUCCCAUAAUGCCUCAUCCCGCAACUAACUCAUUAGUCACAUUGCUUGCAAGGCUAAUAGUGAUGAGCAUUACCGAGAGGGCCCAGAGAUACCUCUCUGAUACACGGAGUGACAAAUCCUAAUCUUGAUCUAUGCCAACCCAACAAACACCUUCAGAGACACCUGUAGAGCAUCUUUAUAAUCACCCAGUUACGUUGUGAUGUUUGAUAGCACACAAGGUGUUCCUUCGGUAUUCGGGAGUUACAUAAUCUCAUAGUCAGAGGAACAUGUAUAAGUCAUGAAGAAAGCAGUAGCAAUAAAACUGUAACAAUCAUAAUGCUAAGCUAACGGAUGUGUCUUGUCCAUCACAUCAUUACCUAAUGAUGUGAUCUCGUUCAUCAAAUGACAACACAUGUCUAUGGUUAGGAAACAUAACCAUCUUUGAUAACGAGCUAGUCAAGUAGAGGCAUACAAGGGACACUGUUUUUUCUAUGUAUUCACACAUGUACCAAGUUUUCAGUUAAUACAAUUCUAGCAUGAAUAAUAAACGUUUAUCAUGAUAUAAGGAAAUAUAAAAAACAACUUUAUUAUUUCCUAUAGGGAAUAUUUCCUUCAGUCUCCCACUUGCACUAGAGUUAAUAAUCUAGAUUACAAAGUAAUGAUUCUAACACCCAUGGAGUCUUGGUGAUGAUCAUGUUUUGCUCGUCGAAGAGGUUUAGUCAACGAGUCUGCAACAUUCAGAUCCGUAUGUAUCUUGCAAAUAUCUAUGUCUCCCUCCGUGACUUGAUGGCGGAUGGAAUUGAAGCGUGUCUUGAUUUGUUUGGUUCUCUUGUGAAAUCUAGAUUCCUUUGCCAAAGUAAUUGCUCCAGUAUUGUCACUUUCAUUGGACCCAAUGCACUAGGUAUUACACCUAGAUCGGAUAUGAACUCCUUCAUCCAGACUCCUUCUGAUGAGGACAUGACUACCUUGGAUAUGACAAAAAAUAUUGCAUAUAUGCAUAUUUGUCAGGUGAUUUCUAGUGCAAACUAUUCAAUAAUCUAUUUAUGUUAUCCAGAACAAAAAUACUUCACACACUUUUGUGUUUUGUCUAAUUGCAGGUGUAUGGGACAUUUGUACAAUCCACAUAUGAAGAUAAGGAAGAAAGAGAUGUUUAUUUGCUGUCCAAAAAGUUUUCUCACGUCACUUUUGGCCCAAGAGAAGAUAGAGUCCAAGUCUCUCACGUUCUGGAUUCAGAUUCGGACUGCACAGACACACCUGACUCAAAACGCACACAAGUUUUUCAUACGGACUCCGAAUUGGGUGAUUCUUUUUUUGUUGGAAACUAGAUUUCGUGCACUUUCCAACCCAAUUGGAAUCACCUUCAAAUUCGUCCGGAGCGUUGAGUUGUGGACGAAACAAUCUGAUGCUGCAGCAGAAUCCGAGUCAAACUACAAGUCCAAAGGUGUUACAUCACCUCCACUUGGGCCCAUUGGCCUUGUACGACCUAGAUUUAGUUUUAGGCUGCCUUGGGACGUCCUCCCACCUCCUUGGCCGCCACCCCUUGCUCCUAUAUAAGUAGAUCCAUCUAGUAGCUUUUCCUUGGGAUUUGUUAAGUUAAAAGUUAGCCAUUGCAACUUCGUGUACUUCGUUUGUGUCCAACGACCAGACCAAGACCGCUUCCGGAUCCCCACCAUUAUCAAUACUUCAUAUAUAUUUGCAAUAUUCAGAUUGCUUUAUCAUACUCUUGCUCGUUCUUCGAUUGCUUGCAGGAAUAGACCUUCGUGGUCAGGCUGACCGUGCUUCCAGCAUUGUCAGUAACCUCAGGAGAUUGGUUUAGCGAUUGCUAAGGCGCAACAUCGUGCACGUUUGUAGUCGGAUCGUCAAAGUCUUCUCCACCAAAUCGAUAGUUAUCAUCUCAUCGAAAGAUCGGGACACCCCGCCUCUAUCAAGUGGUAUCAGUUUUCAGGUUGCUCGGUGAGAAUUUCCAGUUUUUCUUAGAUUAGAUUUAUUUUCUUACCUAUUGUCCAAGAAAAAGCCACAAAAAAAAGUUAGAUCUGUUCAUCCUUUAUCCAAGCCAGUCUGAGCCUUUGCAAUUUUCUAUUCAUUGCUUGCAUAGUUGAAUUAUUGGUUGCAUCGUCGUAUCAGUUGCUGGUCUUAGUGUCUAGUUCCUUUAGAGUUUCGAGUUCUGUUCACAUUAGUCACGCCGCCGCUGCAUCAUUAUCCGUUCCGCUGUCCACCAUUCCAUCUAUUAAUUUCCACCACGUGCUAUGCACUGUUCAUUGUCAUAAUCAUAGUUGAGGUCAUUCACAUCUUCACCUGAUCCAAUCUGCAUCUUAUCUAGUUUGUCUUGGAAAGAGGGAGAAAAAAAAAGAUAGAGAAAAAAAAGAGAAAAAAA
rnacentral:lncRNA from 1 species